UUUCAUGGUCUACCACAAGAAUAUUGUUUCUAAAACAUUUGUUGGAAGGAGCAUCAUAUAUCAUAGAAGAUGUAAAGAGGUAUUACAACGACAAAACGGUUUAUCAGGAGAAUCUAUCGUUGUUCCCUUGUUUAGGGACUAGAGCAUGUCAUCCUUUCAUGCGUGUAGUUCUAUCGAAGAUUCAGGCGGCGGGCACUUGGGAUUGCACUUAAGGCAUUUAGACUUGAACUCAUCCAAAGUCUUGAAACAUGGGGUCUCCCGGAUGUCACAGCAGUAGCAGUCACCGAAGUCGCAACUCCAUUUGCCGCACAAUAUGACGGUAAACUUGGCAUCAUCUAACGAUGAUAUCGCGUUGGCCACGGUAGCAUUGUUAUCGCCACCGUCUAGAUAGCUUCGUUUUCCAGCCUCCAUACGACCUAAAAUUAUGCAUGUAAUGUUUUUAAUUGUUAGUCCUAUAAGAGAGAGAGAGAGAGAGAGAGAGAGAGAGAGAGAGAGAGAUUGAGAGAGAGUCCAUGCGUGUAAAAACUGAAGAAAAUAAAACAAGGGAAGAACCAGAACUAACACUGUGCAGUGACCGUGAGCCAUCCCACGAACAAGAUGGCCAUGGCAUGAACCCCUCUCAUUCUGGUUUAAUCUUUACUGAUUGCUUAGUCGAUUGAGUCAACUCUCCGCAAUGGGGUGGGUUACGUGAGACGAACAAGGGAUGACCAUGGCUGCGAUGACCCGAUCAUUAUAUAGAGGGUCAAAAUCUUAAUUAAGUAGGAGAUAAUAUUCCAAUUAAUUCUAAAGAUUAUUUGGUGCCAUAUAUACGUCGAUAUUAAUUAAUGUCGGAUAAUUUACAUCCACCCAUAUAUGUCGCCCUUUGGGUAAUUUGGUUCCAAAAAGUUGGUUGUGUCAGUCAAUCAAUUAUCUCCCCAAAAUAACACCCCAAAAAUUCACGCAUUGAUUGUUUCGAAGAAGAAGAAGAAGAAGAAGAAGAAGAAGAAUGCUAACCGAAACUACUAACUGGAGGGAAGGCAUCAUGAUUCCCCUCCCAAACACCGGCUACCGGAGCGGCAGGCAAUUGGAUCCAUUGACUCGUCGGUGAAGUGUGGAGGUGAGAGUUUACCCUAGCCGUCUAGGAUUAAGGGAGGUAAAUAACAUGUGGUCUCUUCUAGGGACAUAAUCUCAUUCAUCUUUUUAUGGAAACAACUCUAACAUUUGCAAAAACUAUGUGAAAAAACUCCCUCACUUUUUUUGCUUGUACUUCUAGUAGAAAAUGCUUUCAAAAAACACUGUCACUAGAAGGAUUACAUAUAGAAGCAUUGUUUGUUUUGUAUUAAAUAUUGGUUAACUGUCAUAUAUGUUGUGACACGUCUUAUGUCUCAUAUGCACACAACAUAUAAAAUAAAGAGUAAAUUCAAUUUUUCGCGCGGCAGGCGUGAUGAGCAAUCUCAAAUCAUUGAAAAAACGAGUAAAUUCCCUUUUUACCCCCAUCGAUCAUUUACGCUUGUGACAGAAUUAGUCCCAGUUUAGGAAAACUCUCAAUUUAUACCCUCAUUUAUCACCUUUGUGCCACAUUUUACCUCUUUGCAAUUUUUUCCAAUUUUGUGCUAAGUUGGCAUGGCACGUCAAUGUUUUUUUAUUAUAUAUUUUGCCUAUAGUUCAUUUCUUUUAUUUGACCUUGAGGUGGGUCACCUGUCAUUAUAGAAAAAAAAUGGUUGGGUACGCCCCGAACACAUGACCUCCCUUGGGGAAGACUUGUACAGGAUCUGUUCUUAGGUGAGAUCAAUGAAAUCAAUCUUUUUGAAGAUACAAAACAUGUUCAAAAAUUCUGAAAAAAAAGUGGAGACCUACAUCAAGCUCAAAAAGUUUCAGCUCCUAAUUCGAACUGCACUUAGAGGACCAAAAAAGACAAAAUCAGAUGUGAAUAGUGUCAAAUACUACUCAUCCCAAAGCGGACACUAUUCAUAAUCGAAUUUAUCUUUUUCGAAUUUCUAACUAUAGAUUGAGUUUUGAGCUGAUUUUUUUUGGAGUUGUAGACAUACCCCGCAGGUAUGUUGUACAUUCUUUUCAGAUUUUUUUUGGAUUGUCUAAUUAUGAAAUGUUUGAGUUGAUCAUAUGAUCUCACCUCAAGGGUUGAUCCUAUACAAGUUCUCUCUGACCUCCCCUCCUCUUCUCUUCGGGAGGGACCACAAUAAAAUUUGUCCCUUAGAAGCAAAAUAGAAAGAUUGAAGUUGGUCCGUUGGAUUGAGGGUUGAUGGCAUAGACUCCAUUGGAGGGAUCUAAGCCCACUUAAAUGUACAUUUCACAAACCCCCCCUUUGUGAAGUUAGAUAUGUCAAACGCCUUUUGCAGUUAUGUCCUUCAGCAUUUCAAUUUUGCACAGCGGUAAUGCCUAUUCUCAUAGAAUCCACGCAUAUUUAGAUACAUUAUUAUGCAAGAAAAUUGGGCAUGUUGGUCACUACAAAGUAUAACGGUAUUUAUCACAAAAUUUGAGUACACAACAUCAACGACAACAGAGCUUUAUCACAAAUAUUUUAGUACAUGACAAAACUGAGCCACCCCCUUCAAUCAGAACUAAACGUACAUGUCAAUCUAGAGCAUCCCUACCAGAGCACAACACAAGAGACAUACAUAAAUAUCAACAUGGGAGGAUCUUUGGUACAAGAACGGGUCAUGUUGGUGGUCGUGUCGAAGGAGUAUAGCUCGUAGAGCUCCUUAUGGUCUUUGACACAGCCGCCGAACAUAAAUGUCGUGCCGCUGACGGGAGGUAGGGGCACCUAGCCGGCCGAGUCGAGGGCAGACCAGGACUGCGCCUUGAGGUCGAAGGCAUACAUGGUGUUGGCCACUUGCAGGUGUGGGGUUAACUCGCAGCCGAAGGAGUAGGCCGUGUCACCGACAAGGGUGAUCAGUGGCGGAGGUAGAGGGUGGCCGGGGUGGGCCAUGGCCCACCCUGAGAUUUGAAAACAACAUUUGUAUCGUAGGAGAAAAGCUAAAAAGUAAAAGGAAAAAAAUAAGUGUAUAUGUACAGUACACUGCUGGCCCACUCUGGCCCAGUGGGCUAGGUCCGCCACUGAGGGUGAUGGUACGGGAGCAUCUUGUUCCCGGCCCAGCUCCCUAUGUUCCAUCCAUGUGAUCAAGUAACUCAAUGGUUAACCGAAGCAAAACUACAUUCUGCAAAAGAGAUUCAUUUUUAAGAAUAUCUUGAAUAAUCUUCCCUGUCAACAGACGAGAUUCAUUUUUAGGAAUAUCUUGAAUAAUCUUCCCUGUCAACAGAUGUAAUUCAAAUAAUUGGUACCACAAACUAGUAAGAACUCAUAAUAUUGUGAAAUCAAUCUGUAAAUGACCUUGCAGUAAGCAUAAAUGAAAGGAAAAAAAUCCAAUACUAAAACCAACCUUAGGAAGCCAUACUACAGAGAUCAUACCGUGCCUAAUUUUUGCCCAUCACACCUGAGAUUUUCUAAAAUCUCCUGGUCUCUAAAAUCUCCUGGUAAUAUGUGUGCUAAUCUAAUUCUAUACAGCUGAGAGCUGAUACCUAUCAAAAUUUUCUUCCUCACAUGGCCCUCAAAUCGUUCAAAGACAGUCUUCCUUUCCCCCCUUGUGUACAUGUAAUCAAGAAAAUCUAUGGGUCUGCUCGGUUGCAGGGCCCUGCAGGGUUUGGGUGAUCAGCCAAAACCUGCAGGGGUUAGUUCCUCUAUGGGAGCAAAUCCUUGUCAGGUUUGAGCCAUUUGGUUGAUCCUUGCUAAAGAGGGAUUUUAUCUCCACGUAUAUAAUCUCACAUAUGGUAUAUAUACUCCAUCUAUGUGCUGAAGCACAAUCAACUAGAAAAUUCCAAAUUCAGAACUAUCAAAUACAGUUGUUCGCCACGGCAUAACAUUUUGAUUAGCCAAAUUUCAGAAAAAAAGACUAGCAGCCAUAAUCAUUGUACAACUUUUAUUAUUCACCUCGGUUGAGCUCCUGCCGUGCCGAACAAACGGCGCUCAUCUUGCCAAUAUCGCAUACAUCAUGGAUGGAUGAGUUAUCUGAAUCCCUCUGGCAAGGAAAUAGGAGAAUUAGGAAACAUGGCAAUGUACAUGCAAGAGGCAACAAUGCCAAAGCACAUUGUUAAUUAUAGGUUUCAGAAAUGAACAGAAAGACCUAAAGUUUAGGCUUACAAAAUGUACAACUUAUACAACUUGACAUUUCUCCCAAACACUUAGUUCUGACUAUAGUACAGCCAGUAUACUUGAUCCCUAUAGGGCAGCUUGUAUAGAUAAACCACAUAAUGCAUAAGAAACAACAGAAGAACACCUGUUGGCAAGUAAUUUUUACUGUUCUUUUAAGAAACAAUUAAAGAACUCAGGAUUGACUUCUUGCUAGAUUGUAUUUCUUCUUAAUGUACACUAUGCAGACUCACAUUUUGGCACGACCAAAAGAGAACUGAAAAUAGACUUCGGAUAUUCCCGUCUAAGAACGAGAUUUGUUAACAAAAUGGAGUGACUAAUAACUGAUUAACUAGUGCACCUGAAGCAUUACUUAUCUUUUUUUUUGCGGAUGCAACAUUACUUAUCUAGAAACCCAUAACCCCAAGCUCUAGAUAUCCUAUCUCAGAACAACAAUACAAUCAUGGUAUACAUUCAGCUUAAUUUUGUUCUGUCUAGAACAAAAAUGGAGUGACCAAAUAAGAAAGGAGUUCAACACACAAUAUUUCUGUCCAAUAUAGAUCUUGAGACUAGGUUUACAUAUUUCUGUUCAGAACAUCGAUGAUGUAUGAAUAAUUGUUUCUAGGCCUAUAAGUUUGAUCUCUUCUAUCACUAAUUUGCGCACAAAUCCUUCGGGUCAUUAUCAUUUCGUCAUUAGUCAGCCAAAUGUAAGUUGUGGUCACUCCAUAAUAUCAAACUCAACCAUUUUCCCUACUUCUAUCACCCUUCCACAAACCUAACUAAUUUACAUUAAUCUGGCAUGUAUGUGAAGUUUAUCUCAGACCAUCGCAGCAUAUAUGCUUAACUUGAUGCUAUUCGCAUACUAAUAUCUUUAGAAGUGUUGAUGCAAAAACCUUGCAACCCUGUAGUUCACGCUCAUAGUCAAAUUAUUUGAUAAAUUAACCCACAGAAUUGUAUAGAACUACUAAGACAAGGAUCCGGCAAAAACUCCGAUAAAGGGUGUUUCUAUUAACUCAAAACAUACCAUCAACUGGAUACAAAGCAUGAUGAACAACACCCGACCUGUGCAUAAUUAAGAGGCACACAACCAAAAACCAAAGUCUCGCAAAAGAAAAUCAAAAAUGGACAUAUCCGCAACAGUAGAGUCAUAUGAGACCGACACUAUGCCUAUGUCGAAGGAGGUGGUGGGCCGAUCCAAAGAUUAUGGUGCAACCCAUGUUGGGUGAAAACUUCCUUGGCCACCCACUCCAACCACAUACACACCAUCUUGAACAGCAGUUGUUGUUCGGUGUAACAUAGACCACAUAAAAAAGCAAGCUCGUAUAGUGGAAAAUAAACUAGAAAAAGAAGAUCAGAUUUUGCCAUGUUAAAAUAUUUUAUUCCGAUUGGAUUCGGUUAACCUGACACAAGGACGAAUGUGUUUCGCUGGAAUCUCACUCUAUCUGGGUCUUUAACAGUCGACUCUAUGUAUUGCUCACGCAUUCAGAGAUCCCAGUGGAUAAUAGUAAAAAAAAUUGAAAACCAAAGGUUCUACAAAAAGUUCGCGUGACUCUGGUUCAUUUUCAUGCUAAGCUCGCGUGACAAAGAGUGAUCCUGAGACGUCUUUUAAUGCAUGGGUGCUUAGAUGAGGUGCUAAGUGCAUUAAAAGAAUUAGCAACUAAACUACUAAUGCAUAGGUGCUUAGUUUUUAGUUGCUAAGCUUCCUUCAUUUAAUUAGGUAUAGACUUAGAUUUGUGUUUUCACCUAGGUACACACGCUUAGCAUGCAUCAUCUCCUCCUCAGAUCACCAUACUACUCUCUCUUCCUUCUUAAUUAAUAUGCCACAUCAGAUUUUUUGCUUAGCCGGCAAUUUUUAGCAUUUGAAGAGGCCUGAUCCACACCACUUUUGUCACAUGUCGACCUAGUACGAAAUUUUGAAACAAGAUGGCAAAACAAAAUGAUUAACCCUUCAACUUGAGCCGCAACAACACGUACAUACAUUUGUGUGGGCGAACAAACAAACACAGCAGCCACCUGAUCCAACAAGCCAGUAUGCCACAUACGUAGGAAAGCCUGUGAGCCAAAGAUCCUUUGCUCGUUGACAAGGAGAAGAUUUAUAAAAGAACAUAAUGGGAUGUUGUGGUGAGCGACUUUGGGGCAGGCAAAGCGAAAAAAAGUCGAUUUGUUACUAGAAGUAAACCUGGCUACACAUAACAAUUUUGGAAGUACCACAACAAACCAGCAACGAUGGAUACCACAUGGAAGUGUAAAGCAACAAUAUAACUAUUUUUGCCGAAAAAACUUUCGAUCUAUUCAUCAACUAUCAAAGUAAUAAAAAAAUAUCAAAAAUAAAAUUCACAUCCAGAUCCGUAGAACACCUAGCGACAACUACAAGCACUGGAGCGAGCCGAAGGUGCGCCGUUGUAAGGGCAUUCUUGUCCCUUUGUAGCUUUGGUGAUUAAUGACAAUGUUUUUGCGGACUAAUCAUGUGUAUUGAGUUUUUCAGAUAUAUCAUGACUAAACAAAAAAUGAUUUGAUGCCCCUCGAAGAUUAUUGAAGACGGCGUUUCUCUAUGGUUCUUUUCGGUGGAGUUGAGUCGUAGAAAAGUCGUACUAUUAAGAGGGGGUCCGCUUUGAAAAGGUUUGGGUGGAAUCUCACGUACACGUCCCUUUUGCACUGCCUUUCCUUUGGCUCUUUGGAGUUUCCUCCGUCUCACCUUGUCUCUACAAAAUGAAGUACUCCGAGUUGCUCUUCUUAGGCUAGCGGUAGUACUGCUCCUCUGAGCGGUACUACCGCAGGAGCCAGCGGUAGUACCGGGCUCCGGCACGGUAGUACCGUGGGCCUCUACGGUAGUACCGCUUCUCCUGAGCGGUAGUACCGUGAGUUCUGGCUUGGCGCUGCUGCACAAGCGGUAGUAGGGACGGAUGUAAUUUUUUACAUCCGCGCCCUACGCGGUAGUACCGUGCUGCGGCGCGGUAGUACCGUGUCGCCUGGCCUUCACGGCAGCAGGAGCGGAGGUAGGGGCGGAUGUAAUCUUUUACAUCCGCAGCCUUCACGGUAGUACCGCACCCCUGGUUCGCGUUAGUAUCGUGUCGGAUUUUCGCAUCGAUAAAAUCUCAGCGGAGGUAGUCACGGAUGUAAUUUUUUACAUCUGUGCCUACCGUGCCUGGCCUGUGGCUGCCCUGCGGUAGUACCACAUAGGGCCGCGGUAGUACCGCGCCUGCGGUUCUACCGCGCCCUGUCUGCACUCUUUUGUUCAGGUCCAGGCUCUGCCACGCCCACGGUAGUACCGCGGUCCGCCGCGGUAGUACCGCAGGCCCGUGCGGUAGUACCACUCCUGUGGUGCGGUAGUACCGCUCCUGUGGUGCGGUAGUACCGCGGGUCGCGGGCUGAGUGGUGGGUAGCGGUUGGAUUUAUCCUGAUUUCAUUUCAGAAUUUCCGGCGAUACGUGUUCAGUGAGAGGAGACGUUCCCGUCAACUAUGAGGCGCCUAUGGCAACUUUGUAAAAUCUGAAGAUGCUGUGCCGGCUCGGUCUCUCGGAGGUGCUCAUAGGGGUAAGAUGUGUGUGUGCAUUCAUAGGGGUGAGCGUAUGCGCGUAUAUAUGAGCGCUUGUGACUGGACCGAUGUUCACAGAAAAAAAACAACGUGUCAGCCAGUCUGUCCACUUUUGAUUUUCUUUUUCGCAUUUUAUCCAACGCUUUUAAUAGUUAUUAUUUUGGUUUCCUAUUUUUCUUCUUUCUUUUCAUGUAUGUUUUUUUGUUUUUCUCCCUUUUUCCUUUUAUUUUUUAAAUUUUAAUUCACAAUAACUUUAAUAAUUGUGAACAACCAAAAAAAUCAUGAUUUUUAAAAAUCCUUGCUGUUUUUUUGCAAAUUUAUGAACAUUUUUAAAGUAUAUGAACCUUUUCUUAAAAUUCGUCAACACUACUGAAAUCAGCGAAAAAAUUUAACCUUCACAAACGUUUUUUGAUUUUUUUUUCAUUCUGAACAUUUUAAAAAAUCAUGAACAUCUUAUGAUUUAUUGAAGUUUUUCAAAUGAAAGAAAGAUAGUUGAAUUUUUUUCGAGGUAGCAGUGGAGCAAGCGUGAAAAAAGGUAAGUGGGUGAGAGGAGCAGGGAGCCGAGUUGGGCGAGCGAGAGCUUCAUGAACCAGCCCAUGUGAGUGUUAUAACAAAAAUUCCAUGUUUUCAACAUGGAAUAUGAUCUACCAAGGGGCAUCACGCACGCACUGCACAAGGCUCCUGCACACACUACAACAGCCUGGAAGGUGCUCACCUAGCUAGGUAGAACGAGUCGCCAUCAGAGGAGGACAAGGACCGGACCUCGACUGGGGUUCGAUCACCACGGCGACACACUUCACAAGGCCCGAUGUUCCGAUCCCUUUCCUGUUGGUAGCAUCCCAGUAUAGACAUAACACAAUCUUGUAAUUACACUCUCACUUGCAUGGCAACUAAAAAGCAUAUGUUUCCAUGGCAACUAAAAAGCAUAUGUUGCCAUAUGGCAGCCAAAAUCAUGUGAACUUCCUGUUAAGUUUUAUAAAUUCUAUGUCAACUAAAAAGGAUAUGUUGACAUGGCAACUAAAAAGCAUAUGUUGUCAUGACAAAUAGGUUGCCAUGCCGACUCAACUUAUGUUGCCAUGACAAAUUAAAUCACAUAUUAUUUUCCAUGGUAAUAAAGCAGUAUAUAUUACCACGGGUAGCUCCAUGGCAUAUUGGAGUUGGGAAUUUUCAUAUGUAUUUUUCCAUGGCAAAGUUUAAUAUGUAUCAGCCAUGGCAAUUUUUGUUUAUAACUCUGUGUUUACAUUGUUCAUUAUUCUAUUUUCAAUGGCAAUUUCCAUAUAAAGCAUGGGCCAUAUUAAGUAAAAUACCACAACAUAUUCUAAUACGUAUCUGCCAUGGCAUUUUUGUUCAUUUUCCUGUUUUUUUUGCCAAGGCAAAUUCUAAUAUGCAUCUACAUUUUUCCCAGGGGAACAAAAGCAUUUAUAGUUGUCAUCUAUUAAAAGAAAAAAUUUCCUCUUUUUUUCUUUUCCAUCCUUCCGCAAAAGAAAAUGUUGGCAAAUUCAUGUGGGCCCAUAAAAGCAUUUUUUGCCAAGCAAAAAAUGUUCAUGGAAUUCUUAUAGUUUUUUUACCAUGGAAAAUUUUUGUAAUUGACGCUGGAAAUUUAGUUUAUUGACCAUGGCAAAUUGUAAGUACUUUAUCGACCAUUGCAUAUUCAGUAGUUGACCCUGGCAAAAUGAGUUUAUUGACCAUAGAAAAAUUUAUUUAUUGACCGUGGCUAGUUUCUUAAUUGAUCAUGGACAAAUUUAAGUCUUUUUUCAAUGGUAGCAAAUUUGACUAAUUGACCAUGGCAAAUUUUAAGUCCUUCCUCGGUAUGGUAAAUUUCGUAAUUGACCAUGGCAGAUUUAAUUUGUUGACUAUGGCAAAAUUUAAGUCCUUUUUUGGUAUGGUAAAUUUAGAAAUUGACCAUGGCCAAUUUAGUUUAUUGACCAUGGCAAUUUUAAUUACUUCUUCGACCAUGGAUAAAAUUAGUAAUUCACCAUGGCAGUUUUUUUGAUAGAUCAUGGCAAAUCGUUAAUUGAGCAUGGCAAAUUUUAGUAGUUGACCAUGGUAAAAUUUUAGUAAUUAAGCAUGGCAAAUUUAGUAGAGCAUGGCAAUUUUGUAUUAAUUGACCAUGGGAAAUUUUACGUACUUUUUUGACCAUGACAAAUUUUGUAAUUAACCAUGGCAAAUUAUUUGGUUGAUCAUGGCAAUUUUUAGUAAUUGACCAUAGAAAUUUUAGUAAUUGAGCAUGGCAAAUUUGUAGUAAUUGACCAUGGCAAAUUUUAAGUACUUUUUCGACCAUGGCAAAUUUGUAGUAAUUGACCAUGGCAAAUUUUAAAUACUUUUUCGACUAUUGCAAUUUUUCGUAAUUGACCAUGGAAAAUUAUUUAGUGGAUCAUGGAAAAUAUAGUAAUUUAGUAAUUGAGCAUGGAAAGUUUGUAGUAAUUGACCAUGACAAAUUUUAAGUGCUUUUUCGACCAUGGCAAAUCUAUAAUACCUAAAUUGUUCAUCCCCUCUAAACUAAUUCUCUUGACAUGCACCCUAUGCACAUCAAUAGCCCCACUACCUCAUCACCCUUGCUAAGUCAUUUCUUUUUACAAAAGGAUUCCUCCGCAGCACAACAUAAAGGUUCAAACCUGUGUGUCCAACUAACUUUAUUACUUUCCAUUGACGAGGAUUAACACUCCACUUCCUUCCUAUGCAUCAACUUCCACUCCCAUUUCUCCUUUGGCUCAGCCACGAACCUUCCUGUUAACACCCUCACAAAGUCAUACCAAUUGAUGGCAUGCAGCCCCCCAUCUCAGCAACCUGCUACCUCACCAAAAACUGCAAUUUGGUGAAGCCAAAUCAUCCUAUGGCUCACUUAUCUACCCCUCCAUAUCUGAAAUAGUUGUUGGCCUCUUGCGUCCCCCUUCCUCAUUACUCCUUCAUCAUGUUCGACUACACAUCCACCUUCUUGCAUUCCUUUUGGUAAUGAACACUUCCAAUCAAUGCAAGAAAAUGAAAAGUAUUUUCUGGCAGCCUAUUUAUUCUGGUAUCUCCAUCUUCCUCUCCUGCCGCCAUCGCACGGAUGCGAGCUCCUCCGCUCUCGCCCACGGCCAGAUCCGCCAGUGCCCCGCUGCCGGCGACCAGAACCAGUAGGACUGUCGCGUCCCUCCUCCUCUGUUUCCUUCCCGUCCUUCUCCUUUCUCCUCUGUCUCUCUCUCCCUCCCUCACGCAUCAUCUUCUCUUUUCAGGUACUUCUACAGCAGCCCCGCCAUGGACCUCAAGCCACCGGCCGUUCAACCAAGGCCUUCCUAGGAUCCGCGACCCUGCCUCCUCAUCGCACAUGCCCGGCCGCGCCACCGGAGCUCCCCUGCAGGUCGCGUGCCCGUCGCCAUCACCCUCUCUUCUUCCCCUAUCCAUUCUACUCUAUCCUCUCUGAAUACCUCUCUCUCUAUUCAAGUGCAGAUGCAGUGCUCCCUGCCACCCGCUGCUGUUCUUCGCGUCGCCCCGCGCUCCGCCUCGCCUGGUCGCCUGCCUACGGGGCCGUGGUGGGUUUUUCUGUUAGAUCAGAUCUGAUGGCCAUUUUUUGUUCCCUCUUUGUAGAUAUCAGCUCUCUCCUUCAAAUCGGCUCAAAUGGCCACCUUUCUUCAUUUCUCUGUCUAUGUCUAGACAUGAACCAUAUCUCAUCCUCUUCUUGUUGGCUUGUUGGUUUUGUAACUCAUGAACGAAUAUAAGUUGGUAGGCUUUGAUGUGAACAAGCAGGGUGGGACUAUUAAUUGAAACAUGCGAUGAGAUAGCAAGCGAACGGACGAACGAACACGAGCGCAUAGUGCUUGCGAAGGCCCAUCGGUGAAAAACGAUCGAAUCAUUUUUCUCAAGUGGCUCACGGCCCACAAAAGGCCUAGCAGUCCAGCCAGUAGGCCCAGUCAAUGGACGAAAAUUAUGGGAGCAAGGUGGACGGACCCCAAAUUAAUACCACCUCGUUUAUAUUACGAUUUUGUCUAUACAAACCAUAAAAACAUAUUAUGACAUGAAAAUAAAGCAUAUUGUGAUGGUGAACCCAAGGACUCAAUCCGUGCUUUAUUAUUAGGGAAAGAUAUGAUCAAUGCAAAAUGCAACUUUAUAACACAGGAGCAUAUGCAUGAGGAGAGUUAAUAAGAUGGCAUGUUGGAGGUACGAAACAAAGAUGCUACAGCAAUUAUACAUAGCAACCAAGGGCAUGGCAUCAUAGUACACAUAACAAAUAGCAAAUAAUAUCAUGGCAUCAUAUACAUAUGGCUCAUGGAUUAGUGGGAACCAACAUGACAAGAUGGAAUGUUGAAACAGCUUCAGCAAGUGUAAAAAUAGCAACAUUAUGAUAGCAUGUUUGCAAGCAUGGAACAGAGGCAUAUGUCAUCCACAAUUUAAAACAUUGGCAUGUGAACAAAUUACUCAUAGCAUACUUCAAAACAUGUAAUUGGAGAAAAUCCAGAAGAGGGGUGAAUCAAUCAAUAACAAGCUCACAACAAGGCAUCAUGAAGUUAACAGAAUACUGGAACAACAUAUAGGCAUGUUCAUGGCAAUGAAAACAUAUGCUACAGGACAUAUAUACGGCAUCCAAAGGCAUGUCAUGAUAGAGCAUAACAUGGACAUCAAAACAUGUCAACAAAGUAUCUCCAGAUUGUGCAUGGUUUAAUUGGUCGCAUCAAGCCAACAUGGCAUCAUGAUAUGACAGAUUCAACAUUGACGGAACAUUAACAGCGAGUAGCCCACUUCACAAGCUUGAUGCACUCACUAAAAGGCAUAUAAAAAUACAUGGAUUGCAUUCCUGUAAAGAUGGCGUAUAUAUGCUUCUAAACCAUGUAGACAUGAUGCUCAAAAGAAAACCACACAAAAAGAUAUAAAAAUGACAAAUAGGCAAGUUAUAACAAUUUUCAGCAGUUAACAGCAACAUGCUUUUUUUGCAACAGAGAUUAAGAUAUCAAGAUGCACCCUAACAUGGAUGCAGAGCACACCAACAUGUAGAGCAUGAAGAGCAGAACAUUAACAUAUCAAGAUCAUCAUUAUAGGAUCAACAGAGACAAAGUUACACCACUCAUAGGAUGCAUACAUGAUGUUAACAAUCAGUAGAUUACAUCAGUUUAUAUCACUUAGAAGUUUUAUAACGAUGAUUAAGGCAUCAAUAUGAACAGCAACAUGAAUGAAAAAUGCAACCAUCAUGUAGAGCAUGAAGAGGCGAACAGUUUGACAUAUCAUGCACGCAAAAUGGGGCAAUAUGCAUCAAGUUAUGGACAUGGCAAGAUGCACACAUGAAAUGAUUUUAGGAAAAGACGAUGAAAAAAACAACCUCGUGGAAAAGGCUAGACAGGGACGUGCGGGGACGGAGCGGUUCGGGACGGCACAGGCGCCGUUUGGGUCGAUGGUUGCUGGCNNNNNNNNNNNNNNNNNNNNNNNNNNNNNNNNNNNNNNNNNNNNNNNNNNNNNNNNNNNNNNNNNNNNNNNNNNNNNNNNNNNNNNNNNNNNNNNNNNNNNNNNNNNNNNNNNNNNNNNNNNNNNNNNNNNNNNNNNNNNNNNNNNNNNNNNNNNNNNNNNNNNNNNNNNNNNNNNNNNNNNNNNNNNNNNNNNNNNNNNNNNNNNNNNNNNNNNNNNNNNNNNNNNNNNNNNNNNNNNNNNNNNNNNNNNNNNNNNNNNNNNNNNNNNNNNNNNNNNNNNNNNNNNNNNNNNNNNNNNNNNNNNNNNNNNNNNNNNNNNNNNNNNNNNNNNNNNNNNNNNNNNNNNNNNNNNNNNNNNNNNNNNNNNNNNNNNNNNNNNNNNNNNNNNNNNNNNNNNNNNNNNNAAGGCGGCGGCGCGGCGUCCGGCGCGGGCGGCAAGGGACGACCGAGGCGGCGGGGACGGAUGGGCCGUGCGGCGGCGAGAUCCGGGCCCACGCGGGUCCGGGAUGGACUCCACGGGCCGUCGGCGCGGGGAGAGAGAGGAGGAACACGUGGCGGCGUGUGGUUGGAGGAGAGCGGCGGUGGGGUGAUGUGGCGGCUUGUGGUUGGCCUGGGCGACGUGGCCGGCGGACAUGUCCAGCGUGCGAGGAUUUGUCCGGCGGCGCGAGGAGGAAGAUUCCUAGGGUUUGUACCGCGAAUUUCGGGGGAGGGGACUUAUUUAUAGGUAGAGGGAGCUAGGAGAGUCCAAAUGAGGUGCACUUUUCGCCAACACGAUCGUGAUCCAACGACGGAGAGCAUGGAGGGGGCUUAGAUGAGUUAGUGGGCUGUUGUGAAGAGGUGCUGGGCUGCAAAGAGAAGGGGUCUGACGGUUAACGCGGUUAACCGUAGGGGCAUCAAAUGACCUCCAAAUGGAACACAAUUUGUUAGGCGGUCUACAAGUGAUGUACCAAGACCACUCGUCAACUCUCGGCCCAUUCCGAGAACGUUUUUCUGCGGCUUACAAAAUGAGAACUGGGAGGUGCGACAGGUGCACGUGAGAGUGUUUGAAUUCGAAACGGACAAUGGAGAUGCAAGUUUUGAAAAACAUGCAGAUGAAAUGCAGAUGAUGACAUGACAAAAUGCAACACGCAAGCAAAAGACAUUGCUACAACGGUGAAUAACUGGAAGACAACUGGCGCAUCGGACUCGGGGCGUUACAAUCUGGCACUCUUUCUUUGGCAUGGCCGGAUCACACAAUGAUAUCAACGUGCUUCAGCGCUCGCCGGUGUUUGCUAGGCUUGCCGAAGGAUACUACUUGGGUGACAGUAUCUAUCCUCAGUGGACCAUUAUUGUCAAGACAAUACCCAACCCUGUGGGGGAGAAGAGAAAAAGAUUUGUCCAAGAGCAAGAGAGUGCUCGGAAGGAUGUCGAACGUGCCUUUGGUGUUUUGCAAUCUCGAUGGGGUAUCGUUCGGUAUCCUGCUAAUACUUGGAGCACGCAGAAACUUUGGGAGGUGAUGACUGCUUGUGUGAUCAUGCACAAUAUGAUCGUAGAAGACGAGCGCCCGGAACGUCUAUACGAUCAAGGGUUUCAGUUUCAGGAGAAUGUUGUGCCUGAGCAUGAAGGAGCGGCAAUGUUUGAACAAUUCACCCAAUUUCAUCAUGGCAUGCGUGAUUGGAAAACUCACGUGCAACUGCAAAAUGAUUUGGUUGAGCGUAUGUGGGCUCAUGUUGGCAACCAAUAGAUAUAUCUUCUUUUAUUCGUUUGCAAAACUAUGUGAGAACUAUGUGAGACAUUUUUAUUUUUAUUCGGCUUGUAAAACUAUGCUAUUUUAUUCGGUUCAAACUAUGUUAUUUGACUAUAUAUAAAAAUGCAAAUUCAUCAAUGCAAAAUAGGGCGGCCAGCCGGCCAGGCCGGCACAUAUGAGUCGGCGUGUUGGGCGCAUUGCCGACCCAUAUCUAAAAUAGGGCGGACGGCCGGCCCAAACGGACAAAAAGCGAACGAAAUCGCCGUCCGUUUGGGUCGCCCCAUUGGAGCUGCUCUGACCAUCUACCGACGUUGGAUAAUGUGGCCAAAAGAAACGGGCCCGUGGAUGGAACUUGUGCUAUUUGUGGUUUAGGGUAAAACGCAAAUCACGUGUUUUUCGGCUGUGCUCUCGCUAGAUUUGUGUGGAGCGCUGUUAGGGAUACAUUCAAGCAAAGCUGGAACCCACUCUCUAGCGAUGACCUGCUUACCUUGCUAACGGCUCAAAGGGGCGCUAACGUUAGGAUUGUUUGAAGAUGCGUAGGGGUGCCGCUUUGGUCGUUUUGGUAGGUUCGGAACAAAAUUACGAUUGAACAAAAGUUUUCUGCUCACCCAGUUGAUAUUAUAUUCAAAUGUCACAUUUUUCUAUAGACUUGGGCGUCAUUGGAAAAGACGCGUGAUGCGGACCGCAUGGACCGGAUCACGGAGCAGAUCAAGAUGACUAUGGAAGGCACGGCAAACUAAUACGCCAGUUUGAGACUUUUGCGAUGAGCCUGUUUGAUGUUUAGUUGGCCUUUUGGGCUUUUGGCUCAUGUUAUGUUGGCUUGAAACUGCUCUUAUUUAGCCUAGACUAUGCCGGGUUGUGAGGCCCGAUGUUUUACCUCUGUUUGGUUUGUAUGUUUGAAACUAUGUGUGGAUGCUGCCUAGUGGCUUUAUUAAUUUAAAGCCGGACGCCUCUAGCGCCUCCGUUAAAAAAUAUAAAAAACAUCAUAUAUGACUGUGAGGAAUAGACAUAUCACAAAAAUAGACUGCCAGAAACACUUAGUGCGUGAGAUGGUUGGGAUUAGGCUCAAUUUUACUUGUCCUAAAAUGUGUAAUCAAGGAACUCAAAUAAAGAUUCAGGUGAUCUGAUUGAGCAAUUGUGGGCAUUUCAUAUGGCAAUUAGAACAUGUGUGCCGAUAAAUUCAAUUCAAUUAUGAACUAGUUUAGUUCAAAACAUUAUGUUUGGAUUGUAAUAUUUAUAUUUUAACGACUAGUAAAAGCACCAGAUGUUCAACAAGUUUUUUCAUAUAUCGAUCUCAAAAGCAAAAGAACCCGAUGUAUGUGCCAAAGACCUCAAUUUUUGGCCUCCUUUUGACCCACCAUUUGCGAAAAGCAUUUCAACAUGCUAGCCUGGUAGUGUUGAACAUACUUGGCGCAUCGGGAUCCGAGUCAGACGCCUUCACGUACAACAUCUUGAACUCCUUGGAAGCGGCCUUCAUCGCAAGCUUACUCUAGAGGUUCAUCAUCUUAUUUGCAUGCCCAUGAGACAUGCCAAACCUCUCUGACUUAUUUUCCACCCUCACCCCAUAGCGCUUGGAAUAUGCCCCAUCCUUAUUCGCCAUGAUGUCCUCGUACUUCUCGGUCAUCGUGGUCGCCACCCCUUAUUACUCUUUUUCCUGUUCUCCCAACCCCCCCCCCUUUCUAGCAACAUGUGUUGCCAAUACAAUCCCUCCUUUUUGUUGCACCCGUUGGAUCACCAUCUUCAUCGUUUUAUUUGCCCAUGGCAGUCUUGAUGGAAUGGGCAAUAUAAUGUUGCUACUCUUGCUUUGCCCAUUCAACUUCAUCCAACAAUGCAUCAAUGUAAAGGUCUUCUUCUCCGUCUUUUCGUUCAAUGUGCGUGCACGUGUGGGCUAGCAAACUAAUACAAUGACGUGAUCACCAUGUUAUUAAAGGAAGACAAUGGGAUUGAGCAAAUCAAUCAAAUGACCAACACAACAUGAAGCAAAACAUGCGAGCUUGAGGAGUGACCCACCAAUUGGCCACCGCGUUUGGACUUGUGGAUACACACCNNNNNNNNNNACAUGUGUUGCCAAUACAAUCCCUCCUUUUUGUUGCACCCGUUGGAUCACCAUCUUCAUCGUUUUAUUUGCCCAUGGCAGUCUUGAUGGAAUGGGCAAUAUAAUGUUGCUACUCUUGCUUUGCCCAUUCAACUUCAUCCAACAAUGCAUCAAUGUAAAGGUCUUCUUCUCCGUCUUUUCGUUCAAUGUGCGCGCACGUGUGGGCUAGCAAACUAAUACAAUGACGUGAUCACCAUGUUAUUAAAGGAAGACAAUGGGAUUGAGCAAAUCAAUCAAAUGACCAACACAACAUGAAGCAAAACAUGCGAGCUUGAGGAGUGACCCACCAAUUGGCCACCGCGUUUGGACUUGUGGAUACACACCGUAAAACAUGUUGAUGGCCUCUUGAAUAGUGUAGCAUAAAUGUCUUACCAACUUAUGUCGCGAUCAUUGACCACUUUCGUGUGGUAGGGGUCGUGGAAAUUUUUCUCAUGAAACCUAUCAUGUGCACUUUGCCCAAAUGUCGAGCCUUGUUGCUCUGUGCCUUGAAACGGACACACUAGUGACCAAAGAUGCCUCUAAUGAGUGUAGUUUUACACUCAUUUCCAUCAUUAUUUAAAGAGGGUAUCCCAUAUAUUAUGAAAGAAUCACUCCGAUACUAUUGCUAAUGACUAAUAAAAAGCAACAAAAUUUGCAAGUACCUUCAUUUAUUUUGUUUCCGUGGAAAUGGGCCAUUUGAAGGAAGGUAGAGCAUAUAUAGGAAAUAUGAGGUACGGUGAUUAACCCCAAGAUAUCAGAGCCACAGAGACGCAACUAGGAGAGAAGACAGCGCCUGGUACUAGUGCACUUUCUCAUACCAGCGCUCGUACCCACUAACGUCGCUCUGAGGCAUCAACGAAACCAACUUUAGAAAAGGGUCAAGGCCCAUUCGUAAUAGAGCGUCUUGCAAAUCAUCCAUGAGAUGAGAGGAGUCAGAAACUCUAAGCCAUGACACCACCAUCCAUAUCCAUAGCCGCCGCCAUUCGCAUCUCAAUUCCCAUCUAUGUAGCAAUCAUCCCGAGCAGUUUUUCGUAGUUUGUAACUAGUGUAUGAAUCAUUCAUCUUCAAAUUUGAUCUACAAUGUCUUUCUUGUUUGAUUCGUAUGCGAUGUGUGAGUAGUCCACUUGAGCUAUUGGUUGAGGCAUAGCCUUGCAACCCCAUGUACUUUUGCACAUGAUUGUUGGUACUGAUUUUAAGAUCAAACGUAUUUAUGUGUAUCACAUCACAUUUGCCGCUUGUCUCUUUCUCGUUCUAAGACCCGGGAGUACUUGGGAUCCCAAGGAACGGUCAAGGAGGAGGUGAAGUGCAGGAAUGAGUGGAAGGCUAUGCAAAAAUCCGGUGAGAGUAAGGACAAGUACGGCAGCUGAAAGCAACUCCCUGGGGAAACGUGAGGUGCGGUCACCAAAUGCCCAAUGUGUUGGUCUGGGAAAAUCAUUCAUAAUUGAGGUAACCGGGCGAGAUGGCAAGGGCCUUGGUUGGACAAUUUAAUAACGAUGCAGUUGUUGGCCAGUCAUGGAAUCAUUAGGAUGCAUCCCCCACAUAUACACAUUGACAAAACAUGGCGGUGAUGUCUACCAGGACCAUGUUGAAUAUUUAGAUGAAAUCCCAAGGGCAAGUUUACGAAUGCAAGCUAAUACCUUACACCCUUUCCUAUUUUCCUAAUAUUGUUGUCUCUCUACACCUAUGCAAUUUUGGUCUGGUAAACUGAAACUCUUAGUGAUGACAAAAACUUGCAAGAAUCACCUCUUAGUUAGCAAUUCUUCAUGUGUGUUCGAUACCCAAGGUCAUCAUCUUUGCGUAAAAGGCAGGUACUAUCUCCAUCCGAAAGCAAAUCAAAGGUAAUCAACUCUUUUUCUGGCACCAUUACUAAGGAAGCAUCUCUGCAACCCCAGUUAGGUGACUAGAGUUUUUGUUUUAGAUUUUUUUNNNNNNNNNNNNNNNNNNNNNNNNNNNNNNNNNNNNNNNNNNNNNNNNNNNNNNNNNNNNNNNNNNNNNNNNNNNNNNNNNNNNNNNNNNNNNNNNNNNNNNNNNNNNNNNNNNNNNNNNNNNNNNNNNNNNNNNNNNNNNNNNNNNNNNNNNNNNNNNNNNNNNNNNNNNNNNNNNNNNNNNNNNNNNNNNNNNNNNNNNNNNNNNNNNNNNNNNNNNNNNNNNNNNNNNNNNNNNNNNNNNNNNNNNNNNNNNNNNNNNNNNNNNNNNNNNUUUUUUUAAUUUCUUUUUCUUUUGUAGGUUUAUAAUAACACAAAAAAAUAUCAUGGCUAAAAAGAUUUGGGAGUUUGCAAAUCCCAGUGAAACUUUAUGAGUGCAUGUAUUGCAUUUCCUAAUGUUGCAAACGAGUAAUUUGAAAUUAAACCUCAUCUUGUUACAGUGGUUCAACACAACCAAUUUGGAGGACACAGCCUCGCAAGGCCCCCACUUUCAACCCUUUCUCUCCCUCUCUCACGACCUGAGAAACAAGAGCUGAGUCGGCGCCUAGAGCACACAGAGUGGCCACCAUUCUCCGCCCUCAUGCUAGGAGCCUCCCCUUGCCAAGAGACCUUUCAUCCUGGAAUUGUCUCGUCACAUGCUUCACUCUCACAAGAAGAAUUGAGGAGAGAGACCCUAAAUAGAGCACAUAGACAAUGACAUAUCUGCAUCUGGUGACCGCCACAUAAUUCUUCUUCUCCCACAAGCCCAUCUCUCCUUAUUUGCUUCCUGAGAGAGGCACAAACUCCCGAAAGCUAAUGGUGGCCCUGCACAAUGGCCCACAACAAGAGGAUGCACACACAGAUAUGGCCAGAGAGGGUUGCAAGGUUGCCAUGCCAACAACAAAGGUGGCACACGGGCUUGGGAGGUGGGGAACUGUGACCUGGAUGAAGGUUGCAUGGACACAAGAUUGGGCAUGGACUUAGUGGACAUCCCGUGGAUAUGGAGAGGUUGGGAGGAGGGAGGAGUAGGAGACAUACGGACGGUGGAGGCUCUCAUGGAGGAUCCACCUGACAGGGAGGAGAGAGAGGGGGGAAACUGGCACUACAUGCCACGACCAACACACCCUUAAAAAUUUGGACAUUUCCACGCAUGGGGCCCAGUGGUGCCUCUGUUGCCGCCGAGCAUGCGCUCUUGGCACGGUCUUGUCGGGCAGAGAAACUAGCUAGAGCUAGAGGACGACCUGGCACAUGGGUCCUAAGGGAAGGGUAAGUGGGAUAUUUUUUUAUUUGUUUGUUCAACAUGGGUCCCACUUGUAAGGGAGAGGAAAGGUAGUUUUUCCCCUUGUUUCCUUUUUUACCCAGAUGGAAACUACCACUAUCAGGAGCAUUUUGGAAAAACUUCACGGUCAAAGGCAUUUAACAUGAUACUUACGCGCAUGUUCCAAGGGUUAUACCCAAAAAGAAGGUGAAUAUUUAUUUGAUACUUAUGCGCCUGUGGCCAGAUUGACCACCAUUGGAGUAAUACUCUCAUUGGUUGCCUCACACAAUCUUCUCCUUCAUCAAAUGUACACUAAGACAAUUGUCCUAAAUAGAGAGUUGGAGGAGGAAAUUUACAUCGAACAACCUGAUGGUUCUGUAGUGGAUAGUCAUAAAGGAAAAGUGUGUAAGUUGUUGAAUCUUUGUAUAGCUUAAAACAAGCACGUAAGAGAUGGUACGAGAAGUUCAAAACAACUUUUUCAUCUACUAGCUUUGUUGCCAACAAAGCCAACAAGUGUGUGUUCUACCGCCAGGGUGGGGGCGAGGGAGUUAUAUUGUGUUUAUAUGUUGACGAUACUUAUAUUUGGAACAAACCUCAUGGUCAUUGAGGAAGUGAACGAUUUUCUAAAUCAAAGCAUUGAGAUGAAAGAUCUUGAAGUAAUUGAUUUUGAACAUCAAGCUUUUGAGAGGUGGUGAUGGUGGGAUCACUUUUUUACAGUCUCACUAUGUGGAGAAGGUUCUGGAUCGCUUUUGAGAGGUGUUGAUUCGAAAUAACAAAUGGGAAGAACAAAUAAGAAACAAAGGAUCAAUUGAGAUAUUCUCAAAUCAUUGGGUCGCUUCUAUAUGUAGCUAGUACUACAAACCCAUGAGAUGUUCAUUAGCAUGCUCUUGAGAGGAUAAUGCGUCAUGUGAAAAGUACUAUGAAUUAUGGACUUCACUCUACCGAGUAUCCAAGAGUACUUGAGGGUUAUAGUGAUUGAAAUUGCAUAUCUUGUGCUGAUGAGCUUAAAGCCACGAAUGGUUAUGUGUUUACACUUGAUGGUGUUGUUGUUUCCUAGAAGUCUUGCAAGCAGACCAUCUUAAUAACGUCUACAGUGGAAGCAGAACUCACAACAUUAGACACAACAACUGUUGAAGCAGAGUGGCAUCAAGAACUUUUGAUGGACUUGCGGAUGGUUGAUAAACAAAUACCAGCUAUCGUCAUGGUGGUUGAAGCAGAGUAGAUCUUUAUAAAAACAAAUAAACUCUGGUAAUAAAAUAGUAAUCGUCAAGGUAAACAGUUCUAAGGAUAAUAAGAAGUCAUCCAGACAUGUGAGAAGGAGACUGAAAUAUGUCAGAUUUAUGAGAAACUCCGAAGGUAUGAAUUGGAAAUAUAAACACAUCAAAGAAUCUGGCAGAUCCCUUCACAAAGGGUUUAUCACAAAAUGUUAUAGACACCACAUUUAAGGGGAUGGGUUUGAGACCCACUACAUAAGUUGUUCAUGGUGAUAACUCAUUCUAUGUGAUCGGAGAUCUUGUGAAAUAGAAUUGGAAAUACAAGCUAUUUGAUAAAUGAGAGGAGAAUAUUUAUUUUAUAAAGAUCCACUCCGCAUGACACAAUUCUCUAUGACCAGCUGAUAUUUAUCUUCAUGUGUUCUAAAUGGCUUGGGUAGGCAAAGAUGUUGUCCUACAAAACAUCUAGAAAAAACACACCUAUAUGAGUUAGACUGUUAAAUUUUGCAGUCUGUGAGAGUUGGGCACUCUCUAAUAAACUUGUGAAGAUCCCCAGGAGUAUGACAUAUAUGCUCCUACUCAGAGGAAAGUUUUCAGCACUCUAAUAUCAGUCAAGACUUUUACGUAAAAGUCAUUUGCACAAAACUUGCAGUUCAAGGAGUAGUCCAUUGUUCAAGUUGUGACCAAGUAUAACGUGGAGUUUUAAGUGUAAGUUCAACUUACCAGUCUCCACCAAAACACUAGUAUAUAAACAAUGUUUUGGAACUAUUGGAAAGUUUUAUGUGGCUCGAAUCUGGUGGGAGAUUGUUGGAAUUAUUGGGCCUAGGCCACUUAAUAUUUCAAAAUAUUGUCAAUCAUUCAUUGUUAAUCCUAGAGGCCUGGCCCAUUCAUGCAUGACAAGGUGGUGUGAAAAGUUUAGUCUCGCCUCACUAGUGAAGAAUGUAUGAGACAAACUUAUAAUUGCAGCAAGGUAUUAUAGUGCGCCAUGUUUCGUAAUCGAGCCGGGCCGCGCUUAGGACCUAGCUAUGCCACGUGUAUGUGCUGCUUUAUUUUUCUCUCGUAAGAAAUAAGUUGAAACGAUUGCCUACUAGUGAGAGAUGAAAAUUGACAGACUCAGACGGUUUCCUCUUCGUCACCUUAGUGGUAUUAGUGUGCCCGUUUCUCUUCCACCACCGAGGGUUCAGUUUCAUCUUGUCUCGCCUAUAAGAGGUCACUCCUCUUCCCAAACGAAAUACACUUCCAUUCCCUCGUUCUAGAGCAUUGUGUCGCUUACCCCUUUCCCAUCUCGAUCCCCGACGUGCAAAGGGGAGUGGGACGGCAGCCUUCGAAACCUCGCCUCUUGUGAUCUGGUACGGUAGAGGGGCUAUUGAGUUUUUGGGGAGCGCCCUUGUGCGACUACUGGAUCCUUGUUCCUUAUGGGUGCAAACGACGACAUCGCUGAUGACGAGUUCCCUAAUGACGAGUUCUUCCCUGACAUCAACCGUCUCCUCGGUAACAUGACCAACGGCGCAUCUACAUCUACUUCCGUUGCUCCGUAUGUCAUGUUAUCCUCUCUGCUAGGGUUAAGGUUUGGCUUACUGCUAGUAGCAAUCGACAUGGAUAUGAUGCUUCUAGCUUAUGAUCUCGAUUGCCUGCCUAGCUUCAACAAUAUGUUGCUUGUUUCUAUUAUCAUCACUAUCAUAUUAUUCACGUUUAUCCACUAUUUUUCUGGAUUAAACUUAAUGGAAAAUUCCUCAAUCAUUCAACAACAAUUAUGACCGGAUCGGUGCUCAUACUAGAAAAUUAUUGUAGUUUGACUUUCAUGUAUUUCUUGGAUCCGCGGCGAAGCAUAGUCAUCUUAUUACUAUGUUAAGAUAAUUGUAAUUUCAAGAGAACUGGAGCAAAGAAAGACAUUUGGUGGAGUUGCUAGUCGGUGCUGAUGCGGCCAACCCCUAGGGUCUUUACUUCAUCUGGCGCUGACAACAACUACGUGACUAAGAAACAUGCUAAAAACGCACGGGGGUAAGAAACCAUGUCUCGAUGUAAACGUUUUUGCUCCAUGGCAAUGCACGGGCAUUUAGCUAGUAUUACCUCUGCAUCUUAAUAUAAGACAUUUUUGCAGUUCAAUUUAUGUCAGAAAUACAAAAAGAUACAGAGGUAGUAAGUUUUAGUGCAGGGACAAAUUAAGUAACAAUCCACAUAAACAAUGGCACCUUUCAUGGUCUACCACAAGAAUAUUGUUUCUAAAACAUUUAUUGGAAGGAGCAUCAUAUAUCAUAGAAGAUGUAAAGAGGUAUUACAACGACAAAACGGUUUAUCAGGAGAAUCUAUCAUUGUUCCCUUGUUUAGGGACUAGAGCAUGUCAUCCUUUCAUGCGUGUAGUUCUAUCGAAGAUUCAGGCGGCGGGCACUUGGGAUUGCACUUAGGGCAUUUAGACUUGCACUCAUCCAAAGUCUUGAAACAUGGGGUCUCCCGGAUGUCACAGCAGUAGCAGUCACCGAAGUCGCAACUCCAUUUGCCGCACAAUAUGACGGUAAACUUGGCAUCAUCUAACGAUGAUAUCGCGUUGGCCACGGUAGCAUUGUUAUCGCCACCGUCUAGAUAGCUUCGUUUUCCAGCCUCCAUACGACCUAAAAUUAUGCAUGUAGUGUUUUUAAUUGUUAGUCCUAUAAGAGAGAGAGAGAGAGAGAUUGAGAGAGAGUCCAUGCGUGUAAAAACUGAAGAAAAUAAAACAAGGGAAGAACCAAAACUAACACUGUGCAGUGACCGUGAGCCAUCCCACGAACAAGAUGGCCAUGGCAUGAACCCCUCUCAUUCUGGUUUAAUCUUUACUGAUUGCUUAGUCGAUUGAGUCAACUCUCCGCAAUGGGGUGGGUUACGUGAGACGAACAAGGGAUGACCAUGGCUGCGAUGACCCGAUCAUUAUAUAGAGGGUCAAAAUCUUAAUUAAGUAGGAGAUAAUAUUCCAAUUAAUUCUAAAGAUUAUUUGGUGCCAUAUAUACGUCGAUAUUAAUUAAUGUCGGAUAAUUUACAUCCACCCAUAUAUGUCGCCCUUUGGGUAAUUUGGUUCCAAAAAGUUGGUUGUGUCAGUCAAUCAAUUAUCUCCCCAAAAUAACACCCCGAAAAUUCACGCAUUGAUUGUUUCGAAGAAGAAGAAGAAGAAGAAGAAGAAGAAGAAUGCUAACCGAAACUACUAACUGGAGGGAAGGCAUCAUGAUUCCCCUCCCAAACACCGGCUACCGGAGCGGCAGGCAAUUGGAUCCAUUGACUCGUCGGUGAAGUGUGGAUGUGAGAGUUUACCCUAGCCGUCUAGGAUUAAGGGAGGUAAAUAACAUGUGGUCCCUUCUAGGGACAUAAUCUCAUUCAUCUUUUUAUGGAAACAACUCUAACAUUUGCAAAAACUAUGUGAAAAAACUCCCUCACUUUUUUUGCUUGUACUUCUAGUAGAAAAUGCUUUCAAAAAACACUGUCACUAGAAGGAUUACAUAUAGAAGCAUUGUUUGUUUUGUAUUAAAUAUUGGUUAACUGUCAUAUAUGUUGUGACACGUCUUAUGUCUCAUAUGCACACAACAUAUAAAAUAAAGAGUAAAUUCAAUUUUUCGCGCGGCAGGCGUGAUGAGCAAUCUCAAAUCAUUGAAAAAACGAGUAAAUUCCUUUUUUACCCCCAUCGAUCAUUUACGCUUGUGACAGAAUUAGUCCCAGUUUAGGAAAACUCUCAAUUUAUACCCCCAUUUAUCACCUUUGUGCCACAUUUUACCUCUUUGCAAUUUUUUCCAAUUUUGUGCUAAGUUGGCAUGGCACGUCAAUGUUUUUUUAUUAUAUAUUUUGCCUAUAGUUCAUUUCUUUUAUUUGACCUUGAGGUGGGUCACCUGUCAUUAUAGAAAAAAAAAAUGGUUGGGUACGCCCCGAACACAUGACCUCCCUUGGGGAAGACUUGUACAGGAUCUGUUCUUAGGUGAGAUCAAUGAAAUCAAUCUUUUUGAAGAUACAAAACAUGUUCAAAAAUUCUGAAAAAAAAGUGGAGACCUACAUCAAGCUCAAAAAGUUUCAGCUCCUAAUUCGAACUGCACUUAGAGGACCAAAAAAGACAAAAUCAGAUGUGAAUAGUGUCAAAUACUACUCAUCCCAAAGCGGACACUAUUCAUAAUCGAAUUUAUCUUUUUCGAAUUUCUAACUAUAGAUUGAGUUUUGAGCUGAUUUUUUUUUUGGAGUUGUAGACAUACCCCGCAGGUAUGUUGUACAUUCUUUUCAGAUUUUUUUUGGAUUGUCUAAUUAUGAAAUGUUUGAGUUGAUCAUAUGAUCUCACCUCAAGGGUUGAUCCUAUACAAGUUCUCUCUGACCUCCCCUCCUCUUCUCUUUGGGAGGGACCACAAUAAAAUUUGUCCCUUAGAAGCAAAAUAGAAAGAUUGAAGUUGGUCCGUUGGAUUGAGGGUUGAUGGCAUAGACUCCAUUGGAGGGAUCUAAGCCCACUUAAAUGUACAUUUCACAAACCCCCCCUUUGUGAAGUUAGAUAUGUCAAACGCCUUUUGCAGUUAUGUCCUUCAGCAUUUCAAUUUUGCACAGCGGUAAUGCCUAUUCUCAUAGAAUCCACGCAUAUUUAGAUACAUUAUUAUGCAAGAAAAUUGGGCAUGUUGGUCACUACAAAGUAUAACGGUAUUUAUCACAAAAUUUGAGUACACAACAUCAACGACAACAGAGCUUUAUCACAAAUAUUUUAGUACAUGACAAAACUGAGCCACCCCCUUCAAUCAGAACUAAACGUACAUGUCAAUCUAGAGCAUCCCUACCAGAGCACAACACAAGAGACAUACAUAAAUAUCAACAUGGGAGGAUCUUUGGUACAAGAACGGGUCAUGUUGGUGGUCGUGUCGAAGGAGUAUAGCUCGUAGAGCUCCUUAUGGUCUUUGACACAGCCGCCGAACAUAAAUGUCGUGCCGCUGACGGGAGGUAGGGGCACCUAGCCGGCCGAGUCGAGGGCAGACCAGGACUGCGCCUUGAGGUCGAAGGCAUACAUGGUGUUGGCCACUUGCAGGUGUGGGGUUAACUCGCAGCCGAAGGAGUAGGCCGUGUCACCGACAAGGGUGAUCAGUGGCGGAGGUAGAGGGUGGCCGGGGUGGGCCAUGGCCCACCCUGAGAUUUGAAAACAACAUUUGUAUCGUAGGAGAAAAGCUAAAAAGUAAAAGGAAAAAAAUAAGUGUAUAUGUACAGUACACUGCUGGCCCACUUGGCCCAGUGGGCUAGGUCCGCCACUGAGGGUGAUGGUACGGGAGCAUCUUGUUCCCGGCCCAGCUCCCUAUGUUCCAUCCAUGUGAUCAAGUAACUCAAUGGUUAACCGAAGCAAAACUACAUUCUGCAAAAGAGAUUCAUUUUUAAGAAUAUCUUGAAUAAUCUUCCCUGUCAACAGACGAGAUUCAUUUUUAGGAAUAUCUUGAAUAAUCUUCCCUGUCAACAGAUGUAAUUCAAAUAAUUGGUACCACAAACUAGUAAGAACUCAUAAUAUUGUGAAAUCAAUCUGUAAAUGACCUUGCAGUAAGCAUAAAUGAAAGAAAAAAAAAUCCAAUACUAAAACCAACCUUAGGAAGCCAUACUACAGAGAUCAUACCGUGCCUAAUUUUUGCCCAUCACACCUGAGAUUUUCUAAAAUCUCCUGGUCUCUAAAAUCUCCUGGUAAUAUGUGUGCUAAUCUAAUUCUAUACAGCUGAGAGCUGAUACCUAUCAAAAUUUUCUUCCUCACAUGGCCCUCAAAUCGUUCAAAGACAGUCUUCCUUUCCCCCCUUGUGUACAUGUAAUCAAGAAAAUCUAUGGGUCUGCUCGGUUGCAGGGCCCUGCAGGGUUUGGGUGAUCAGCCAAAACCUGCAGGGGUUAGUUCCUCUAUGGGAGCAAAUCCUUGUCAGGUUUGAGCCAUUUGGUUGAUCCUUGCUAAAGAGGGAUUUUAUCUCCACGUAUAUAAUCUCACAUAUGGUAUAUAUACUCCAUCUAUGUGCUGAAGCACAAUCAACUAGAAAAUUCCAAAUUCAGAACUAUCAAAUACAGUUGUUCACCACGGCAUAACAUUUUGAUUAGCCAAAUUUCAGAAAAAAAGACUAGCAGCCAUAAUCAUUGUACAACUUUUAUUAUUCACCUCGGUUGAGGUCCUGCCGUGCCGAACAAACGGCGCUCAUCUUGCCAAUAUCGCAUACAUCAUGGAUGGAUGAGUUAUCUGAAUCCCUCUGGCAAGGAAAUAGGAGAAUUAGGAAACAUGGCAAUGUACAUGCAAGAGGCAACAAUGCCAAAGCACAUUGUUAAUUAUAGGUUUCAGAAAUGAACAGAAAGACCUAAAGUUUAGGCUUACAAAAUGUACAACUUAUACAACUUGACAUUUCUCCCAAACACUUAGUUCUGACUAUAGUACAGCCAGUAUACUUGAUCCCUAUAGGGCAGCUUGUAUAGAUAAACCACAUAAUGCAUAAGAAACAACAGAAGAACACCUGUUGGCAAGUAAUUUUUACUGUUCUUUUAGGAAACAAUUAAAGAACUCAGGAUUGACUUCUUGCUAGAUUGUAUUUCUUCUUAAUGUACACUAUGCAGACUCACAUUUUGGCACGACCAAAAGAGAACUGAAAAUAGACUUCGGAUAUUCCCGUCUAAGAACGAGAUUUGUUAACAAAAUGGAGUGACUAAUAACUGAUUAACUAGUGCACCUGAAGCAUUACUUAUCUUUUUUUUUGCGGAUGCAACAUUACUUAUCUAGAAACCCAUAACCCCAAGCUCUAGAUAUCCUAUCUCAGAACAACAAUACAAUCAUGGUAUACAUUCAGCUUAAUUUUGUUCUGUCUAGAACAAAAAUGGAGUGACCAAAUAAGAAAGGAGUUCAACACACAAUAUUUCUGUCCAAUAUAGAUCUUGAGACUAGGUUUACAUAUUUCUGUUCAGAACAUCGAUGAUGUAUGAAUAAUUGUUUCUAGGCCUAUAAGUUUGAUCUCUUCUAUCACUAAUUUGCGCACAAAUCCUUCGGGUCAUUAUCAUUUCGUCAUUAGUCAGCCAAAUGUAAGUUGUGGUCACUCCAUAAUAUCAAACUCAACCAUUUUCCCUACUUCUAUCACCCUUCCACAAACCUAACUAAUUUACAUUAAUCUGGCAUGUAUGUGAAGUUUAUCUCAGACCAUCGCAGCAUAUAUGCUUAACUUGAUGCUAUUCGCAUACUAAUAUCUUUAGAAGUGUUGAUGCAAAAACCUUGCAACCCUGUAGUUCACGCUCAUAGUCAAAUUAUUUGAUAAAUUAACCCACAGAAUUGUAUAGAACUACUAAGACAAGGAUCCGGCAAAAACUCCGAUAAAGGGUGUUUUUAUUAACUCAAAACAUACCAUCAACUGGGUACAAAGCAUGAUGAACAACACCUGACCUGUGCAUAAUUAAGAGGCACACAACCAAAAACCAAAGUCUCGCAAAAGAAAAUCAAAAAUGGACAUAUCCGCAACAGUAGAGUCAUAUGAGACCGACACUAUGCCUAUGUCGAAGGAGGUGGUGGGCCGAUCCAAAGAUUAUGGUGCAACCCAUGUUGGGUGAAAACUUCCUUGGCCACCCACUCCAACCACAUACACACCAUCUUGAACAGCAGUUGUUGUUCGGUGUAACAUAGACCACAUAAAAAGCAAGCUCGUAUAGUGGAAAAUAAACUAGAAAAAGAAGAUCAGAUUUUGCCAUGUUAAAAUAUUUUAUUCCGAUUGGAUUCGGUUAACCUGACACAAGGACGAAUGUGUUUCGCUGGAAUCUCACUCUAUCUGGGUCUUUAACAGUCGACUCUAUGUAUUGCUCACGCAUUCAGAGAUCCCAGUGGAUAAUAGUAAAAAAAAUUGAAAACCAAAGGUUCUACAAAAAGUUCGCGUGACUCUGGUUCAUUUUCAUGCUAAGCUCGCGUGACAAAGAGUGAUCCUGAGACGUCUUUUAAUGCAUGGGUGCUUAGAUGAGGUGCUAAGUGCAUUAAAAGAAUUAGCAACUAAACUACUAAUGCAUAGGUGCUUAGUUUUUAGUUGCUAAGCUUCCUUCAUUUAAUUAGGUAUAGACUUAGAUUUGUGUUUUCACCUAGGUACACACGCUUAGCAUGCAUCAUCUCCUCCUCAGAUCACCAUACUACUCUCUCUUCCUUCUUAAUUAACAUGCCACAUCAGAUUUUUUGCUUAGCCGGCAAUUUUUAGCAUUUGAAGAGGCCUGAUCCACACCACUUUUGUCACACGUCGACCUAGUACGAAAUUUUGAAACAAGAUGGCAAAACAAAAUGAUUAACCCUUCAACUUGAGCCGCAACAACACGUACAUACAUUUGUGUGGGCGAACAAACAAACACAGCAGCCACCUGAUCCAACAAGCCAGUAUGCCACAUACGUAGGAAAGCCUGUGAGCCAAAGAUCCUUUGCUCGUUGACAAGGAGAAGAUUUAUAAAAGAACAUAAUGGGAUGUUGUGGUGAGCGACUUUGGGGCAGGCAAAGCGAAAAAAAGUCGAUUUGUUACUAGAAGUAAACCUGGCUACACAUAACAAUUUUGGAAGUACCACAACAAACCAGCAACGAUGGAUACCACAUGGAAGUGUAAAGCAACAAUAUAACCAUUUUUGCCGAAAAAACUUUCGAUCUAUUCAUCAACUAUCAAAGUAAUAAAAAAAUAUCAAAAAUAAAAUUCACAUCCAGAUCCGUAGAACACCUAGCGACAACUACAAGCACUGGAGCGAGCCGAAGGUGCGCCGUUGUAAGGGCAUUCUUGUCCCUUUGUAGCUUUGGUGAUUAAUGACAAUGUUUUUGCGGACUAAUCAUGUGUAUUGAGUUUUUCAGAUAUAUCAUGACUAAACAAAAAAUGAUUUGAUGCCCCUCGAAGAUUAAUGAAGACGGCGUUUCUCUACGGUUCUUUUCGGUGGAGUUGAGUCGUAGGAAAGUCGUACUAUUAAGAGGGGGUCCGCUUUGAAAAGGUUUGGGUGGAAUCUCACGUACACGUCCCUUUUGCACCGCCUUUCCUUUGGCUCUUUGGAGUUUCCUCCGUCUCACCUUGUCUCUACAAAAUGAAGUACUCCGAGUUGCUCUUCUUAGGCUAGCGGUAGUACUGCUCCUCUGAGCGGUACUACCGCAGGAGCCAGCGGUAGUACCGGGCUCCGGCACGGUAGUACCGUGGGCCUCUACGGUAGUACCGCUUCUCCUGAGCGGUAGUACCGUGAGUUCUGGCCUGGCGCUGCUGCACAAGCGGUAGUAGGGACGGAUGUAAUUUUUUACAUCCGCGCCCUACGCGGUAGUACCGUGCUGCGGCGCGGUAGUACCGUGUCGCCUGGCCUUCACGGCAGCAGGAGCGGAGGUAGGGGCGGAUGUAAUCUUUUACAUCCGCAGCCUUCACGGUAGUACCGCACCCCUGGUUCGCGUUAGUAUCGUGUCGGAUUUUCGCAUCGAUAAAAUCUCAGCGGAGGUAGUCACGGAUGUAAUUUUUUACAUCUGUGCCUACCGUGCCUGGCCUGUGGCUGCCCUGCGGUAGUACCACAUAGGGCCGCGGUAGUACCGCGCCUGCGGUUCUACCGCGCCCUGUCUGCGCUCUUUUGUUCAGGUCCAGGCUCUGCCACGCCCAUGGUAGUACCGCGGUCCGCCGCGGUAGUACCGCAGGCCCGUGCGGUAGUACCACUCCUGUGGUGCGGUAGUACCGCUCCUGUGGUGCGGUAGUACCGCGGGUCGCGGGCUGAGUGGUGGGUAGCGGUUGGAUUUGUUCCCCCACUAUAUAAGGGGGUCUUCUUCUCCAAGAAGACUUACCUCUUCCAUCCCUAAGCUCCAUUGUUGCUCCAAGCUCCAUUUUCGCCCGAUCUCUCUCCCUAGCCAAUCAAACUUGUUGAUUUGCUCGGGAUUGGUUGAGAAGGCCCCGAUCUACAAUUUCACCAAGAGAAAUUUGAUUCUCCCACUAAUCCCUAGCGGAUCUUGUUACUUUUGGGUGUUUGAGCACCCUAGACGGUUGAGGUCACCUCGGAGCCAUAGUCCAUUGUGGUGAAGCUUCGUGGUGUCAUUGGGAGCCUCCAAUUAAGUUGUGGAGAUUGCCCCAACCUUGUUUGUAAAGGUUCGGUCGCCGCCUUCAAGGGCACCAAUAGUGGAUUCACGGUAUCUCGCAUUGUGUGAGGGCGUGAGGAGAAUACGGUGGCCCUAGUGGCUUCUUGGGGAGCAUUGUGCCUCCACACCGCUCUAACGGAGACGUACUUCCCCUCAAAAGGAAGGAACUUCGGUAACACAUCCUCGUCUUCACCGGCUCCACUCUUGGUUACCCCGUGCCUUUACUUUGGAAGCUUACUUGUGUUAUAUUCCUUGCUUGCUUGUGUGCUUGUUGUUGUUGCAUCAUAUAGGUUAUUCACCUAGUUGCAUAUCUAGACAACCUACUUUGAUGCAAAGUUUAAUUUGGUAAAGAAAAGCUAAAAAUUGUUAGUUGCCUAUUCAUCCCCCCCCCCUCCAGUCAACUAUAUCGAUCCUUUCAGCCGUCGUCAUCGCCCCUCCCUCACCAGAGCUAGGAAAACCUUGUUGUAGUAGACAGUAAAAAAGUCGUCAUGCUAAGGCCCCUGAAUACAAUCACAACAUGACAGCAACCGCCGCCAAUGAAGAGACACGUAGAUCGGAAGGGUCCAACCUAUAGACACGAACGAAGACUAGAUCCAAAUCGGACCCACCAAAGACAACGCCAACUGAGUCCUGCGAGCUCCACCGGAUACAAACCUCACAUGCUUUCCGGCGAUGCUAGAAGCAUCACGUGGACGGGGCUAUGCGCGGAGAACCUUACUCCAUCUUCAGGAAGUCAUCACCGUCUCUCUUAUGAAGAGAACACAAACCCUAUCAAAGCUUAAACAAAAUAACCUAAAAAUGAAGCCCUUCUGUCAGUAAGGAUCGGAGGAAGGUGUACUUUAUUUGCGGUGCUCAAUCCACGUACUCACCAUUGGUUCCAUCCGUCCUUCCCCACCGAGAUACCGAGCCUCCCAAUGUGUCGAGUAUGGUAGGGGUCGUUGUGGGCCUUGUUUGUAAAGGUGUGUAUCCCUUGUUUAGAGUAGCCCAAACCUAUUUAGCGUAAUGCGUGGCCCAGUUUGUCCGGUUUUGUUCUUCUUUCUUUUGUGUUUUCUCUAUCGGUUUUACUAGGUUUUCUAGGGUCUUUCAAUUUUUAUUUUUGUUUUCCUGUUUGUUAUUCCCUUUUUAUUCUUACAUUUUACUUCAUGAAAAUUUGAAUAUUGUGAACAUUUUAAAAAGUAUGAUCAUUUUUCAAAAUAUAUUACUAUGUUCCAAAUUUAAUUUUCAUAUUCAUGAAUAUUCUGAACUUUACAAAAAAUAACGUAUGUGAUUUUUAUUAGUUGUGAACCUUUUCUAAAAUACAAGACACUGUUUGAAAACAAAAACUAAUUUUAAAUUGGCAAACGUUUAAAAAAAUUCAUGAUAUUAAGCUUCCUUUAUUUGGAGCAUCCCGGUGUGUCGCGGCUGUGGGGUCGCUAUGGGCCUCACUUGUAAGUUGUGUGUCGCUGGCCAGUAGCGCACACUAUAGUGCUAAUGUGCUGACCAAUUUGUUCGGUCCUAUUUUUAUUUCUUUUCUGUUUGCUCUAUCGGUUUUAAUGGUUUCUCUUUUGGUCUUUUCCGAAUCUUUGCCAUUAUAUUCCUGUUUGUUUUUUCCUAUUUACUAUUUUUCAUAUUACUUUUUAUUUUCUUUUUCAUAUUUUAAUUCAUGAACAUUUUAAAAAUUGUGAACAUACAAAAAAUUCAUGAACAAAUUCUAAAAUCAAUGGAAUUUUUCGAAAAUUCAUGAACAUUUUUAUAAUCAUCACAAUUCUGAAUUUCAUGAAUAAUUUUAAACUAUGUGAACUUUUUAGAAUUUGCAAAACUUUUUUUGAACGCACAACAUUGUUUGAGAUAAACUAAUAUUUUUUAAAUGCAUAAAUAAGAUUUUAGAAUUCAUAAUACUAAGCUUCCUUACUUUGGACCAUCUUAGUAAGUAGGGGUUUUGUGAGUUGCUAUAGACCCCGUUUGCAAAGGUUUCUUCUGUUUGAGAGAAUAGCGCGCACCUAUAUAGCGGUAAUGCAUCAUGCAGUUUGUCCAAUUUGGACUUUCUUUCUCUUGUGUUUUAACUUUUAGUUGUAUUCCUAUUUUUAUUUUUGUCAUCUUUGUUUUUACUUUAUUAUUAUUUUCUUUUUGGGAGGUUUCUUCUCUUUUUCUUAUCUUCAUUUUUCACAUGUAACAUAAGAACAUUUAAAAUUUUCUGAACAUUCAAAAAAAUCCUCAACCGUAUUCAAAGUCCAUGAGUAUUUAUUCAAAUUUAGGAACAAUUUUAGAAUUUGGUAAUAUUUUUAAAUUUGCGAAUAUUUUUUCAAUUCACAGACAUCGUUUGAAAUCCAAGAAUAUUCUUUAAUUCACAAACAUAUUUUUAAAAAUUCAUGAUACUAAGGUCCCUUUAUUUGGAACCUCCUAGUGAGUCGGGGGUUGUGGGGGUUGCUAGGGACCCCGUUUGUAAUGGUGUGUGCCGUUGGUUGAGACUUGGGAGUAGCACAAAUCUAUAUAGCAGCAACGUGCCAGCCUGGGUUGGAUGGUUAGGUGGACAGUGGAUACCCAACCCACCGGUUCAAGUCCCGAUGCUCGCAUUUAUCCUGAUUUCAUUUCAGAAUUUCCGGCGAUACGUGUUCAGUGAGAGGAGACGUUCCCGUCAACUAUGAGGCGCCUAUGGCAACUUUGUAAAAUCUGAAGAUGUUGUGCCGGCUCGGUCUCUCGGAGGUGCUCAUAGGGGUAAGAUAUGUGUGUGCAUUCAUAGGGGUGAGCGUAUGCGCGUAUAUAUGAGCGCUUGUGACUGGACCGAUGUUCACAGAAAAAAAACAACGUGUCAGCCAGUCUGUCCACUUUUGAUUUUCUUUUUCGCAUUUUAUCCAACGCUUUUAAUAGUUAUUAUUUUGGUUUCCUAUUUUUCUUCUUUCUUUUCAUGUAUGUUUUUUUGUUUUUCUCCCUUUUUCCUUUUAUUUUUUAAAUUUUAAUUCACAAUAACUUUAAUAAUUGUGAACAACCAAAAAAAUCAUGAUUUUUAAAAAUCCUUGCUGUUUUUUUGCAAAUUUAUGAACAUUUUUAAAGUAUAUGAACCUUUUCUUAAAAUUCGUCAACACUACUGAAAUCAGCGAAAAAAUUUAACCUUCACAAACGUUUUUUGAUUUUUUUUUCAUUCUGAACAUUUUAAAAAAUCAUGAACAUCUUAUGAUUUAUUGAAGUUUUUCAAAUGAAAGAAAGAUAGUUGAAUUUUUUUCGAGGUAGCAGUGGAGCAAGCGUGAAAAAAGGUAAGUGGGCGAGAGGAGCAGGGAGCCGAGUUGGGCGAGCGAGAGCUUCAUGAACCAGCCCAUGUGAGUGUUAUAACAAAAAUUCCAUGUUUUCAACAUGGAAUAUGAUCUACCAAGGGGCAUCACGCACGCACUGCACAAGGCUCCUGCACACACUACAACAGCCUGGAAGGUGCUCACCUAGCUAGGUAGAACGAGUCGCCAUCAGAGGAGGACGAGGACCGGACCUCGACUGGGGUUCGAUCACCACGGCGACACACUUCACAAGGCCCGAUGUUCCGAUCCCUUUCCUGUUGGUAGCAUCCCAGUAUAGACAUAACACAAUCUUGUAAUUACACUCUCACUUGCAUGGCAACUAAAAAGCAUAUGUUUCCAUGGCAACUAAAAAGCAUAUGUUGCCAUAUGGCAGCCAAAAUCAUGUGAACUUCCUGUUAAGUUUUAUAAAUUCUAUGUCAACUAAAAAGGAUAUGUUGACAUGGCAACUAAAAAGCAUAUGUUGUCAUGACAAAUAGGUUGCCAUGCCGACUCAACUUAUGUUGCCAUGACAAAUUAAAUCACAUAUUAUUUUCCAUGGUAAUAAAGCAGUAUAUAUUACCACGGGUAGCUCCAUGGCAUAUUGGAGUUGGGAAUUUUCAUAUGUAUUUUUCCAUGGCAAAGUUUAAUAUGUAUCAGCCAUGGCAAUUUUUGUUUAUAACUCUGUGUUUACAUUGUUCAUUAUUCUAUUUUCAAUGGCAAUUUCCAUAUAAAGCAUGGGCCAUAUUAAGUAAAAUACCACAACAUAUUCUAAUACGUAUCUGCCAUGGCAUUUUUGUUCAUUUUCCUAUUUUUUUUUGCCAAGGCAAAUUCUAAUAUGCAUCUACAUUUUUCCCAGGGGAACAAAAGCAUUUAUAGUUGUCAUCUAUUAAAAGAAAAAAUUUCCUCUUUUUUUCUUUUCCAUCCUUCCGCAAAAGAAAAUGUUGGCAAAUUCAUGUGGGCCCAUAAAAGCAUUUUUUGCCAAGCAAAAAAUGUUCAUGGAAUGCUUAUAGUUUUUUUACCAUGGAAAAUUUUUGUAAUUGACGCUGGAAAUUUAGUUUAUUGACCAUGGAAAAUUGUAAGUACUUUAUCGACCAUUGCAUAUUCAGUAGUUGACCCUGGCAAAAUGAGUUUAUUGACCAUAGAAAAAUUUAUUUAUUGACCGUGGCUAGUUUCUUAAUUGAUCAUGGACAAAUUUAAGUCUUUUUUCAAUGGUAGCAAAUUUGACUAAUUGACCAUGGCAAAUUUUAAGUCCUUCCUCGGUAUGGUAAAUUUCGUAAUUGACCAUGGCAGAUUUAAUUUGUUGACUAUGGCAAAAUUUAAGUCCUUUUUUGGUAUGGUAAAUUUAGAAAUUGACCAUGGCCAAUUUAGUUUAUUGACCAUGGCAAUUUUAAUUACUUCUUCGACCAUGGAUAAAAUUAGUAAUUCACCAUGGCAGUUUUUUUGAUAGAUCAUGGCAAAUCGUUAAUUGAGCAUGGCAAAUUUUAGUAGUUGACCAUGGUAAAAUUUUAGUAAUUAAGCAUGGCAAAUUUAGUAGAGCAUGGCAAUUUUGUAUUAAUUGACCAUGGGAAAUUUUACGUACUUUUUUGACCAUGACAAAUUUCGUAAUUAACCAUGGCAAAUUAUUUGGUUGAUCAUGGCAAUUUUUAGUAAUUGACCAUAGAAAUUUUAGUAAUUGAGCAUGGCAAAUUUGUAGUAAUUGACCAUGGCAAAUUUUAAGUACUUUUUCGACCAUGGCAAAUUUGUAGUAAUUGACCAUGGCAAAUUUUAAAUACUUUUUCGACCAUGGCAAAUUUGUAGUAAUUGACCAUGGCAAAUUUUAAAUACUUUUUCGACUAUUGCAAUUUUUCGUAAUUGACCAUGGAAAAUUAUUUAGUGGAUCAUGGAAAAUAUAGUAAUUUAGUAAUUGAGCAUGGAAAGUUUGUAGUAAUUGACCAUGACAAAUUUUAAGUGCUUUUUCGACCAUGGCAAAUCUAUAAUACCUAAAUUGUUCAUCCCCUCUAAACUAAUUCUCUUGACAUGCACCCUAUGCACAUCAAUAGCCCCACUACCUCAUCACCCUUGCUAAGUCAUUUCUUUUUACAAAAGGAUUCCUCCGCAGCACAACAUAAAGGUUCAAACCUGUGUGUCCAACUAACUUUAUUACUUUCCAUUGACGAGGAUUAACACUCCACUUCCUUCCUAUGCAUCAACUUCCACUCCCAUUUCUCCUUUGGCUCAGCCACGAACCUUCCUGUUAACACCCUCACAAAGUCAUACCAAUUGAUGGCAUGCAGCCCCCCAUCUCAGCAACCUGCUACCUCACCAAAAACUGCAAUUUGGUGAAGCCAAAUCAUCCUAUGGCUCACUUAUCUACCCCUCCGUAUCUGAAAUAGUUGUUGGCCUCUUGCGUCCCCCUUCCUCAUUACUCCUUCAUCAUGUUCGACUACACAUCCACCUUCUUGCAUUCCUUUUGGUAAUGAACACUUCCAAUCAAUGCAAGAAAAUGAAAAGUAUUUUCUGGCAGCCUAUUUAUUCUGGUUAGUCCUUUCGGUAAUGAACACUGCCAAUCAAUGCAAGAAAAUGAAAAGUAUUUUCUGGCAGCCUAUUUAUUCUGGUUAGUCUAGGAAGAUCAGCCAGUGCAAGCACAAAGUAGAGGCCCGCACAACAAUCCUGCGAGAAUGGAAGAGCCAGGCGGAUAACUUCGGCCAGCUCACGCGCCAUCUCCACACCUCAUAUGCCGUUCUCUUCUCCUCUCAUUUGUCCUUCGGGCCAUACCAUACCGAUCUCGCUGACCACCAAAUUAUCAGCCAUCAUGGGCAAUCGAAAGGGUUUGGAUGUUGAGCUGGUAUGCAAGUUCUUACUGCCAUGAUGCCCCCUUCUUUUCUUCUGUACGUUUAUUUUUAGGCAAGUCCCCUGUUCUGCAGCCCAUGCAAGAUGUUUUGCCAGUGCCAUGUGCACGUUCAUGUAGAUGUCUCCAACGAGAUAAGUUUUGGUGUGCCCCUAUGUUAUAGGCUUACUGUAUCUUCUUUUUUCACCGUUUGUACCGGAACUUUUACAUCAUUUGUGAUGACCGAGACUUCUGCAUCAUCUGUGAUGGCAGUGCAUUUCCAAAUUUUAUCUUGAAUCUUUCUCAUAUUUAUUUGUGUGUAUAGUUUUAUUAUCUAAGACAAGUGUCCACAAGGCGUUUGAUGAAAAUCCAAGUAGCCUGCAUGUGAAAAUAAAAAUAUGUAGCUUUUAUGCUUCUCCAUUGUCUGCUAUUUUUUUGUAUAGCCAUUCAUAAUCAUGAUAUGCAGCUUCGGAAUAUAAAAUGUUUCAACAUGUAUAUAUCUAAUCGCUUAUUUUAUUUGAUUGUUCUCAAUUGUCAUGUGGUUCAUUGGUUCACCUUAUAACUUAAUUAGUAUCACUAAAUGUUCAUAUUUUUCAUAUCUUUUAUUGUAUCAUCGAUGUACGUAACAUGUUUUCGUCCUAGCAUUUUUUUUACCCAAAAUGUAGUGAAGAUCAACUUUUCCUUUUUGACGCAGAAGAGACAUUAACUAUCUCAAAAGAGAGAGGUCAGCUACUUACACAGAUGUGGAGACUAAAUUCCUAACAUAUUCAAAUCUUGAUGUAAAUGUCUAAUCAUAUAAGUUAUGGUUCCAUCAUUUUGUACUAAAAGCCUGGUGAUCCAUGAGAGUUAGGGAUGCAUAUUAGGUGUCGUCUCGGGAAAUGUUGCUAAUCAUUUUCCGAGCAUUACAUCAUUGUCAAUUCAGACCAAAGAUAAUUGACCAAAUUAUAUCUCUGCAAUAUAUAUUUGUUUUUAUGGACCUGUGCGGUAUAUAUGACAUGUACACCAGUUGCCUCACAUUUUCAUUUUAAACAAUGACUUAUGUUGCAUCAAGUGAGAUUUCUCCAUGAUAUAGGACUAUAGAGGACAUAGGUGUAUCAGCACACAAAUGUGAGCUUUCACUUGCAUUGUUGCAUACUGAUGUUCACUAAUUCAGGUUAUCAUUGCUUAUUGAUCUACCUUUGGCGUAAUUUAUCACCGCUUACUUCCAAUCCAUUUGUCCUCCUGUUUAUGUAUAAAAUAAUGUAUGCCAAAAAUUCCAGCAGCAACGCGCGGGGUAUUUUCUAGUUUUAGUAAUUGACCAUGGCAAAUUAUUUGGUGGAUGAUGGCAAAUUUAGUAAUUGAGCAUGGCAAAUUUGUAGUAAUUGACCAUGUCAAAUUAUUUGGCAGAUCAUGGAAAAUUUGUAGUAAUUGACCAUGGCAAAUUUAAGUACUAUUUCAAACAUAAUUUAUUUUAGUAAUUGAUCCUGGUCAAUUUUGUAAUUAACCAUGCCAAAUUUAGUUUUAUGUAUCAUGGUAAAUUUAGCUUAUUGUGCAUGGCCAAAAUUAUUCUUCUCAUGACAAUACUCACUUUUUUGAACCAUGGCAAUUUAAUCAAUUCUUAGCAUCAUGGGAAUCGGUUUUUAUGUAUCAUAAUUAUUUUACAUCAUUUUUUGCCAUCAUGACAAAUUGGCACCACUUUUGGCCACCAUGGCAAACUUAUACAUUUUUUCCCAUCAAUGCGUGUUUUUAGGACCAGGGCAAAAAUUUCUUUUCUUUUUGCAACAUAGCAAAAUUACUAUUCAUGUCACCAUGUCAAAUUUUAGUUUAUGGUCAUGGCAAAUUCACUUUUUAUGUAUCAUGGUAUUUUUAUUGUCUAGACAGUGGCAAAUCGUUGUGACCAAAACGACAAUUUAUUUUUGGACCAAUUUCAAAAUUUAUUUAAAACCAUUGUAAAAUUAUUUUGUCUAGCACGACAAGUUCAAUUUUUUUGUCGGGCCAUGGAAAUUUUUAUAUUUUUUCAUCAGCAACUUUUUCUACGAAUUUCUAGAUUUUUGAGGCAUUUUUAUUUGUAAAGUUUUUCUCAGUUUUUUAACUGGUUUUACUGCAUUUUUUUCCGUGUUUUAGUGUCUAAAUAUAAAUGGGCCUGUUUUCCUUUUGAUGCUCGUUCAACAGGUCCAUGCUGGCCUUUCUGGAAGUGCUCGCGCUAGGAGGCCUCCUAGGCCGAAACCGCAAAACACACUGUCAUUUUUCGAUAAAGGGCGAUUUUAUUAUCUCAAAUGUAGCAUCAAGCGGAUACAGAACAUUAUGAGUAACACCCGGCCUCUGCAUAACUAGGAUGCACACAACCAAACACCAAAGUCUGACACUAGAAAAAGUAAGAAAACCAACAAAACGGCAACAGUAGAGUCCUAUGGACCGGCACUUUGCCUAUGUCGAACUCGGCGGUGGAUCGAUCCGGAGGUUAUGCUGCCACCCAUGUUGGGAAAAAACCUCCAUAGCCGCCUGCUCCAACCGCGUACACACCGUCUUGAACAGCGGUUGGUGCUCUGCCAGUUGUAGCGUAGACCACGUAUGAAGCGAGUGCGUACAACGGAAAAUAACCUGCAGAGGAGAAGCAUUUUUGUCAUUAAAAAUCAAAUCAUUUCUAAAUAGCCAAAGCGACCAUAGUAAGGCAUACGCCCCCACCCUUAUUAGCGUUUUCACACUAUUUGAAAUUCCGUCCAACCAAUGACCAAAUAUAUUGGCGAUACUCGUUGGCGGAUACAAAUUUGACGCUAUUUGGAUGACUGACCAUGUAGAACAUGCAAACUUGCAUUGGAAAAAGAGGUGUUUGAUUGUCUCGUCAUGAGCACAAAAGCAACACUUCUUACUUCCUGGACAUGUUACCUUUCUUCAGAUUCGUGAGCUCGAUGCGGGUGUUGAUGGCCUGACUCUGGCUCUGGGCGGCGAACAUGGCGGUGAUGGCGCUCCAGACCUCCGCCGGAGUCUGCAGGGUGGCGACUUGGGCGAGAAUCUCACGGGACAAAGAUCCCAUCAGAUACCCCUAGAGCUGCUGCUGCGUGUACCAGAGGGUUCGGGCAAAAUUGACGAUCUAUUCGUCCUUUCCUUCUUUGGUGAUGGUGAGGGUGGCCGGCGGUUCCUGGCUCUUCCCAUCAAGAUGAUGCUCCAUCUGUGCGCCUCGAAUUUGCGGGAGCACGACGGCCUUCCAUAAGAGGAAGUUUCCUCUUGUUAGCUUCUCCUGUGGGGGCAGUCCGAGGGGGAUAGAGCUGCUGCUAGAUGAUGAUGCGAAGGUGGAGGCCAUGGAGGUGGAAAGCGCGCUCGUGGUGGAAGAUAGGGCUGCGGAGGAAGACAUGAGCUCGGCAUCGGGAAGGUAGCUAGAUGCGAUCUUCGAUCUAAGAGGAAGAUGCUCUGAUUACCAUGUAAAUUGGGUUGGAAGCGUUGAACCCUUUGUCCCGGGCCGCAUGUUUAUAUAUAGUGGCAAAGCCUUGGAGUACAAGAAGAUCAGGAGAUCGAUCAGUUCGGUUCGGUUCGGUACAGAAGGUUACCGAGGAGAGGAAGAAAGAGAGAUAGGGAUAGAUUACAAUUUGAAUGAUCUAUUCCUAUACAUAUUCUAACAUGGGGUCCAAAUUCCUCGAGGCCUGUCGACGCAUUGCCUUUACAAGUGAAUGUUCAUCGGUCAGAGAGGAACCAUCUGCGGAGACGGCGUGACGGUUACUACGUCGAAGGGGCGAAGCCUGCCCUCCAGACAUAGUACACAUCGGUGUCUUAUGUUGAGAUGUUGGUGUUGAUUGUUGCGAGCUCGGCGGCGUCUGAACUGUCCCAAAGGUCGGUGAAGAGGGAUGCGCUGCAAGUCCCACUGAAGCGACCGCAAGGGGUGUCGUGGCUGAUCCACUCGGACGAUCCACAACUGGGCCAAGGGGGACCACAACAACCGGAGCAGGAGUUGAAGGAGUCUCGACGGACGGCGUCGUUGAACAUUGCGCACGCACUGAAGCAGCAGCUGUAGCCUGCACGGGUGACGGCGCACCCGCACCCACGCCCGGCUGCACAAGCACGGCAGAAGCAGCCGCAUGCACAACAUGCAGUACACCACCUCCCAUGGCAGGGUGCACUGGCGAGGCGUGCACAUGAUUAGCAGGAGCCUCAGCAUAAGACUGCUUGGGUGCACAUGCAGCCACGGGCCCCGCAGCAGCCCUAUCCACGGCUUGCUGUUCGGGCGCCAUAGGAGCCACUGCAUGGCCAAGUGUAGGCGUAGCUUCUGGCUUCUGCAUGGGCGCUGUAGAAGCCGCUGCAUGGACCGGUGCGGACGUAGCUGAGGCCCUCUGCAUGGACACAAUAUUUGCACAGUCAACUGACGCCUUGCACCUGUAGCGAAGAAGGCCUCAGAUCAUUAUGCACUAAACUGCCUUUGGUUGGAACUGUAGCAUUCUCAAAGCCCGCAUGAGUAGUCUGCAUGGGAACAUUGGAACCUGUGUAAGCUCCAGACGCUCCAUUUUCACCAACGGACUGGACACUUUUUGUUCUCUUGUUCGCAUCCCUAUCUGGCAUAUCUUCAUCCCCGUUAGCACCGUCAUUAUGUCCAUCAUCAUGGUUUUCCCAAAUCCGCGGAAUGAAGUCAGCGUCGGGGAAAAAAUCAUCCUCCUAUACAAACCGAAACGCAUAUCCAUUAAGCUUGACGUAAACAUCAUAGGAGACUGAGGCUUCAUCAGACCCAUGCUUUUUGCUGAAAAUAUCCAAGGAAAGAACAGCCACCUGGAUUCGCACUAUACCAUGUCGGUGCAAGCAAACCAAGUCAACGUCCUGAGUGGCGCCUAUAACCGAUCCAACCGCCCAUAGACCAAGGAAAUGGCGCGGUGGUGGCGGGACUCCCGUGACAUGAACCCAUACAGACUGCAAAGGAAGAACGGAUGGAAGCUCCUCAGCUUUCCAUUCACUGAAAGCGAUCUUCACGCCAUGCGAUUUCACAUUGUACUCAAAAGUGGUAACACGCUGCAAAAUUUCGACAGACGGGAAGGAAACUAAGAAAGUAUUGGCUUCAUGAGGGACGGCUUCCCACUCCCACGAAGUCUGGACCAAGGCGAUCUUAGCAACCUCAACCUCGACCACAGCAGCAGACAAAGAACCACCAGAGAUCGUAACCAAAGCUGUCGGCAAAGUUCGUGGUGCAAGAUGCUCCUUGAAGAGCGAGUCUGGUAGCUGUACGAACAUUGCGUUUACUAGACCACAAACACCGAGGAAAGCACAUGGCCUUGGUUGCUUGAGAACAUGGCAGCGGUGCAUAGGAUGUUUGUGGUUGUUGCAGAUAUGACAAUAGUGAACCACCGUGCAAUCUUUGAAAAGAUGAUCAUCUGAUCUGCAUUUGAAACACCAUAGACCAGUUCUUUUUCCUUUCGGCAUUUGUCCAGUUGUGUCAACAGUGGCCAAAGCUACGGAAUUGAUAUCUCUUGUAUCUUGUAUCUGAGCAGCAGGGGCUGCCACCACAGCCGGCGGUGGCGGAUCCCGAGAUGACGAGGUGUGCAGAUGUGGAUUACCAAAGACACGGCUAGGGCAUCCCGACUCCUCGUACUGGAACAGGUCCACCCUCCUGAUCGUACGGCCCAACCGCAAGGCCUGAUUGGCCACGCUCGGGCAGGGCCCACGAUCCUGCAACAAGGCCGAAGGCCGAGUCUGCAUGAUUCGAACAGAAGCGCGAUCACCGGCAGUUGAAGACCGAGGCUCCAUCGUUUGACCGCGAGCGCAAUCAUCGCUUGCCGCUGAAAGCGCGGCCGUUUCUUCCGAUGGAGAUUGCACCGCCGCCGCCGACGCACCCGUCUGGGAAGCCGGCAGGAACGCAGCCAGCGCCACUGGCGGCGUUAUCCUGGGGCGCGGGAGCGGUCCUGGCCGGAUGCAAACCCCGCGACGUUGACGCGCUGGCACCGUCGGCGGCCGUGGCAACUCCGGCGAAGCAACCGGACCAGCAGUAGUCUCAUUCUCCGUCGGCGGCCGUGAGGAGAAUCUGAUUGUUCCUUGCCGGAUGAGCUGCCGCGGCCCUUCUCCCACACCCUGGACGCCGGUGUGGGGUAGGGUAUCCCACGUCAUUCCAGAACUCCUGCAGGAGCUCUGCGUCCGACUUCUUCUUCCUGGGCCGCACCAUUGACCAGGAACCCUCCGGGGUAUCAUCGCAUCCGUGAACAUCAUCCCUGGAGAGGACAGCGUCCACCACCUCAUUCGCUAAGCGCCCGGCAUCCGAGACCUCACCCGUCUCCUCCCCGACGUCAGCUAAGGCUUGAUAAUUGCUAGAAAUUAUAAAUGUACUAGGGGUCGAGACCUUGCGACCUGCCUGACACCAGACCACCUGCCUCUGCGCUAAUACAUAGUUUGUUAUAAAUUUGCAUUUUAAAUUUGUCUAUAAAAAACUGAAUUCAAAUUUUGAUUGUGAAUUUCGUCCUCUUUUUUGGUAUUUCGUGGUUACCGUGGUAACCAAGUUUUUAGCCCCUCCUCGGGAAAAACUAUGUGUUCGAUAGGCAAAACGUUGAUCCUCACUCGUUUCACUGCCCUCCUUGAAUCUAAGAAUGAAGAUGAGGAGGACUCAUAUGUGAAGGGAGCUAGAAAUGGAGGCCGGCUUACAGCUACACGAUGGUUAAUUUGUAUAUGAUGUUAUUUGCUUGCCUUGUGCAAGGCUAGGGUACAUAUUGUGUCUUCAUAAGUUGGGAUGAUAUAUAUUUUCUUCUUCUUUGAACAUAAAUGCAUAAUACAUAUGUAGACGCUCAUACGUACACAUGUACACUCACCCCUAGAAUGCACACAUGCACACCCUACCUUUGUGAGCAUUUUUGAGAGACUGAGCCGGCACAUCAUCUUGAGAUUGACGAAGUCGCUAUUGUGUUAAGUUUAAGACUUGAACACUGAUGGGCGGGGAUACCACUGUUCUCCUAACUAUCAAACCACAGAUUGGUUUGUGACGAUCAACAAUUCAUGUAUUAUUUUCUUAUGGUACCAAUGUAUUUUCUUUCCCCCUUUUCUUCUUUUGUCAUUUUCAAUAAAGCCUUUUCAUAAAAUAUAUAAACAUUUUCUUGUCUCCUUUUUCUAUUUUUUGAAGAAAGCCUUUUUAUAUAAUAUAUAAAUGUUUCUCAACAAAUACACUCAAUUUUCUUUUCUGUUUAUUUUUCAUUCCUUCUUUCUUGUUGUGUUUUUCUUUUCUUUUUCAUAUCUAUGUUAUUUUUUUGGAUGUUUACCAUUUUUCCACUUAUUUUUGUUUGAAGGAAGUAUACAUAAUUUAUUGAAAAGUAUAAAAAUCAUUUUUAAUGUAUGAACACUUUUCUAAAACUACAAAAAUAUAUUUUAAAGACGUGGGCACUUCUAAAAUUAUAUGAAUGAUUCUUAAAUACAUGAACACUUUUUAGAACCUACAUUGAUUUUUUUUAAGAACUGUGAAAACCUUUUAAACCUGCCAGACAAGAAAUUAUGUUUCUUUUUGUGGGGAAUAAUUCUAUUUCCUUUUGUAAGAAAACCAAUUGUCACAUGACAAGAAACAGAACAGUUGUCCAACUAAAAAAAUGAAAAGGAACUACACACACAACCUGAAACAGAGAGGAAAAAUCCAGAGGCUACAGGAGACGUUGCUUACAAAAGGUACAUGACUAUGCACAUUUUUUUGACAGUUAUGCAGUAUUCACAUGACAGAUUAGCUUGGCCUCCAAAAAAAGAAAAGAAAAACCAUGACUGACUAGCUUGUACGUAUAGCUAGCACGUAGUAGUACAUCACUUGGAACGAGAAACCAGAUUCGUUUAGCUAAGCCAUUACAUUUACAUACCGGCAGCCAUCAUGGCCUUGAACUCAUGGAAGUCGACGCGGCCAUCGCUGUCCCGAUCAUGCGCGGCGAUCAUGUCGCGCACCCGCGCCAUGCACGCCGCCUCCGGCACCCCCAUCCGCGCCAGGACGGCCUGCAGCUCGGCGGCGGAGAUGUACCCGUCGCCGUUCUCGUCGAACACGGCGAAGGCCUCCCUCAUCUCGGCCUCCUCGUCCUCCUCGCCUCCGCCGGCGAGCUCGGCGUGGAGCGCCUCGAAGUCCGCGAACCGCAGGCCGGGCAUGCCGGGCGCGACGUAGGUGGCGAGGAGCCCGUCCGCCUGCUCGCCCAGGGCGAGGCCCAGGCGCCCCAGCGCGCCCGAGAGCUCGGCGGCGGUGAUGACGCCGUCGCCGUCGUGGUCGAAGAGGUCGAACACGCGCCGCACCCGCAGCCUCCGGUGGCGCUGCUGCUGCUGCUGCUGGUUCGGCUGCGGCGGCGCCGUGGACAUUGCGUGCUAGUGCUAUACGCAAGAAGAAGAAGUUCGUAAAGCUUGGGAGGAUUGCGAGUGUUUGUUUGCUUGUGAGAGCGACUGAAGUUGCCAGGGGGCGUAUAUAUAAGCCAGCCAGCCAUUGUUUGCCAGAUGAAAAGGAUAGACGUACGGCGCUCCACAGAGAACGACUUGACCAAAUACGAUGGGCUCCUAUCGAUGUCAACCUUGUAGUCUGGGGAGGUCAUCAUUUCCUAUUCCACAAUCAAAAGUAGGAGUACGUAAUUAAACUGAUCCAGUCGAUUGUUUAUACACGCAACGCGUUGUGACAUAUGGUACUUGCUUGCUGUAUACGCCGGCUCCAACCGUUAUCGACGGAGCUUUGUCGUGGGUGAUGCAAGUUGUAAGCUGUCAACGCGGCAAGCACACGGUCUUGACGCUGAAACGGGUGAGAAGGAGGAAAAGGAAAAAUAAAACGGGACUUAUGGACCUGCAAAUGGGCUCCUUUUAUACCGUUAAAAGAUGAGAAUAGUGAUCUGUCUAUUUUGGAAAUGACUGUUUUUCAAAUCAACAAUAGUUAGUUUCUCCUACCAGGCUACAACUACCAACCAACAAUAGGUGCCGUCUUUUUCCUGCAAAUCAAUCUUUAUGUACAUCUUCAACACGGACCUUCAAACUAACAUAGCGGUCCGGACGGAUUUUGCAAUCCAACGCGAUACUCUAUCAGUACGUGGAUCGUCCAGACGUCCAUUUCCCAGCAAACCGGACGCAAAUCAAUGGGGCUUUGUCGACGCCCGGACCGUAGCCACUUACACGUUCGCCAUUCCAUCUCACCCAAAAACAUGUCCACCCCCAGUGUUCAGGUCCUGCUGCUCGCAUUAUUCUUGAAUUUAUUUCAGGAUUUCCGAUGACAUGCUUUCAGUGGGAGGAGACGUUCCCAUCGACGGCGAGGCGCCUACGGUGACUUUGUAAAUCUCAAGAUGAUAUGCCGGCUCAGUCUUUUGAAGGUGCUCACAGGGAUAGCGCGUGAAUGUGUUCGUUCAUAGGGGUGAGUGUAUGCGUGUAUGUAUGAACGCUUGCGUCUGUGCUGUGUUAAAAAAAACCCUCUCCAAAAGUACCUCAUAAUAUAUUUUAAAUAUAAUACUCAUACAAAAACAUAGACAUGGUAAAGCUCAAUUGCUCGACCUGGAAUUUUAACUCAUUUUCUGGCCGAUGCCAAAAAAAGAGAAAAAAAAACAAGGGGAAAGACAACCCAGGCCCAUGGUGCCGGCCUAGGUUAUAGAGAUGGCGUAGGCCGAAAAGCUAAAUGAAGCCCACACGCACUCACUCACCGCCGCGCAUUCCUCUCGAAUAACCACCCUUUGUCUUUUUUUUUGUGCUCAAAUUGCUUAUGUGAAGGGGUUAUCAUAACAACCUACCCACCCUUUGUCCCUCGAACCAAACACAUAGAUGGCUAUCUCUAACCAUUUGACAACCCACCCAACCAAAAAGUAAAAUUGGUUAUCCCUAAUCAUGUCGUUAGGGAUACCCAUAGUCAAUCAAGCUAUCCCUUGAACCAAACAAACCCGAAGGGUUUCUAGUGUUUGUUGGGCUUUCCGACUGAUAGUGUCAUUCUGAUUGAAGGUUUCACUUGUGUUUUACUAUCAAGUUAUUGUAAACGAAGGCCGAUACAAUAAACUCUUUGUUGAUAGUAAGUAAAAUUUCCCAGGGCCUAGCGUUCUGAAGACUAUAGUUGGACCUCUUUGCCCCACUGGACCACUAUCUACUAAGGAGGGUACUUUUCAUGCGACCAUUGAUGGACCUAGGAUUGAAGCAAAUCACACGAGAAGAAAUUGGUAACAUUGACUUUUUUUACGCUUAUAACUACCUCAUAACAUUCUAGAAAAAAUGCCCAUACAAAACAUAGACAAGAUAAAGCUCAAUUGCUCGAUAAAUCUAGAAUUUAAACUCAAGGCUGGUCGAUAAACAAAAAACUCAAUUAUGACGUUCUUUUAAGAACAUGAUUUUUUGAGAUAAUUUAAGAACAUAAAUAAAUGCUGGCCUAUGUCCAUGGAAAAGACAACCCAGACCCGCCGCGCUAGCCCAGGUCAUAGAGAUGGCACAAGCCGAAAAGCUACACGAAGCCCACACGCACGCACUCGCCGCCGCGCGUUCCUCUCUCGUCUCUCUUCUCCGGCACUUCCUAUUCGGCACGUAGGGCGCCUCCGAGCAACCGCGUGCGUACCCCCUCGCGUGCUGGAUUUCGUAUGGGCCAGCUCAUUUGACGUUUUUUCCUUCAUUUUUUUCUUUUAUUUUUCCUGUUUCCUUUUCCUUUUCUCUUUUUAUUUAACCUUUUCAUUUUUGUGUGAAUUUUAUUAUCAAAUUCGUGAACAUUCUUGUUCAUCCAAUUCAAAAAAUGUUCAUCGGGAUUUUUUCCCAUCAAAUUCAAAACUUGUUCAUCGAAUUUAAAAAAGUUCACCAAUUCGAAAUUUGUUCAUAAUUUUCAAAGAAUGUUCAUCAAAUUUGAAAUUUUUUGAUCAACUUCUGAAAAUGUUCUCAAAUUCAAAAUUUCUUCAUCGAAUUCGACAUUUGCUCAUCCAUUUUUUUCAUCUAACUCAAAAAAUGCUCAUCGUAUUCAAAAUUUGUUGACCAUAAUUUUUAAAAAAGUUCAUCAAAUUCGGAAAAUGUUCAUUCACUUUUUAAAAUGUUAGUGCAACUUUUAAAAAUGAAAUUCUUGAAUUGAGAAUUUGCUCAUCAAGUUCAAAAAAUGUUCAUCAAAUUCAAAAUAGUUUCAUCUGAUAAAAUGUUCAUUAAUAUCCAAAUUCACAAAUAUUUUUCAAAUUCGUCAAUAUUGUUGGGAGGUCAUUUUUUUGGCUUCAUGAACUUUUUCAAACUUUGCAUUUUCUUGAUUUUUGUAACCAUUUCGAAAUCCCGAGUUAUUUAAAUAAGAAAAAAAAUGGAAUAAAAAACGAAACAAGAAAAAUACGGGGCGCCCCACCGCCGCUCAUGGGCCGGCUCAAAUGGGCGCCCGAGGGGAGCUUGGGGUGAGCUCCCCUCUUCUCCCAUGUCCCCGCCGGCGAUCCAUCCGGCGCGGCGCGGCGCGGCGCGGCCGGAGACUGUAGGCGCAGCCGCGGCGGUUCUUUCUCGAAUCGGCGCUUCCUCUCCUCGAAUCAGGUUCGGGUCAGGAAAUGCCCCUCCUCUCGCCGUAGAUCCUUUGCAGAAUCCCGACUGACCGCGUGUGUGCGUGCGUGCGGGUGCGGCCCAGGUGGUCAAGGACGUGGCGGCGCGGUCGCUGGAGGUUGAAGAAGCUCGAUCGCCUUCUCCAGUACGCCGAGAGGUAACCCCCUCGUUCGCAUCUCUCCCGGCCUGUGAAUGAUUAGUCCAAUCAGAUCGGAGUAGAUUCGAGGAGAAACGAUCUCUUCUCUAGCAAACGCAACUACUUUUCGGUGCAUACUAGAUAUGUAAACAAGAAUUUCUUUCUGAUUUGUUAGAAAAAGAUCAUGCUAUUUUGAGUAUUUCAUGCUGUUGCAAGUGAUUGUAAUAAUUUUUUUUUUGUAUUGCUACCGGCCGCUGCAGGCGCCAAAACGAAGUUCUCAUUUCUUUCAACAUAUUCCACAAGGAUUCAUCAGCCUUAUGGCAAACCUGGCUGGUAUCGGAUUAUAUGCCAUCGCUCCGCUUGUGUUGGUGGCUGUGAAGAAAUUGCCGUAUAUUAGCAAAUGUACUGGUAUGCACUUUGCAGCCUCCUUGACUUGCUUCCAGAGGAAAGCACAGCUUUGGUGGAGAUUUGUUUUGUUAAGAACAACCUGCUUCUCAUUUUGCAUUGAUUCUCUGAAUGAAGCCUGCUCAUGGUUUUGCAGACUGUGGAUACUUUCUUCUGUGACAAUUCCUACGGAGUAGUGGGGGUGAAGCGACGGUGUCAGGAGGCCACUGAACCAAGAGUUUAUUUAUAGCUGAAGAGAAGUAGGAUCCUGUCAAGUGCCUUCCAUGACUGGGCGAGGGGACAAUACCAUGAGUUCAGAACAUGCAAUUUGCAAGCAGAUCAAAGGCAACGUGAUGGGGAUCAGAUAUUGAUAUGGCGCCAAUUGUUUGGUCCAUGCUGGGUGCAUCACAAGGCACUACCAGUGCCACAUUGGUGGAUUAGUAGCAUGAGGAUCCCAUGCAAACUGGGUUCAACAUGUGAGGACCAGUUCUGUUGCUAUCGUGCAAUGAGAUGUUGGCAGACACGCCUUCUGAUUGCCACUGGGAAAGCUAGCCAGAAUGGUUCAGACGUUCGGUGUUCAAUGGUCUUAUUUUAGCAGGUGAUAAGCUGACUUGAUUGGGUUUGUGAUUGUGCUUAAUGUGUGUUCUUAAUUUUUAUUAUUAAGGUUGAAAAGAGACUGAGUUAGUUGAUGUAAGGAACACAACUUGAUGAACAAUGUUGUAUCUUAGUUCUGUUGAUGAGCAUUGCAUGUGGCAUCCAUUUCUUAGUGCGUUGACCAGCUGCAAACCAUGGUUUGUGAAUUUAGCUGCUAACUGAAGGUACGAAUAAUAGACAUGUACUUAAUGCAGUACUGACACACUUCUCAUUGAGCAUUUUCUGGCCUGCUGCCUGCUGUACAGUUUAAUUGGUUCAUGCGCGUUCAAAUUUUAGGUAACAGUUAAACAUCAGUUACUUGUUUCUACUAAAGAGACCUGCUGUAUACUGCUAAAUAAAACCUGGUUUCUCUUACAUUACCUUUUUUAACUAGUCUGGUAUUUCUUACCCCGAUGACCUUCUCAAGUUAUAUCCCGAGGGAUCAUCACUGCAUACUGAUUGUGCCACACAGUCAUUUCACUUUCUUACAGUUUCUAUAAUAUUUUUGAAGGACUUACUUAGUGCUAGAUUGUACAGAGGUAGAGAGAUUAAUUAUUGUAUUCAAUUUAAAUUUAAGUAAAACAAUGACAGCUAGUGCUGAAUUGCUGAUUGCCCCUGCUUGGUUGCUUGCAUGAUAAAAAAGCUUUACAUAACAAUUUCCUUUUCCUAUUGCCUAUUAUCUAACUCUCUUACACUAUCCAGGUAUAAACUACAACAAGCAGAAGACAACAUUAGGGGCACGCAUGUUUUUCAGCGGUUACGAACAGCAAUUUUUCUGGCUGUCUCCAACAGUUGGCAUCACAGAAACAGUGUAGUGGCAAGAUAUCACCAUAGAACUCAGCAAUGCCUUCUCGACCUCAGCAGAGGCAUCUCUGCUGAGCAAGCACAUGACAUACUCCAUCACUGCGGCAUCACAAGGCAGUGUGAUCUUUCCAUUGCUUGCGAAACCAAACUCUUCCUGGGACACUCUUAGGAGCUCUCCGAAGACCAUCAUGCUGAGGUACACCAACGGGACCUCGAAACGGCUUCCGUGGGCCGUGUACAUGAUGCAGUGGCCCUUUACCACUCCAGAGGUGCAGCAUUCUUCAUCUUCUUUGGCUGUCACUGUGAGCCUCUUCCUCCCAAGUGCCGCCACCCUCUGCCACUUCUUUGCCAGUUGAGCAAGUCUCUUCGUGCUAAUCAUGGUUGGUUCUGGGUCUUGUUUUUUCAGCUCCAGAGAAAGUGAGCUAUGGGUGUUGUAGUGCUCAGUUGGUGGUGGAUGAGCUGAUGAAGUGAUGGUAUUGAGCUUAGCCGCUCCCUGAAUUUAUAGGCAAGGUGAAGGGCAUUGUGCUGGUGAAGAGUAGUUGUCACUGUGAAGAGUUGGCCAGGGACAAGGCCAUGUGAUCAGUGCAUGCAGUGUUGCAGCAUGAUCACUUUGGAGUAGAUUGUGAUGGGGCCAAAUGUUUGGGGCAUGCUGGAGCCAAUAGUGGUAGCAAUAGCAUCAUGGCAUGAUCUAUUCUGCGAUGCAGAUAUCGAUGGAUUCAGUUGAGAUAUCAUCAGUUUCGCACAUCAUGCUAUUAUUUUGGAGCUCCAAAUUGACACUUGACCAGCUGAAAGAAAAAGAAAGUGUGUCAGACUAAUGAUCAGGAACUUGUUCAUGGUCUUACCAGUUGCCGCUGAACCUUCAGUCUCAGAUGUGUUGUUGAUCAGUCGGAUGGUGUGCAUGCCUGAAUUAACUUGCUCGACAGAUGUUGCUGUUUGUUCACUUCGUGAUCUGCUCCAUGCAUGUCUGGUCUCCAGUCCAGCAUCUCAUGUGGUUUUCAUUUCAUUGUUGCUUCCACCAUUUGGAGUCUAAGUUAGAAAGGAAAGAACUCUAUUUCACAAGGUAUGUAUUGUAAUUUUUCUCUAAAAAACCAGUGUAAUUUUUGUCCAAAGUUGUACCAUGUUUUAGCUAGGAGGGUCAAGUGUUCUACAACUUGCCAUAAAUUACUGAAUCUGUAGCUGGCUGUUUCUGCUGAGUGUGUUGUUUAAUGGAAGUUUUCCUUCGGAAAGUAAUUUUGGCAACUAGUUUCCCGUGCAUCAUAUAUUCUCUCUCCCUUGUUUCUGAUUUUCGCAGUUUGCAUUUUUUUUGAAAUAAUUCAUGGAUGCAAACCGCAUCUGUGAAAAUUCAUACCAACAUAUAACUUCUUGUGAGCUGUAUAAAAAUGAUAACUUAUAUCAUGUGCAUGCUAUUUAACUGAGCACUAUUCAUUUGGAUAUAGUUUUUUUUCUCUAGGUCAGAAAUGGUCAUAUUAUUAGAUGAAUUUUUGCAGGUGCACAUCAUAUAGCAUUACUAACAUCAAUGAAUUAUUUGGAAAAUCAUAAAAGAUAGAAAAGAGGAGAGAAUAUGGGUUGCACAGGCAACUGGCUGCACCAAAUCAUCUCGUUUUUCCCUUCUUCUAAUUCUAAGCUAUUAAAAUAGGAAACUCAUUUGGCGUGCAUCUAUGACUCCUAAUUUGCCUUUUCUUAAUUCGUUUGCAAAUUAUGCUCACGUCUCUUUCAGGAAAAAAACAUGUCCAAAAUUCAGUAGUUUAUAGUUUCUAAAAUAGGAGUGCACGUUCGUUGAAGAGAGAUGCUACACCUAUGGACGAAUUCUUAUGGGAUUAAAGUUACAGGGGAUGGGGGACUCACAGUGAAAAUCAGGUUGGAGAUAUAAUAAGCAAUUGUUCAUGCUCCUAAUAAUCUAUUCUCUCUAAACAUUCAUAUGAAAUCUUGUGCUGGUCUAGUACAUGAUCUAAUUGAUUUUCGGCAUUCCACAUGGUAACUGUUUCUUCUUGCAUUCCACAUCUCUUGGGUACAAGGAGUAGAGGACUAGAACCAAACCUAUAGUGAAGCAACUUGUUGAACAGAGUCAUAUAUCAGUUCUUGAUGGCCUACCUGACUUGUAGCAUUGCAUGUGCAAGCCAUACCUUAGCCCUUUCUCUGCACUUUCUGGCCUUCAGGCAACUCGAACUAGGCUUUCGGGCCUUCAGCCAGCUGCGUGCCUGAAGAUUGUGAAUAACAUACUAUACGAAAUCUCGUGCCCACACACUUGUUAUUGAGCAUUUUUCAGGCCUAGCCCCUACUACAAGUACUAGGAGUGCUUGCUUGCUUUGGAUGUCUGCGGUACUAGGAGUGCUUGCUUGCUUUGGAUGUUUGGCCAGCUCAAAUUUGCUGCCAUACUGGUAGGAACCGGAUCCCUACCAGGGCGUGGUCUCAGGUUGUAGGGGUGGAAGGAGGAAUGACGUGGUCGCCGGCGCUGGGGUGCCGUCGUUGCGCGCGCGCGCGGGAGAGAGAGAGAGAGAGAGAGAGAGAGAGAGAGAGAGAGCAACGACGGCUAGGGUUAGGUCUCUUGGCUCCCUAAGGAAGCCGAGCAAUUAUGAUUGCUUCUUGCUUAAUCCCAAAACGGGUCCUUACACGAGUUUAUCUAAUCCUCCUAAUAAGAUAAUUAGGCUAAGCCCCUAAUAACGAUAAGAUAAACUGGGCCACAACUAACUGGGCUAAGCCCCUAAUAUGCCGGUCAUAACAUCUCUCCCCGCCCGCACAAACAGCUUGUCCUCAAGCUGGAAGGCGGGGCAGAUCAACGGUUGCCAAACACCUCCACGUCAACUGGGGCGGGCUGGUCGCCGAGCCCGACGGCGGCGGGGUCCUCCUCAAUGUAGUCUGCAGCCUCCAGGUAGAAGAGUCGUGGGCAGACAUGGCCCGGUACGUAGGGCUCGUCGCAGUUGAAGCACAACCCUUGGCGGCGACGCUCGAGUUGCUCGGCCGGGGUGAGCCGGCGGAACGGGCGCCGCGGAAGCUUGGGCAGGCCGACCCUGCGCGGGAACUUCCGACCAGGGUGGCGACCUGUGACGCCCCCGAUUCAUUCGUACACUAAUCAUGCACGCAAACGUGUACGAUCAGGAUCAGGGACUCACGGGAAGAUAUCACAACACAACUCUAAAACAUAAAUAAGUCAUACAAGCAUCAUAAUACAAGCCAGGGGCCUCGAGGGCUCGAAUACAAGUGCUCGAUCAUAGACGAGUCAGCGGAAGCAACAAUAUCUGAGUACAGACAUAAGUUAAACAAGUUUGCCUUAAGAAGGCUGGCACAAACUGGGAUACAGAUCGAAAGAGGCGCAGGCCUCCUGCCUGGGAUCCUCCUAACUACUCCUGGUCGUCGUCAGCGGGCUGCACGUAGUAGGGGCACCUCCGGUGUAGUAGGGGUCGUCGUCGACGGUGGCGUCUGGCUCCUGAACUCCAGCAUCUGGUUGCGACAACCAGAAAGAAAGGAAAAGGGGAAAAAAGGGGGGAGAAAGCAACCGUGAGUACUCAUCCAAAGUACUCGCAAGCAAGGAACUACACUACAUAUGCAUGGGUAUAUGUGUAAGGAGGCCAUAUCAGUGGACUGAACUGCAGAAUGCCAGAAUAAGAGGGGGAUAGCUAGUCUUAUCGAAGACUACGCUUCUGGCAGCCUCCGUCUUGCAUCAAGUAGAAGAGAGUAGAUUGAAGUCCUCCAAGUAGCAUCUCCAAGUAGCAUAUCCAGGUAGCAUCUCCAAGCGCAUCUCCAGUCGCAUCGCAUAGCAUAAUCCUACCCGGCGAUCCUCUCCUCGUCGCCCUGCGAAAAAGCGAUCACCGGGUUGUCUGUGGAACUUGGAAGGGUGUGUUUUAUUAAGUAUCCGGUUCUAGUUGUCAUAAGCUCAAGGUACAACUCCAAGUCGUCCUGUUACCGAAGAUCACGGCUAUUCGAAUAGAUUAACUUCCCUGCAGGGGUGCACCACAUAACCCAACACGCUCGAUCCCAUUUGGCCGGACACACUUUCCUGGGUCAUGCCCGGCCUCGGAAGAUCAACACGUCGCAGCCCCACCUAGGCAAAACAGAGAGGCCAGCACGCCGGUCUAACCCUAAGCGCGCAGGGGUCUGGGCCCAUCGCCCUGAGCACACCUGCACGUUGCGUGGGCGGCCGAAAGCAGACCUAGCCUAGUGGCGUUCCAGUCCAAUUCGGCGCGCGCCGCUCCGUCGCUGACGUCUGAAGUGCUUCGGCUGAUACCACGACGUCGGGAUACCCAUAACUACUCCCACGUAGAUGGUUAGUGCGUAUAGGCUCGUAGCCGGCUCAGAUCAAAUACCAAGAUCUCGUUAAGCGUGUUAAGUAUCCGCGAACGCCGAUCAGGGCCAGGCCCACCUGUCUCCUAGGUGGUCUCAACCUGCCCUGUCGCUCCGCCACAAAGUAACAGUCGAGGGCCGUCGGGAACCCAGGCCCACCUCUACCGGGAUGGAGCCACCUGUCCUUUCAGCCCCCUCGUCAGAAUCACUUGCGGGUACUCAAUGAGCUGACCCGACUUUAGUCACCAUCUGUAUAGUAUGUAUGUAUGUAUAGUAUAUACCCGUGAUCACCUCCCAAGUGAUCACGGCCCGAUAGUAUAGCAAGGCAGACUGACAAGAAUGUAGGGCCAAUGAUGAUAAACUAGCAUCCUAUACUAAGCAUUUAGGAUUGCAGGUAAGGUAUCAACAGAUGUAGCGACAAUGUCAGGCUAUGCAUCAGGAUAGGAUUAACGAAAGCAGUAACAUGCUACACUACUCUAAUGCAAGCAGUAUAGAGGAGAAUAGGCGAUAUCUGGUGAUCAAAGGGGGGGCUUGCCUGGUUGCUCUGGCAAGAGAGAGGGGUCGUCAACUCCGUAGUCGAACUGGUCAGCAGCAGCGUCGGUCUCGUAGUCUACCGGAGAGAAGAGGGGGAAGAAAUAAUGAAUACAGAGCAAACAAAGCACCACAAAAUAUACCAAGGCAAUACGCGGUGUUCGGUGUGCCCUAAUGCGGUAGUAGGUGAUACCGGUGAAGGGGGGAAAACCCCCGGGAAAGUAUUCCCGGUGUUUCGUGUUUUCGGGCAGAGGAGCCGGAGGGGGAAAGUUGCGGGUUCGAUAGGUUAGGGGGGUGUGGUGGACGAACGGACUGCGUAUCCGGAAUCGUCUCGUCGUUCUGAGCAACUUUCAUGUUGAAAAUAUUUUAAUCCGAGUUACGGAUUAAAAGAUAUGAUUUUCUAAAGAUUUUAUUAAUUUCUGAAAUUUAAUUAAUUAUUUAAUUUAAUUCGAAAAUGAAUUUAUGACAUCAGCAUGAUGUCAUGCUGACGUCAGCAGUCAACAGAGUUGACGUGGUCAACCUGACUUGUGGGUCCCAUUCGUCAUUGACUGAUUAGUCCAAUUAGGGUUUAAUUAAACUAUCUACUUAAUUAGAUUAAUUAAACAUGAUUAAUUAACUUAAUUAAUUCAUUAACUAUUUUAAUUAUUAAUUAACUAAUUAAUUAUAUAUUUUAUUUUUUAUUUUUAUUUUAUUAUUAUUUUUUUGUCCUCAAGGGCGUGGGCCCUGUUUGUCAUUGGCCCAGAGGCCAAACAGGGCGCGGGCGACGGGUUACGGGGGUGCCCCGUUCGGGUGCACGCCCAGGGGCACGCGGGCGUGGACACGGGCGGCCACGGCGGGGCACGUCGCCGGCCAGGGAUGGGCGCAGGGGCGCAUCCCGCCCAGUGUGGGGCGAGGUUGNNNNNNNNNNNNNNNNNNNNNNNNNNNNNNNNNNNNNNNNNNNNNNNNNNNNNNNNNNNNNNNNNNNNNNNNNNNNNNNNNNNNNNNNNNNNNNNNNNNNNNNNNNNNNNNNNNNNNNNNNNNNNNNNNNNNNNNNNNNNNNNNNNNNNNNNNNNNNNNNNNNNNNNNNNNNNNNNNNNNNNNNNNNNNNNNNNNNNNNNNNNNNNNNNNNNNNNNNNNNNNNNNNNNNNNNNNNNNNNNNNNNGACGGGCUCCUGGGGGAGCGCUCGCCCACAGGGAGUGCGGCGGAACCGAGCCAGUGGCCAAGGCGGCCGUGGUGGCCGGCCGACGUGGGGGAAGACGGAGUGCGGUCCGGCGAAGAGCGGGCGUGUGGGCGGCAGAGGAGCACUAGUAGGGGAGCCGGGGCGCACCAGUAGCAGGGGGGCGUGGUGAGUGGCCGCGGGAGUGCGAGCGCGCGUGCGCACGACGGUUAUGGCCGCGGUCGGCGAGCGGGAAUCCAAGGGAGGAGGAGGAGAGGUGCUCACGGGGCGCGUAGGGUCCAGGCAGCGUGCGUGGGGUGGUCCGGCGAGGAGGGGACGAGGAGGAGGACGGUGAGGCGGCAGUCCGGUGGGGAGGCGGCGAAGCAGGCCGGCGAGGAAGCUCCAGUCGCCGGCGCGGUACAGGCGGCAACGCGCGUGCGAGCCCGAUCCGAUCUGGAUCGGGGGUGGAGGGUUGAGGGGACGGUGUGGGGAGGCGACGAGGAGGCGCCGGCGGAGACGGGCGGCGCCGGCCGGCGAUGGGUGUAGGGAUGAGGCGGCGGUGUCGGGGCGUCGUUUCCCCCGAUCUAGAUCGGGGGGGAGCGAGGGGGCGCACGGGGUGGGNNNNNNNNNNNNNNNNNNNNNNNNNNNNNNNNNNNNNNNNNNNNNNNNNNNNNNNNNNNNNNNNNNNNNNNNNNNNNNNNNNNNNNNNNNNNNNNNNNNNNNNNNNNNNNNNNNNNNNNNNNNNNNNNNNNNNNNNNNNNNNNNNNNNNNNNNNNNNNNNNNNNNNNNNNNNNNNNNNNNNNNNNNNNNNNNNNNNNNNNNNNNNNNNNNNNNNNNNNNNNNNNNNNNNNNNNNNNNNNNNNNNNNNNNNNNNNNNNNNNNNNNNNNNNNNNNNNNNNNNNNNNNNNNNNNNNNCCUUUUUCCUUUUUUUUAUCUUAUUUCUUUUCUGUUUUAUUUUAGUUUUAGUAAAAAUUAUCACUAACACCUAAAUUGGUACUUUUAAAUAAACUACUGCCACAUUAAUUCUUAUCCCAACUAAAAUAGUUUAAUAUUUUAUAAAAUUCAAAAGGCAUUUAUUUUAUUAUUUAACCUACAAUUUUAAUUAUUUUGAACACUUAAACAUUUUAUUAAAGUUAGGUUUCUCCACCAUAAUUACCGCUGCAUUAUUUAGUUCACUCCGAACAUUUUAGUUUUAAAGUUUGAAAACUUUUGUUGUUUGCCUAUGUUUUAAAUUUGAAUUUGAAUCGGGUUCGAAUCAACGUGAGUUUAAUCACAGUAAUGGAGGUGACGUGGCAUCAUUAGCUUGGGAUUACUGUAGUCUAAUUAUCCGGGCGUCACACGACCCAGCGGCCCGGGGCGGUGGCGCCUGCUGGAUGGCCACCGUGCGACGCUCGAACGCGCGGGCAUAGUACAUGGCCGUCUGGAGGUCCCGAGGCCCGUGCAUCUCCACAUCCACGCGAAUGUGGUCCGGUAGCCCGCCGACGAAGAGCUCAGCCCGCUGACAAGCCGAAACGCCGGGGGCGUGGCACGCCAGUGCCUGGAAGCGGUCGGCGAAGUCUUGCACCGAGGAUAGGAACGGAAGACACCCAAGCUCCGCCAGACGGCUCCCGCGUAUAGGCGGACCAAAGUGCAAGAGGCACAAUUCGCGGAAGCGCUCCCAUGGUGGCAUGCCGCCCUCGUCUUGUUCGAGGGCGUAGUACCACGUCUGCGCGGCUCCUCGGAGAUGAUACGAGGCGAUCCAGGUGCGGUCGGACGCGAGCGUGCGCUGUCCCCUAAAAAAUUGGUCGCAUUGGUUGAGCCAAUUCAGGGGGUUUACGGUGCCGUCGUAGGUCGCGAACUCCAGGUUGGAGAAUCUCGGCGGCGCCUGGACGUGGACGACGGGUGGGUGCGCCUCGUCAGCACGGCGUAGCGAGGAUGACGGGGCCGAGUAGGCGGGCAUCAGGGUGCCGCCCUGGAACAGGGGCCCGUCGACGCUGGCGAAGGGCUCGGCGUAGCCCGAGGACCUGCCAAACUGCAUGGUCGGGUGCAUCGCCGGCGGAGGCAACACGUGUGGCCCGACCGAGGCCGUCGUGUAGACCGGCGCAAGGGACCCAGCUAGCCAGGUCGGUAACGGAGACGGCGACGGGGGAAACCGGACCUGGUGGAUGGGCACUCCCAGGCUCGUCGUCGGGAGGCCUAGGGCUGCGGUCGCUGGUGGUGGCGGCUGCAGCUGUUGCCCCUGCUACAUGGUGGAGGUGCCGGGGUUCGUCGCUGGUGGCGGCUGCCACGAUAGCUGCUGCAUGGCGGUGGUGAUGGGGGUCGUCGAGGACGGCGGCUGCCACGGCAACUGCUGCGGCGACGGGGCGGUGGCGAAGGGCACAUACGGCUGCGGCCCAUAGGAUCUCGCGAGGAACGUGUAGAUGCCCGUGACUGCCUGGGUGAGAUCCCGGAUGGCUGCCGUCAUCUCCUCCGGGGUGAAGACAAUGAGGACGGGCGCGGCGGAGGUGACCGGCACCGGCAAGAGCGGGGCGCUGGCCGUGGUGGCCAUCGGGGCGGUCGUCGCGGUCGGCAGCGGAAGGGUUGGGGUUGGCGGCGGCGAGGACAUGAUCGCACCGAAGCUAUCUGAUACCAAAUUGGUAGGAACCGGAUCCCUACUAGGGCAUGGUCUCAGGUUGUAGGGGUGGAAGGAGGGAUGGCGUGGAGGAAGGCGUGGUCGCCGGCGCUGGGGCGCCGUCGUUGCCUGUGCGCGCGCGCGCGAGAGAGAGAGAGCGCAGCGGCGGCUAGGGUUAUGUCUCUUGGCUCCCUAAGGAAGCCGAGCAAUUAUGAUUGCUUCUUGCUUAAUCCCAAAACGGGUCCUUACACGAGUUUAUAAUUGGGCUAAGCCCCUAAUAUGCCGGUCAUAACACAUACUGACCUGUUUUUAGCAGUGGCUAAGAUAUAUGCACAAGAGACAUAUGAGUGAGGACCACCUGUAAAUUUGGUCCAUUUCUGUUUGUGAUCGUGCAAAGAGGUAUAAUUCGUUUUUUUUGUGCUUGACUAUAUCCUAAUGAUAAGAAGUUUAUAGAGUGGCCCCUGAGAUCGAAAAAGUGCUUCAUGGAUCUCUAACAAGAGUUACGAACAUCCAUUUGAAAGCUUGUGCUGGUCUAGCAUGUGGUCUGAUUGAUUUUCAGCAUAUUACAUGGUGACUGUUUUUUCUUGCAUUUCAUAUCUCACAUGGAGUACAUGACUAGAACCAAACCAGUGUGUGUCAUACCUACCAAACUAACAUGUGAAAGCUAUUCCUUAGCUCUUUCUAUGCACCUUCCUUUGGUGCUUCAACCAGCUGCAUGUCUGCAGAUUGUGAGUAAUAGACAUGUACCAAAUCCUUAACAAUUUUGUAGAUCAUUUUUAUUGUCUGACUUGGAUGAUAAGGUUGUAUAGAAACUUCUUGCAAAUUCUCCUAGCAGUAGCAUGAAACUAUCAACAUCUAAAAAUAGUUGCAACCUUGUUGGGUCACUGGACAGUUGUAUGCAACUAAAAUGCAAGAGAAGUAUGGCUGCAAGCCUGCAAUUGCUAGUUGCCAGAAUGCUGCUUUGUUGCUUUUAUGAAUACAUACAGAAAACAUCUCCUAGUGUCUCUUAUCUAACUAUCUUACACUAUCCAGGCAAACUACAAAAAAAAAAAAAACAGAAGGCAACAUCAGGGUCUCUGCAUUCAUAUUCUUCAGAAGCUACAAACACCAAAUUUGUUGACUAGCUCCAACAGUAGGCAUCAUAUGGCCGGUGUAGUGCGCAAGAUGUCACCAUAGAGCUCAGCAAUGUACUCUCGACACCGGCAGAGGCGUUUCUCCUAAGCAGGGACAUGGCAUACUCCAUCACUCCGGCAUCACAAGGCAGUGUGAUCUUCCCAUCGCUUGCAAAGCUAAAUUCCUCCUGAGACAUCCUCAGGAGCUCGCCGAAGACCAUCGUGCUGAGGUACUCCAGCGGGACCUCGAAACGCCUCCCAUCGGCUGUGUACAUGACACAGUGGCCCUUGGCCGGUAUAGAACUGCAGCAGUCUUGGUCUUCUUUGGCUGACAUUGUGAGCCUCUUCCUCCCAAGUGCUUCAACCCUCCACUUAUUUGCCAAUUGCGCAAGUCUUUUGGCACUGGCCAUGGUUGGCUCUCUAUCUUUGUGAGAAUUUGAAGAAGUGUGUGAUAUGGAUGUUGCAGUGCUCAGUUGGUGGAUGAGCUGAUGAAGAGGUGAUGGUGUUGAGCUAGACGCUUGCUGAAUUUAUAGGCCAAGGGAAGGACAUCUUGACGGUGAACUGUGCUUGUCAUUGAGAAAAGUUGGCAGGGGACAAAGCCAUGGGAUCGGUGCAUGCAGCGUUGCAACAUGAUUAGUUUGCAUUAGAUUGCGGUGGGGCCAAAUGUUUGGCGUAUGCUGGAGCCUAUAGUCGUAACUGUUAGGCAUUGGUCCGCUUUGUUAUCAUUCGUGGAUGCCAUACCAAGCCGUGUAGCGAACAAUAGACAUGUCGAGAACAGGGCUAUUAGCAAUGUGCUAGGAGGGACAGUGAUGGCUUCCAGAUUCAGGGAUCGAACAGUUUCGGUAAGCCCUGGUCGAUUAGGCUAUCUCUUUGCUUUCUCCUGGCAGAUACUUGACAUUGUAACGUGCAUUGUUCAUGCACCUGAUCAAUCUAUUUUCUGUUGACAUUCAGUCGAAAAGCAUGCUUGGUCUAGCAGAUCACCCGUUUGAUAUCCGGCAUGCCACAUGUUUACUGUUCAUUCUUGCCUUCUAUUUCUUUUGGGUAGAGGAGCAUAUGGUUAGAAUCAGGCCACUGUAUACUAAUUUCAAGCUGAAGCAGAUGUCUCUGAUGUGUGUUGAGUUGACUCUGGGGCUCCAUAUUCAUGCAUAAUGAUUUCAAUGUGAUGUUUCCAGUCAUAGUUGGGUUUCUCAGGCACAACUUUUUGGUCUAAAUACAGAUGAUCCUGAAAAGGAAACCUCUCUCUAAUUAAGAAUGUCAUGACACACAUGUGUACUAAUUCUCCUUUUGGCUCUGAACUUGUAUGUUUUUUUAGAUAUCAUUUUUUUGGUAGACAUGGUGCAGUUAAUCUGUUCCAUUGACUGAAUUUGCAGGCGACGGAAAGAUGGGACUGGAGGGGGCCACAGGGGGAGGCUGGUGAAGUAGGUUGCACCUGUCAGUGCAAAAAGGCAGCGAAAGGACAAAUUUGUUUUUCUUUUUGCUUGGAGGGAAGAAGGGACUAGUCGGUCAGCAAGCAACAUGUCCGUGCCGUACCUUGCCAGUGUGGUUCUGGUGCUUUGCUUGCACACUAAUAGUGUUUGGCAGGUGAGAAGGCCAUGAGCUUGGUGAGUGCAACGGUGGCUCCCAAGGGAGGCAGUGAGAUUCAGAUAAUGGCCAUGCUUGUGUGUUCUUGGUUCUGAGGUAUGUUGCUCAGAAAUUCUUUAUCUGUGAGUUUGUUGAUGAAGUGGUGGUGUACUACUAUGUAGCCCAUGAAUAUAUAGGCACAGACGUAUGACUAAUUUGCAUUUGGCAGGGGACAAGGCCAUGAUCUUGGUGCAUGCAAUGGUGGCUGUAAGGGGCAGCAGCCAGAUUCAGAUCAAAUUUUGCUGGGCCAUGGCUUUCUGUAUGGGCAAAGGUAGUGGACUACUUGCUAGGCACUCAGAUGCAUACUACAGUAGUAUAGUCCUUGAUGCUUAACUCGGUAGAUGCAUUUUGCAACCAUCCGGGGUCCAGUAUUUAGGGAUGUGCUCUUUUUUGUUCAGCACUCUAUAUCAAGAGAUUGGAAGAUAUGUUGAUUCAAAAACAAUCACUUUAAUGUUCUGAUGACCUAUAUCUGUGCCUUUGCUUCAACUGCGUGAUUGCAAUUAGGUGAGGUAAAGAGCUAGCGUCAUAAGGGACCUAGCACAUGAUGGUCCGGGAGCCUUUCACAGGCAGAUGCGGAGUUCACUUCACUGCUUUCGGGUGUCUACUUUGCACUUACAGUUGCAGCUGCAUGUUAGGUGUUUGCUUCAGAUCUGGCAGGUUGCUGGGAAGUUCCAUAUCUCAUUGUCCACCCAUGGUCUGCAUGGUUUCUAGCAUAGCAUGUGCCAGCCAUUUUCCGGUAUCUUCCUUGCAUUUAGCUGGGAAUUUGAGAGUUUCCAGGCCACACAUAUCCUUGAAUCUAUCCAGUGACUUGUGAUUAGUUUCGCUUUGGUAUAUCUUUUGAGGAAGUGAGCGCUGUAAUGUGAGUCACAACGCAAAGCUUAUUUGUUAGUCUAUAUUAGACAAUGAACCUGGCCUUGCCUGAUGAUUUACUUUGACUUCCAUGACACAAACAUAGCGUGAAUUUUGUUUUGCCAAGCACAAAUCUUGAUGAGCUUAUUCUGCAGGACAUACCCGAUUUUUGAACAUUUGGUGAUUUUAUCAUGGGUUUAACAACUUGCAGUAGCCUUUGUCGAAAAGGUCACAUCCCAUCUCCAGCUGCAUAUAUUCUAUCAUGGGUUGUCGGUUGAACAACAUUCUUCAUAAUAUUUUGGGUCUGAGGCCAUACAAUUGCAAAGGAAUUUGUCGACGCUUACUGCUUAGGCCCUAAAAAACUGUGAUCGAGUAUUUAUCUUUGGAACAAAGUAUAUGCAUACAUUGUAAGAACAUUGUCUCUAACUACGGUCCAUCUUCCUUGAUUGCUUCUUUGCCAGCAAGAUCAAAAUGCUUACGCACAAUGUGUUUUCCUUAAUCUAUUUUCCUAUAUCUCUGCAGAUGGUAAUCAGGAGCUGCAGACAUCAUAAUGCUGGCUAACUCCGAGAUGUAGCUCCGCAUGAUAGUGGCAUGGCAUCACCAUGGUGUUGAGGAAUGCGGCCUCCAUCUCUGAGGACGCAGUUCUCCUGAGCAAGAACAUGGCAUACUCCAUCAUUGAUGCGUCACAGGGCAGCCUGAUUCUGCCACCAUCAACGCCUGUGAAGCCGAACUCCUCUUGGGACAUCCUCAAGAGCUCGUCGAAGACGGUCGUGCCAAGGAAUGCAAGCGGCACCUCGAACCUCGCACCGUCGGUAGUGUACACGACGAAGUGACCCUUGCCAGCCACAGGCAAGCACGACGUGCCACACGGCCCUCCGGUUUCCUCCCCUGAUGUUGAUGAGGUGAGCCUCUUCCUCCCCAUAGCCACCACCCUCUGCCACUUCUUGGCCAGCUGAGCGAGGUUCUUGGCCAUCUGGAAUUGCCUUUUGUCUGUGGAUGAAGUGGUGGUGUUAGGAGGGCAUUUAGCCAUGGAUUUAUAGUCCAAGGGUAAAGCUGGCGCCGACACGGUGGCCUGUGAUGGUAUACAAUGGGUAGGGUACGUGCAGUGCUGUGGUUUUGGAGGUGCCGUGGUGUGAUCUGGAUCAGGUCUGCUGGGGCCAAGUGUUUGGCACUUGCCGGAGCUUGCGCUGGACAUCUCGCCUGCACAGCCGCGGUUUGCUAGGGAAUGGCACAAGCACGAGGACCCCAUGUGCUUCUCUAACCAGAAGCACAUUUCAGACAUGGAUGGCGCUUGGAAGUCUCAUCAAAAUCAUUAUCACGUUUGGUGUCUGAACAUUGCACACAGAGCACUCAUGGCAUUGUCCCCUUCCCAACGCUCUUGCUGAUAGCUACACACUACCCACACGCAUAUGCACUGCCCUGAAUCCUUUCUUCCUUAUACUAUAAAUCCAUGGCCUUCUCAGCACAAACUUCAUCUCAUCUCAAGCAGCAUCACAAUCUACAACACACCUUCAAGCUUCCAGAGCCAAAGUGAAAUUUAGCCAGUUGGGAACACAUCCGACUCAACCAUGACCCAUCCAAAGAAGCUUGCUCAGCUGGCCAAGAAGUGUCAGCGGAUGUUGGUGGCCAGAGCCGGUGCCCGCCGUCGGCGUGCCUCAGAUACGGCCGAUGACGAGUGCUCCAGCACAGUGUCAUCUGUGGUUGCCGAUGAGGGCCACUGCGUGAUGUACACCGCCGACGGAACCCGGUUCGAGGUCCCUCUGCCGUACCUCGGGACUACGGUCUUCGCCGAGCUCCUGAGGAUGUCUGAGGAGGAGUUUGGCUUCGUGAGCAGCAGUGAUGGAGGCAGGAUCAUGCUGACCUGCGAUGCCAAUGUGAUGGAAUAUGUCUUGUGCCUGGUCAGGAGAGAGGCCCCUGAGGAGGUCGAGAGGGCGUUGUUGAGCUCCAUUGUUGGGCAUGGGCACAACUACAAUGCUAGCUGCAUGACACCAUCAAUGGGACUCGGCCAUCAGUUUGCUCUUUGUACUUAGCUACUAGCUUAGCUUCUGAAAUAUUUUUAAUUAGGACUGAGAGGAGCUGAGAGCCUCAUGUAAGAUUCAAUGAUCACAGGAAAUGAUACAAAGGGACAAUUUUUUUGGGAGAAGUUGGAUUGUUUUACACAUCCUUGAACAUAGUUCAUAUAUAUUCUAGUGAAGGAAGUAGAAGGAAACCACGGACUUAAAGUUUGUGGUUAGGUGGCUGAACUCGGUGAUGGCGCUGCGAAGGGGUUGGGGAUGAGAGGAUUGAUGGACAAUUGAACAAACUGCUGUUUGUUUACUAAAAAAUAGAACUGCUGUUCCUACCUCCAACUAUAAACAUCGGAUUGAGACUGUGUGUCCCAGAUGGAGGUGGGUUGAGCAGUUCAUAAGUUUUGGUUAGAGGUAGUAACAGCGGCUUUCACCAUGUCACUGCCGGAAGUGGCCAAUUCCAGAUCUCCAUUCCUCAUGUGCUAGAGACUGCUCUGCAUUGGCUUCACGGAUUCUCGUCAGCUCACCACACUUUGGUGAAAAGCUAGCAACAGAGGGGACAUGGCACAUGAUGGUCCAGGAGCCUCUCAUAGGCACAUGCGGAGUUCACUUCAUUGCUUUUGGGUGUGUACUUUGCACUUACAACUGCAGCUGUAUGUUAGGCGUUUGUUAGUUUAACAGUGCUUUGAUUGCUACAGAUCUGGCAAGUUGUUGGGCAGCUCCAUAACUCAUUGUCCACCCACGGCCUGCAUGGUUUCUAGCAUAGCAUGUGUCAGCCAUUUUCCAGUAUCUUCCUUGCAUUUAGCUGGGCAGUUGAGGGUUUCUAGGUCUUUCAUGUGUCAGCCAUUCAGCCUUGAACCUCUCCAAGGGCUUGUCAUUAGUUCCAUGUUGGUAUUUCUUUUGGGGAAGCGAGCAUCCUGAUGAGGACAUCCAUGACACAAACAUAGCAUGAAAAUAUAUUUGCCAAGCACAAAUCAUGAUGAGCUUAUAUACUGCAUGACAGACCCGAUUUCUGAACGCUAGUAGGUUUGCUGGUCCUGACUUGAGUAUAAUUCGAUGAAUUUGUCGUCAGUUGAACAACUUGUAGUAGCCUUUGUCCAAAGGUCACCUCCCUAAUCUACCUGCCAGGACUUACCUGCGCAACCUAAUCUUUCUUUGUAAUAACUUGUGUCUGAGGCCAUUUAAUUGCAAUUUUUUUUGUCGACGCUUAAUGCUUAGGUCCUAAAAACUGUGAUUAAUCAUUUAUUUUUGGAACAAAGUAUAUGCAUACAUUGAAAGAGUAAUGUAUCUAACUACUGUCCAUCUUCCUUGAUUGCUUCUAUGCUAGAAAGAUCAAAAUGCUACACAUAAACUGUUUUCUUUAGUCUAUUUUCCUAUAUAUCUGCAGAUGGUAAUCAGGAGCAGCAGACACCGAAAUGCUGGCCAACUCCCAUUAAUGUUGGGCCACAUGAUAGUGGCAUGACAUCGCCAUGGUGUUGAGGAACGCGGCCUCCAUGUCUGCGGAGGCGCUUCUCCUGAGCAAGCACAUGGCAUACUCCAUCACCGAUGCGUCGCAGGGAAGCGUGAUUCUGUCACUGUCAACUCCUGCGAAGCCGAACUCCUCCUGGGACAUCCUCAAGAGCUCGCCGAAGACGGUCAUUCCAAGGAACACAAUGGGCACCAUCGGCAGCGUACACGACGCAUUAGCCAUUGCCAGCCACUGACGAGCACGAUGUGCCGCACGGCCUUCUAGCUUCUUCUGUGGACAUUGAUGGCGACCAGGUGAGCCUCUUCCUCCCGAUAGCCGCCACCCUCUCUGCCACUUUUUGGCCAGCCGAGCGAGUGUCGUGGCACUCAUUAUGGUAGUUUCUUGUGUUUCUGGAACUGGAGAAAUUCUUCUGCUAGUUGGAGGUUGGAAUGCCUUUGUCUGUGGAUGAAGUGGUGGUGUUUGGUGGUCACUAGCCAUGGAUUUAUAGCUCAAGAGAGAAGGAGUACCCACAUAUGGUGUAGUGUGUGAUGGUUUGGCAGGAGACAAUGCCAUGUGUAUGGUACGUGUGGUGCUGCGAAUUUUGGAGGUGCCGUGAUGUGAUCUAGAUCAGGUCUGCUGGGGCCAAGUGUUUGCCACUUGCCGGAGCUUGCGCUGGACGUCUCGUCUGCACAGCCAUGGUGAUCGGCUUGCUAGGGAAAUGGAAGGCACGAGGACUCCAUGGGGCUCUCUAGUCACAAGCACAUUUCAGACAUGGAUGGUUGCAUGGUGCUUGAAAAUCUAAUCAAAGCCAUUCAUCACAUUUUCUGCAGCUACUUCCACCAACAUUGCACAGAGAGCACUUGUGGCAUUGUCCCCUGAGCAACGCUCUCGCUGAUAGUUACACACAACCUACACACAUGCACUGCCCUGAGCCCUCUCUUCGUUGUUCGUUCUACUAUAAAUCCAUGGCCUUCUCAACACAAGCUUCUUCAUCUCAUCUGGAAGCAACAUCACAGUCUACAACACACACCUUCAGACUUUCAGAGCCAAAGUGAAAUUUAGCCAGCCGGGAACACAUCAGACUCAACCAUGAUCCAUCCAAAGAAGCUUGCUCAGCUGGCCAAGAAGUGCCAGCGGAUGUUGGUGGCCGGAGCCGGUGCCCGCCGCCAGCAGGCUUCAGACACGGCUGAUGAUGAAUGCUGCAGCACAACAUCAUCUGUGGUCGCUGAUGAGGGCCACUGCAUGGUGUACGCCGCCAACGGAGCACGGUUCGAGGUCCCUCUUGCGUACCUCGGGCCGACGGUCUUCGCCGAGCUUCUGAGGAUGUCAGAGGAGGAGUUUGGCUUUGCAAGCGGCAGCGAGGGAGGCAGGAUCAUGCUGCCCUGCGACUCCACGGUGAUGGAGUAUGUCUUGUGCCUUGUCAGGAGAGAGGCCUCUGAGGAGGUCGAGAAGGCAUUCUUGAGCUCCAUUUCUGGGCACUGCCACAACUACAAUUGCUAGCUGCAUGGCUCCAUCAGUGGGAAUCAGCCAUCAAUUUGCUCUUUGUACUUAGCUACUAGCUUAGCUUCUGGAAUAGUUUCUUGGUUAGGACCGAGAGAGGAGCUCUAUACAGUUUUAUGUAAGAUCGAUUAUCACAGGAAAUGAUACAAAAGGGUCUCAACUUUCUGGGAGAAAUUGGAUUAUUUGACACAUCCUUUAUAAUAGUUCAUAUAGAGUACUGAAGAAAGUAGAAGGAAACCACGAGUUUUCAUGGUCGUGGUUUGCAGGGUCAGGAGGCAGCAGCUAAAAGCAGAGGACAGAAAUGGCCAGACGGUGGCUGAAUUGGGUGACAGUGCAGCGGAGGGUAUGGAGAUGGGGAGGUUUAGAUGAACAAUCACCAAUUUGCUGUUCCUACCUUUAACCAGAACCAUGGGACUGAGAUUGCGUGUCCUAGAUGGAGGCGGGUUGAGUACUGUGCUGGUUAGAGGCUUAGAGCCUUAGAGCUAGGAAUUGCGGUUUGCUGCCUAGGAAAUGGACGUGCCGCCGGAAGUGUUCAAUUCUAGAUCUGUCCUCCUCGGCUCGCCACACUCCGGUGAGAAUCCUAGACCAGAAUAAGCCCUCUAGUUGGUAAGAGUAGGGAGCAAAGCAAGCAAAUCUCUGAACAAAUUAGGAUACCCUCUUUACAUGCUUGAUGCUUUUGUUCUUCUGUUCUGUACACAUUGCCCAGAAAUUAAGUGAGCCUUGUAGUUGAACAUCAUUACUGUUGUAUGCAAAACAAAUUGACAAAAUUAUGACUGUAAAUUCUGGGUUGCUAGGUUUCUGCUAAAUCAUUUUCUAUAAGAACAGGUUACUGCUAGAUUGAUUACAGCCUUGCAAGAUUGAGAAGACUUUACAUAGCAUUUUUUCAAGUGUCAACAGAAAGAAUGCCGAAGACUCCAAUUGAAAUAUGAAGAGAUUGCCCAGUUUACGUUGUCCUUCUAUCUAUGUGACACUAAUUUACAUUCAAGCGCUAAUCUGAAUAGAAUCAGGAGUCGUAAUAGCCAUUUGUUGGUUAACACCCAGAGAUGGUGACACACACUUUUAUAAGACACACCUCUCUGAACAUUCUCAUAACUCGGUCUUGUUGACAGCCUACCUUAUUUGUAGCAUUGCAUGUGGAAGCCAUCCCUUUGCUCCUUCUCCGCACUUUCCUUUGGGCCUUCAGCUAGCUGCAUGUGUGAACUGAAUAACAGGCAUCGACUAUAUAUCUUGCACCGACACUACCUUCUGUAAAAUUUGUGGUUAGUAUAUUCAAUUUUUCAGUAACAGUUAACCAUCACUUGCUUUUACCCCAAUAAUAAAAAUCUCCCUUAUACCCAUUAAAACAUGUGGAGUAAACCCUGCUUUCUAUUCCAUUUUCGUGUUUGUUAUCAUACUUCAUUUCUGAUUGGAUUGAUGGCAUUGCAAUAAUUCCCCAUAGGAUUCAUCAUUAGAAUGGCCCCUGUAUCACCUGGUCAUUUCACUAAUUCAUAACUUUUUGAUAUUUUCAAUGUUCUGGCUUAUAUUGAGUAGAUUGUAUGGGAACUUGUUGUGUAUUCUCUGUGGAGCAAGAUACGAAACGGGAAUGUAAUUAAGAGAAAGAAUGCAUACUGCUGGUGGCCAUAAUGCUGCUUUGUUGCAUUGAUGAUCAGAUUGCUAUACAUACAAUUUUCCUGCUCCUAUUAUCUACUGUCUAACUAUCUUACACUACCCAGGCAAAGUACUCAAAACAGAGGACAUCAUCAGGGCCUCUGCAUGCAUGUUCUUGAGAAGCUACAGACAGCAAAUCUGCUGGCUGGCUCCGACAGUAGGAAUCGCACAGCCAGUGUAGUGGCAAGGCGUCACCAUGGAGCUCAGCAAUGCACUCUUGACCUCGGCAGAUGCAUUUCUCCUGAGCAAGCACAUGACAUACUCCAUCACUGCCGCAUCACAAGGCAAUGUGAUCUUGCCAUCGCUUCUAAAACCAAACUCCUCCUGCGAUAUCCUGAGGAGCUCGCUGAACACCGUCAUGCUGAGGUACUCCAACAGUACUUCGAAACGCCUCCCGUCACUCGUGUACAUGACACAGCGACCCUUGGGUGGUACAGAACUGCAGCAGUCUUGAUCUAUUUUGGCUGAAACGGUGAGCCUCUUCCUCCCGAGUGCUUCCACCCUCUGCCACUUCUUUGCCAGUUGAGAAAGUCUCUUGGCGCUGACCAUGGUUGGUUUCUUGGCCUUUGUGUUUUCAGCUGGAAAUCUGAAGAAGUGGGAUGGAUGUUGCAAUGCUCAGUUGGUGGUGGUUGUGCUGAUGAAUAAGUGAUGGCGUUGAGCUCGCCGCAUGCUGAAUUUAUAGGCGAGGGGAAAGGCGAGAAUAGCUGGCAGGGGACAAGGCCAUGGGAUCAGGGCAUGCAAUGUCACAACAUGAUUGAUUUGGAUUAGAUUGUGGUGGGGCCAAAUGUUUGGUGUAUGCUGGAGCCUAUAGUCGUAACUGGGUAGACAUUUGUUGGCUUUCUUAUCAUUCGUGGCUGCCAUACCAAACCAUGUAGGCGCGUAGCGAACAAGAGGCGUGUCGGGAACAUGGCAUUGGCAACUUGUGGGGAGGGGACAGCGAUGGGUUCCAGAUUCAGGGAUUGAUCAAUUUCGGCGACGGUGAGCACUCACUUGCACCAUCUAUGUGCUUUCUUACGUGCAUUGUUCAUGCACCUGAUCAAUCUAUUCUCUGUUGACAUCGAGUUGAAAAAUUUGCUUCGGUCUAGCACAUGAUAUGUUUGAUUUUUAAGCUGAAAGCACAUGUCGCUGAUGCAUCUUGGGUUCCGUUUGUAUUCAUAACAAUUUCAAUGUGUCGUUUCCAGUUAGUAGUUGGGUUUCUCAAACACAAGUAUUUGGACUAAAUUCAGAGUUAUAGUCUUCCUUUAGCAGGUGAGAAACUUACUUGGAUCUAUAUGAUUGUACUUUAGCGUGUUUUUAACAUUUUGAUUAGGUGUGAAAGGGACUGUGUUAAUUGAUGCAACACACAUAACUUGCUGAACAGUGUCAUCACUGAGUUCUGUUGAUGAUCUACCAUUGCAUGAAGAAGCCAUUCCGUAGCUCCUUCUCUGCACUUUCCUUUGGACCUUGAACCAGCUGCAUUUGUGAAGUGAAUAACUGGCAUCUAUAUCUUGCACCGACAUUACCUUCUGUAAAGUUUUGUGGGUAGAACAUUCAGCUUUUCAGUAACAGUUAACUAUCACUCUUUUUACCCCCAAAAAUAGAUCUGCCUUAUACCCCUAAAUACUUGUAGAGCAAACCCUGGUUUCUAUUCCAUUUUGUAAUUUUUACCUACUUAUUUUGUUGAUGGUACUGUAUUUAUUUUCCAGAGGCCUAGAUGAUAGAUUGUAUGGAGACUUGUUGCGUAUUCUCUGUGCAGCAGGAUGAAACUAUCGACAUCUAAAAGUAGAGUCACAACCAUUUUUGGUCCAUUGUAGAGUUGUAUGAAACUAAAAUUUAAGAGAAGAAUGCCCAGAGUACUGCUUUGUUGCUUUAAUGAUCAGAUUGCUAUACAUACAAUUUUCCUGCUCCUAUUGUCUGUUAUCUAACUAUCUUACACUAUCCAGGCAAACUAAACAAGAAAAAAUACAUCGCCAGGGCUUCUUCAUGCAUCUUCUUCAGAAGCUACAAACAGCAAAUCUGUUGGCUGGCUCCAACAGUAGGCAUGGCGCAGCCAGUGUAGUGGCAAGACGUCACCAUAGAGCUGAGCAAUGCACUCUCGACCUCGAUGGAGGCAUUUCUCCUGAGCAAGCACAUGACAUACUCCAUCACUGCAGCAUCACAAGGCAGUGUGAUCUUGCCUUUGUUUGCAAAGCCAAACUCCUCCUGAGAUAUCCUCAGGAGCUCGCUGAAGACCGUGGUGCUGAGGUACACCAAGGGCACCUCGAAACGCGUCCCGUCGGCCGUGUAAAUGACACAGUGGCCCUUGGCUGGUACAAAACUGCAGCAGUCUUGAUCCUCUUUGGCUGACCCUGUGAGCCUCUUCCUCCCGAGUGCUUCCACCCUCUGCCACUUCUUUGCCAGUUGAGAAAGUCUCUUGGCACCGGCCAUGGUUGGCUCUCUGUCUUUGUGAGAACUUGAAGGAGUGAGCUUGUCGCAACUCUCAGUUGGUGGAUGAGCUGAUGAAGUGAUGAUAUUGAGCCAGCAGCUUACUGAAUUUAUAGACAAGGUGGCGAGGGGAAGGGCAUGGUGAUGCAUGGUGAAGUGCAGCUGUCAUUGAGAAGAGUUGGCAAGGGACAAGGCCAUGGGAUCAGCACAUGCAGUGUUGCAGCAUAUGAUUAGUUUGGAUUAGAUUGUGAUGGGGCCAAAUGUUUGGUGCAUGCCAGAGAGCCUGUAGUUGCUUUCUCAUCAUUUGUGGCUGCCAUACCGUACCGCGUAGCAAACAAGAGGCGUGUCGAGAACAAGAGGCUAUUGGCAAUGUGCAAGGAGUUGAGGGGACAGCGAUGGGUUCCAGCUUGAGGGAUUGAACAAUUUCGGUGGGCACCGACUCUCUAGGCGCUUCUUCUGACAGACCGAUACCUGAAAUUGUGAUGUGAGUCGUUCAUGCACCCAUAUCAGUCUGUUCUUUGUGAAGAUUCAGUCGUAAAGCUCGUGCUCGGUCUAGCACAUGAUCUGUCUGAUCUCCGGCACCUCACAUGCAUGGUACCUCUUGGAUACAGUAGUACAUACAUGAAGCAAACUUGUUGUGAAGACUGAAGCCACCUUUGUGUCCUCUGAAAGUGGAAGAUAUAUCACAUUUCCAUGCCGAAGCAGGCAGAUGUAUCUUAUGCGCGUUGGAUUCCAUAUAAAAUGUAUAUAUGCAUAACGAUCUGAAUGCCCGUUGUAGUUGGUUUUCUCAGACACAAGUAUUUAGGCUCAGUUCAGAAUGAUCCAGAAGAGGAAAACUGUACUCCAGUUCUCUAAUUAGGACACUCCACUCCUGGAAAAGUACACCAUUGAGUCGCCCUGCUUUCUCCAAUCUUUUUGGUUGGUUGUGAACCUGUAUUAUACUCCCUCCGCCCGGAAAUACUUGUCGGGAAGAUGGAUGUAUCUAGAUGUAUUUUUGUUCUAGAUGCAUUCAUUUUCAUCAAUUUCUACGACAAGUAUUUCCGGACGGAGGGAGUACAUUUUUGAGAUGUGUUUGGGCUCUCUUUCCCGGAGAUUUGACCGCUUGGCUUAAUUAACUUGCGACAGAUGGUGCAAGAGGACUGAUGUGUUCGAAUGUCUGAAUUUGUAGGCUCUGGAAAAGCUGGGAUGCUGGUGAAGUGAUUUGGGGUUAGUCAGUCGGUCAGUCAGCGCGUAACGUGCAAUGCUCCGCGUGUUGUGACGAGGUUUCUGACGGAAAAUGGUACAGCCGCCUCUAGCCAGUGUGUGGACAGGCAAUGUGGUUCCAAUGAAGCGCGCGUCCUAAGUAAGCUGUCCAGUAUGCAGGACAACACACUAGAAUUUGAUCUCUCCACUCGCCCAGACACUGCUAUACUUUUUUUUUUUUGAGAAAUCUUGCCAAACUUUAUUGCUUCACUGUAAUGUUCAUAGGUACUCCCUCCGUCUGGAAAAGCUUGUUUCUCAAAUGAAUGUAUCUAGCACUAAGUUAGUGCUAGAUACAUCCAUUUGAGGAACAAGCUUGGGACAAGCUUUUCAGGACAGAGGGAGUACAAGAUUUGGGUCAUGCGGAUGACCCAACCAAAACUGGCAUCCUAUGUCUAACAUACAUACAAACUUGCUCAGAUCAACACACCUUCGUCUCAUUUGCAAGCAACAUCACAAUCUACAACACACAUUCAGACUUCCAGAGCCAAAGUGAAAUUUAGCCAGCCAUGAUCCAUCCAAAGAAGCUUCCUCAGCUCGCCAAGAAGUGCCAACGGAUGUUGGCAGCCGGAGCCGGUGCCCGCCGUCGGCAUGCCUCAGACACGGCCGAUAAUGAAUGCUGCAGUACAGCAUCAUCUGUGGCUGCUGAUGAGGGCCACUGCAUGAUGUACACCACCGAUGGAGCACGCUUAGAGGUCCCUCUGGCGUACCUCGGGACGACGGUGUUCGCUGAGCUCCUGAGGAUGUCCGAGGAGGAGUUUGGCUUCGCGAGUGGCGGCGACGGAGGCAGGAUCAUGCUGCCCUGCGACGCCACGGUGAUGGAGUACGUCUUGUGCCUGGUCAGGAGAGAGGCCUCCAAGGAGGUCGAGAAGGCAUUCUUGAGCUCCAUUGCUGGGCACUGUCACAUCUACAAUGCUAGUUGCAUGGUCCCAUCAAUGGGAAUCACCCGGCAGUUUGCUCUUUGUACGUACUUAGCUACUAGCUUAGUUUCUGUAAUACUGUUUUGGUUAGGACUGAGGAGAUCUAUAGUCUGAUGUAAGAUUCGAUCAUCACAGGAAAUGAUACAGAAUAGACAAUUUUUCUGGAAAAAAAAAGGAUUAUGUGACACAUCCUUCAACAUUCUGCUCAAAAGUUCUUGGUGAAUUGUGGGUGCAGCGGCUAAAAGCAGGGGAUGUGAAUGAUGGAACUCAGCAACAGCGCCGGCGAAGGGGAGAGAUGAAUGAUCAACGGACUGCCUUUCCUACCUCUAGCAAGGACCAUCGGAUUGACAAUUUGACAUUGUGUGAGCUGUUUUUAAGAUUUUGGAGAGAACGUGCUCCACGUAGACCUGCCUCGGGGAUGGACGCUUGCAGCCUUGCACUGCCGCUGGCGUGUGAUGUCCGAUGCGCAGCUAGCCUCUGUGUGCGUGUGCUCGGUGGCAUCUUGCUUGCUCGAGCACCUCCUCCAUACUCCGGUGGGAAUUCCAGACUGGAGUAAUCUCAUAGCAAAGAGAUCAAAUUUGGUUAGGUUAGGUCUGUAGUUACAGAAAAGAUGAGCAAGUCGAUCUGCUUUAUGUAAUUGAAGAAACCAAAUAAUUCAAGUUUAAUUUGGAUAUAAAGUGUUCACCUUUCUGAAGGAAUUAGGACAUCAUACAUAUCUCUGAUACUCUGCUUUUGAUCUUUUGUUUUGUAGGCAUUACCCCAAAAGUAGACAAACACUUAACAUGGUCAUACUGUGCUAUAACAGGAUUUUUACUGGCAUUUAAAAGAGGGUAUCUGUUCAUUAUUUUUUUUAUGCAAAUUGAAUACAUUUUUCGUUCAGAUAGGUUCAAAAGAAAAUCAGAAGAAAAAAGAUUGACUGUAGGUGCUGGGUUAACAGGUUUCUGCUAGAUUCAUUACAGCCUUGCAAGAUAUUGAAAAGGCUUUACAUAGCAAUUUCUCAAAUGGAAGCGGGAAGUAUGCCAAUGAUUUCAUGAACACUAAGAGAAGCACAAUUUCCAUUUCCCUUCUAUCUGUCAGACUACUUUACUAAUACAUAAACAUUCGGAGCUGCAAACAGCCAGUUCUUGCUUGACAGUUAACCAUCACCUGCUUUUACCCCAAUAAUUGAAAUCUUCCUUAUACCCAUUAAAACUUGUGGAGUAAACCCUGCUUUCUAUUCCAUUUUGUUUUUGUUGUCAUACUUGAUUUCUAUUGGAUUGAUGUCAUUGCAAUAAUUUCCAGAGGAUUCAUCAUUAAAAUGGUUCCUGUACCACCUGGUCAUUUCACUGAUUCACAAGACAGAAGACAUCAUCAGCGUCCUGAAUGCAUGUUCUUCAGAAGCUACAGACAGUAAAUCUGGUUGCUGGCUCCAACACUAGGCAUCGUACAGCGAGUGUAGUAGCAAGACGCCACCAUAGAGCUCAGCAAUGCACUCUCGACAGCAAGUACAUGGCAUACUCCAUCACUGCAGCAUCACAGGGCAGUGUGAUCUUGCCAUCGCUCGCAAAGCCAAACUCCUCCUGGGACAUCCUCAGGAGCUCGCCGAACACGGUCGUGCUGAGGUACUCCAACGGGACCUCAAAACGCGUCCCAUCGACCAUAUACAUGACACAGUGGCCCUUGGCUGGUACAGAACUGUAGCAGUCUUGAUCUUCUUUGGCUGACACCGUGAGCCUCUUCCUCCCAAGUGCUUCCACCCUCUGCAACUUCUUCGCCAAUUGAGCAAGUCUCUUGGCACUGGCCAUAGUUGAUUCUCAGAGAUCUCAAGAAGUGAGCUAUGGAUGUUGCACUGCUCAGUUGGUGGAUCAGCGGAUGAAGAAGUGACGGUGUUGAGCUGAGCCGCUUGCUGAAUUUAUAGGCCAGGGGAAGGACGUCUUGACGGUGAACUGUGCUUGCCAUUGAGAGAAGUUGGCAGGGGACAAGGCCAUGGGAUCGGUGCAUGCAGCAUGAUUAAUUUGGAUUUGAUUGCGGUGGAGCCUAUAGUUGCAAUUGUUAGGCUUGGGUCUGCUUUCUUAUCAUUCACGUCUGCCUUACCGAACCGCGUAGCCAACAAGAGGUGUGUCGAAAACAUGGCUACUGGCAACGUCCGAGGAAUACAACAAUGGGUUCCAGAUUCAGGGACUGAACAAUUUCGGUGAGCGCUGAUCAAUUAUAUGCUAUAUAUUGAUGUGCUUCUGUUGAUUGGACUGUCAUCAUAAUGUUCAUUGUUCAUUCACCUGAUCAAUCUGUUCCCUGUUUAAUCUCCGAGCACAAGGCAAGAAUGGGCUGUAAACAUCUGACAUGAAUGGGCUGUUACAGAGGGAGUCUUUGUUCAUGUGCUUCCCAGGAAGCCUUGCAAGCAUCCUGUUUAACUAAUCAGGCAUUAAACAAUCUGAUUUGCUAUCAUCUUGUCUCGCUUCACGCUUGCAGUUGCAGGUAGGCAUACGUAGCACUGCAUGUUGCGCUGACGGGGCGCGCUUCUAGGUGCCCCUGAGGUACCUCGGCACGGCGGUCGUCGGCGAGCUCCUGGGGAUGCUGCGGCGGUGAUGGAGGACGUCAUGUGUGUCUUCCCUUCUCGGAAGGGACGGAGGAGGCGGAGAGGGCUCUCCUCAGUUCCCUGGUCAGGAGGAGUUGCCACUACCAAAAUUGCUCCAUCACAACAGUCGUCCAUGGGGAUGGGGCGUAGUGGAAUAGUCGUAGCUGCUUCUAGCUAGUUUCUGAAGAUGCACCAUGUAGUUUCUGAAGAGGCAGAAAGCAGUGCUCCGUCUUUCAAUUAGACUAGCUUCGUAGCCAUUCUUUUCUUUAGGACGAUGAUGCAUGUAAAUACUGCACUUUAAAUUUUGAGGCAUGAACGAGAUUAGCAUGCAUUUCUUCUUCUCUUCGAUCUCGAGGUGAAAAAACCGCCCGAUUCGGAUAGAUAAUGCGGAGGGGCGGUCCUCCCCUCCCACAUCCUGGAGGGGCCGCCGGCUGGAUUGCUGCCCCUCCCCUCGCUCCUCCUCCUCUACAUGCCCCCUGCCCCCGUGGAUUUAGUCCAGGAAGCAUUGAACAAACUUGUGCCGUUACCUUUUUGAAGGCGUUGUCUAUUAGCCGUUGAGCUGGCCUUCAUUGGCUAGUCUCGGCAACUAGGAUGAAAACUCUUGUCUUGGCCAUCUCCAGCCUCAAAUGGAGACGAUGGCGCAACCGACGUUUAUUCUUUCUUGAGGGUUUUGAUGUGGAAGAAGUCGACUUAGUCGUGAGUGUUAAUUUCACAUUUUGUAAUGGUUUGAGCAUGGUUACCUUUAUCAUGUACUCUGCUUAAUAAUAAAUGAGAAUGAUUGUGUGCAACAAUGAUGCAGGGCCCAGGGGUUUAACCUCCUUUUAAGAAAAAAAAUCUUCUUCUCUUCAAAUUUUUUCUCGAAUACGCACGUGUGCGUAUCAUUCAUUAAAGAGAGGGGGAAUAGAUGUGAGAAGGGGAAUAGAUGCAACACACGAACCGUAUUGAUCUCAUGGGUAUUUGUACAGAGUUACACGAUGUCAAAAUAUGUCGAAUAUUACACGUACGAGUUGGAGUACAGUCGGAAAUCGUGUUCCCUAGUUGCCCGCUGUUCACUUAUGUGCACGUUGGUUCUGACCAUGCCCGGUUGCUUGGACCACCAUCCAGAUUUCAUUUCGAAUUUGCAUGGCUUGAAAUUGAAUCAUUCCCGGAAAUGGUGAUUUCUAAGUGGAACUCCUUGAUGGCUUCUAGGACUAGAUCCUCCGGGCCUCUUGAUAAUUGCAAUUUUUGUUCCCAAAGAUUGUGUCAGUUUCUGAAGGGAUGGGGUGUGAAUAGAAAUUGUGAUUCUACCCGCGCUAAAAAUAACAUUACCUCCGAGAUCCGUGCCCUUGACCAAAUUGCUGAUUCCAGAUAAGGGUGGAUGGUCUCAGCAGUAUGACCUUGAGAUGGAGUUGAUGGAUAUUCUUUUUUUUUUUGAAAUGAGUUGACGGAUAUUCACUCCGGAAGAAAUCUAUUCGCGGCUGCGAGGCUGCCUAACCUAGACUCUGAAGGGCGGCACUAAUAGCAUGGUUACGCAGUUCCUAUAUGGCGCGUACCGCGCCGGCCAGCAUCGUAGCGCAUACCCUUUCACGUGCGCUAUUGUUUCAAUGGGCUGGCCCAUUUCGGGGUUUCCAGAACCUUCCUUGAACUGGGAUUUUUCUGUUUCUUUCUUUCUGUUUUUUCUUUCUUUUCCUUUUCUCGGUUAUUAUUUUCCAUUUUUGAUAUUUUUUCUGUUUUCUUUUUUUUCUUUUCUGUUAUUCUGUUUUCAUUUUUGUUCUUGUUUUUCAAUUUACAAAAAUCUUCUAAAUUCACAUUUUUAUGUGAUUUGUUUUCAAAGAUGAACAUUUUUUUUGGAAAUCAUGGUUUUGUUUUUACAAACUUGUGAACAUUCUCUUAAAUCAUGUGCAUCUUUUGUAACCAUGAACAUUUUUUUAUAACUCAAGAACAUUUUUUCAAAAUCAUGAACAAUUUUUAGAACUUUAUGAACAUUCUCUUGAAUGAUGAACAUGUUUUCAAAUUUGUGAACAUUUUUAUAAAACUCAUGAACAUUUUUUUGAAUCAUGCACAAUUUUUAAAUUUAAGACAAUUUUUUGAAAUCAUGAACUUUUUUUUGAAAGAUGAACAUUUUUUUGGAAAUCAUGGUUUUGUUUUGACAGAAUUGUGAACAUUCUCUUAAAUCAUGUACAUUUUUUGGAACCGUGAAUAUUUUUUUAUAACUCACGAACAUUUUUUCAAAAUCGUAAACAUUUUUUAGAACUUUAUGAACAUUCUCUUUAAAUGAUGGACAUGUUUUCAAAUUCGUGAUUUUUCUAAAACUCAUGAACAUUUUUUUGAAUCAGGAACAAUUUUUAAAUGUAAGAUUUUUUUUUUUGAAAUCAUGAACAUUUGUUUUAUAAAUACUUGAAUUUUUUUCGAAUUCAUGAAUUUUUUUUAAAAUCAUGAUAUUUUUUGAAUCAUUAUAAAAUUUUAAAUUCUAGACAUCUUUAUGAAAUCAUGAACAUUUUUUACAAAUUUUUGAACAUUUUUCAAUUUCACGAUUGUUUUUUGAAAUCAUGAACAUUUUUUACAAUUUGUUUGAACAUUUUUUAAUUUCACAAACAUUUUUUGGAAUCAUGAACAUUGUUUUAAAUUCAUGAACAUUUUUAAAAUUUGUGAACAUUUUUUUGCCAAAUUCAUCUAUAAUUUUUGAAUUACCAUCAUCUUUUUUGAAAUCAUGAAUAUUUUCUUGAAAUCAUGAUCUUUUUAUUCAAAAUUUGAUUGAGGACCGUUUGAUAUACCGAUUUAUUGAAAAAAAGUAAAAGGAAAAAAAGAAAAAGGAAACAUCCGCAAAAAAGAAAAUAAAAACAGGCGGCGUCCCGGCCACACAUGGGCCGAUCCAGAAGGGGAGCGGGGGUUGCGCGCCCGCUUCCUUCGCAGCGCGUGCUGCGCCGUAUAGGAGCACCCAACAUGGUUAAUAAUAGAGCGAACAAUCGACUAUAAGGAGUUGUCAUGUCAUCUACAACCAACCUACUAGCCGGCAUGUACAAUAGCGCAAUUUAAUUGUGUACUACUUUAUAAAUUGUUGGCCCACCUUACAACGUCACAAACUAUCUUGGGGCUCGUGUUGCAGCUGACUACAAACUAAGAGCCCGCUUUUCUUCUCUCUCCUCUUUUCUCUCCCCAAACUAAGCAAAAAUAUAAUAUUUUAGUCCUUAUAGCUGCUUAUAUCACCUUAUUGUACUUGCUCGAACUCAACUUACUUCCGCCGUCAUAAGUGUUUCAUUGCGCAUCUCUCCUCGAUGGAGGGGGGCCUCUUUUGUUUCAAUGAUAUCCAGCAUCAUGUUUAUGACUCCUAUCACGGUCAUCUUAGUGGGGCCCCUAUUCCCAGGGUGUCUCUUGCUCCUGUGGUUUGGGUCCGGGAUCCCGGGUCUCACGGGAAGACAACUAUUCACUUAUGAUCCCUUUCUCUUGCGAAGAAAUUUACCUUGUGGUCUCGUCUUCCAAAAUCAGUACUGCACUAGGUUCGGAUGGUUUUCUGACUGUUUUUAAAAAGUUCUAGGGAAUUCUUAAGGUCUAGUUUAGCUGAUUCGUUAGGGUUUUUGUUUUGGUAUGGUGGACACAAAAAUGUUAAGUUAUGCCAUCCUCUCCCUCGCCACCAAAUGUAAAGGGGCUAAUAAUAUCCGCCAGUUUAGGCUGAUAGCCUUCAUUAAGGUGUUGUUCGAGUUCGUCGACAAAGCUUUUGCAAUCCAGCUAGCCUCGAUUUUCUACAAAACCCUUAGCCUAUCUCAGACAACUUUUAUCAAGGGGCGUAAUAUAUACUUGAUGUGAGUAUGUCUCUCCAUGAAAUUGUGCAGGGUCUUCAUGUUUCUGGGCAGGAAACUAUUGUGCUUAAACUUGAUUUUGAAAAUACCUACGACUGUGUUAGACUGUUAGCUGGGACUUCCUUCGUGUAGUAUUGUUGCGUAAAGGCAGGGCCGGGCGGACAAAAUCCGGAGCCCGGUGCGAUACUAAAAAAUGGGGCCCUAUGUCACUAAAAAAUAAAGUACGAGCAAUUAUAAUGUAUAUAUAUACUAAGCAGAAUUUUUUUAUAAUGUAUGUAUAUAUUGUCUUACGUAACAAUUGGACGUAUAAAAAAUCAUACUUAUUCGAUUCUCGGCUUCUAUUUAUUUGAAAAACUUCAUUCUUUUAGUAUUCUUUUUGUAACAAAUCUGUCCAUUCCACCUUUAUAAGAUGUAUCAAUCAAAUUCUGUUCUCUUUCUUUUCUCUUGCGCUUAGAGGCACCAGACUGAUGUUUCCCCAUGAUGAUUUACUUAAAUCUAUAUUAUUGAAACACAAGAUUGAAAAAAUACAAUUGAACUUAUACAGUAGCAUAUAUCAAUUAAAGAUCAUGCGUCAGUGUUUGGUAGUUAGACGAACCGUCUAACUCACCUAGUUUUCGGUCCUAUCUGGUUGAACUACUACACUGUGAGUGUAAUCUCUAAUGAAGACGCGAAGUAACGAUCCCUGCCAACAAUUAAUUCGAAAAUUAGGAACUAUGAGUAGGAACCGAAGUUAAUCAAAAAAAGGACUCGCUAAGCACCUGGAGGCUAGAGUCGGUCACGGAUCAAUUCGACGAUGCAACGAGCCAACAAGUAUGAAAUAUGGGAGAGGAAGUCAGGAACAGGAAGGUCCGAUGAGGCGAAGGCGACGAGACGAUCCCCCAGUAGUGCAGAACCGGCCUUUAGUGCCGGUUAGUAACGGCCUUUAGUGCCGGUUCGGCAACCGGCAUUAAAGAGUGGGGACUAAAGGUCCCCCCUUUAGUACCGGUUCGUCACGAACCGACGCUAAAGUGUCAUCACGUGGCACGAGCCAGACUCGGGUGUGUGUAGGACAUUAGUACCGGUUGGUAGCACCAACCAGUACUAAAUGUUUGGUGGAGUUUUGGCUUUAUUUUCCAUUUAAUUCUUUUUUGUUUGCUGGUAUUUCACGAUACUAUAAAUUGUACACGUUAUGCAUAUAUAUAAAUAGAUUUUCUCAUACGUAGAACCGCACAUAUAUAUAUAUAUAUAUAUAUAUAUAUAUAUAUAUAUAUAUAUAUAUAUAUAUAUAUAUAUCAUCGAAUGUUUCACAACCAACACCAUUAAUUAUUCACACAUACACAUGUAUAUACAUAUAGAAUUUCUCCUACAUGUUGCCUUGAUGCCUUCGGAGCACGAUGACAAGUGGUUCAUGGAGGCGGUAGCGGGUAAUAGUAUUCUCUUUUGGGAUCUAUGACCUGAUCGAGCAAAAAUCCGGCUAUUUCCUCUUGAAGUGCUAGUAUGCGGUCCGCUGGUAGGAGCUUAUCCCGCACCUCUCUGAACUGUUAAGAAGGAGAUCAAUAUGCAUGUGUAUUAGUUGUGUGACUAGAUAUCGAUAAUGAUGUGAAUAGUGUUCUGACAAACGUACCCAGUCCUGUUUUUGAGAUCUGCUCCUUUCGGACGCCAUCAUGCGAAUGUUCUCGCAAACGUAGAAUGCACACAAAUCAUUCCCCUGCACCUGCUUUAGGGCCUUUACAAGAAUGGAAUUGAAUCAGAUAAUGAUUAAUCAAGCAUGAUAAUUAAUUAAUAGUAUUGAAAUAAGAAUUAAAGAGAUGGUAGCUAGCUAGUACUACUUAAUUACUUUCCUUUGGUCGAUGCCAAAACAACUUUUUUGCCCGUUUGCCUGGAGUCACCUUGAUGAACUUUGCCCAAGCCCUGCCCUCCGGCAAAGAAAAUUAAUAAAGGGGUUAUUAAAUAGUUCAUAUCAGGAAAUGACGAACUAAAUAGGUCGAGAUAUAGUUAAUAAUGAUUGAAAUUACCUGUUGACUAUCCCCUUCACGAUGGUGUAGUCUUUUUCUUCUUUUAGUAGUCAGUCCAGUACUUCAACUAUGCCUUUGUCAACUUUAAUGUCUAACAAGAUCCAGUGAAAACUGCAUGCGCGCACACGUUUGCAUGUCUUAAUUAAGCGGGCAUGUGCAUAAAAUUAAUCAACUACUGUAAACCAUAUACACUUAAUUAUUAACAUCUAGCUAGCUAGUAAGCAAAAACAGAAUUUGUAGUACAAGACAGUGUGACUCACAGGAAGUUGUAAGGAAGUAGUAUAUCUUCAUUGGUAUUGAGGCGCUUCAAGAACUCUAGCAUGCUUUCCUCUACACUUGCUUGAUAAAUUGGAAGAUUCCAUGUGUACUCAUUAAUGGUAUUUGGGUCAAUGAACCCAAUGCCAUAGCGUCCAGAUUUUUUCAUUUCAUACAUCUUCAUCCUGCAUAUAAUACUACAGAAAAGAAUAUAGUGAGGAUAAUUACAUGUAAUGAUUGAUCAAAAUGAUCACUACAUAGCUAGGUUGAGACUUAAAUUACAGAAAGAAAUCACUUACAGACAAUAGCAACUGACGAUAGACUUGUCGAGUGCGUCUUGAUUGUAUAACUGAAAUAGUUCUGAAUACUCAACGGACAGAGCUUUCUCAUGGAAGUAAUGCUCAUGCUUGACAUUCACCAUGAGGGACUCUCGAUUGGAAAUCUUGGUAAUGUUCAUGUACCAUUGAUGCAAUUCAUACAUUCUUGUUCGGAGGUUCUUGACCUUGUCUGGCUCGACCAAAGGUUGGCCCCAUACAUAUUUCCGUUUUAUUUCCUUCUCUCUAAGCCGAGGCAUGGGCUCGAUUUCGAGGAGGUGUCCAACAAUGAUCUUGAGCAUUUCAGCCUGCAUUAUAUGCUCCUCGGUUAUUACCACAUCACCCAGCUGGGGAACGUUAACGGUUUGCCCACAAUAAUAUUGGGCGCGCGUACUCUCAUGUGUUGUUGACACAACAAGCGGGGGGAUUGAUUGCGGCGCCUGUUCUCCCAGCUAGGGAACGGUUUUUUCGCUUUUUUUGCCAGCUGCUUGUUGGCUCGAGCUCGAGCUCGCUUCCUUCUGUAGCCGUGCUUGAUGUAGCUUCCUGGUUUGGCGCUCAUAGUCUGAGUCAACAGGCUUGGAGCUGGUGCUCUAGCCAUAUGAAUGAAGUGGUCAAUCGUUUUCUCUGGCACUUUCUCCUUUGGCGGCGGUGCCGGUUUUGGUCCAAAAUGGGCGUCCACUUGGGCCUGCACUAUGGCUGCGUUUUGCUCCUCGGUCAUGUCGUAAGGCCUCUAAGGAAGAUGAGCGAGGCUUGGACCAUAUUUAUAUCGCUUGUCUCCGCCUGUACUUCCUGUACUACCUCGACUCGUACCGCUACGCACCAUAGCUACGGCGUGUCUUUUCUACGAUUACUGAGACGACGGAGACGGCUGACAUGACUGACGCUAUGCCGGACUUGAAGCAGGAGGAGUGGCCUGACGCUGUGUCAGACUUGAAACCGGGGGAGUGGCCUGACGCUGUGCCGGACUUGAAGGAGGAGUCGGCUCACGCGUUCAUGGACUUGGAGGAGCGGGAGUCUGCUUACUCGGUGGCGGACUUCAAGGAGGAGUCGGCUCAUGUGUUCAUGGACUUGGAGGAGCGGGAGUCUGCUGACUCGGUGGCGGACUUCGAGGAGGAGUCGACAGACGACGCGGUGUCGGUGGACUUGGAAAGAUGAUGCAAUCCUUUCUCCAUAGGAUGAUACGAUGUAUGACCUCUCCCAGUGUGCGCUCGCCGUCACCUCCAGCAAUGUCAAGUGCUAGCAUCGAAUAUGGCUCCACCACUUCAUCAACCAUGACGCGAGCAUACUCUGGAAUCGGGAUGCAAUGGAAGGUUGCUUCGGGGGUAAUUGUGAAAGCAACGCCGUUCGCCACCUUCAUGGAUAUGUUCUUCAUUUUGGAGUGUAGCUCACAGUUAGUGUUCUCUAUGAUGUCAUCCACAGGGUAUGUAUCCAGCAGUGUGUCGCCCGGGGCAGAAACAAAGCUGCUUCUCGGCAUGGAUGGGACGGUGCUAUCCAAUGAUGGACAAUCAUCUUCUUGCUGCUGCCGCUGCUGAGACCCCCUUUCCUGGCUAAGUGAGUCGAUCUGCUGCUGCUGUUGCUGGAAUUUGAGUGCCAAGUCCGUGUGCCUUGCUUCUAGGACUUGAAGGCGUUCUGCGUCCUGCUUCCUCUGCUCCUCCUCCAGCUUCCUCUUCUUCUCCUCCUCCAUCUUCUUUCUUGCACGGGACCUGUAGUCGUCGUUCCAGUCCGAAAAGCCCUCAUACCAGGGAAUAGCACCCUUGCCUCGUGUUCUUCCCGGGUGUUCAGGAUUUCCUAGGGCGCGCAUAAGCUCGUCGUGCUCUCUGUUGGGCAUGAACACCCCUGUUCGAGCUUCUUCUAUUGCGUCAAGUAUCUUUUGUUCGGCUCCUUUUAGACUUGCCUUCUGCGAAACCAGGCCUGUCUUCGGGCCCAAUGACCCCCCAUGCGCAUAGAACCAAGUUUUGCACCUCGGGGGCCAGCUCCUAGUAACCGGAGUGACCCCUGCAUCCUCCAUCUCUUGCUCAGACUUAUCCCACUUAGGCAUUCCCACCGCGUAGCCACCUGGACCCAGCCUAUGGAACUGUGUCUUUUUUGUGGCAUUGGCCUUGUUUUUUAUUGACCGUUCCUUAGAUAAUUCUGAAUCCUUGAAUUUCAUGAAAUCGUUCCAGUGUUCUCUUUGCUUCUCCAGUGUUCCCGUGAAUUCUGGAUUCUUUCUUUCUGCAGCGAGGUAGUUGGCCCAUACAGUUUUCUUGUGGGUGUUGAAUGCAAUUGCCAUCUUCUUAAGAGCAGCGCCCUUGACUUUGUCCACAUCUGCUUUAGUGAAAUAAUCUGGUAGGGUGAAAUGUUCCAUCAGAGAAUCCCAAAGGUUUUUUUUGCUCUGUUGUCGACCCAAGUAACACCUGGACGUUUAGUUUUUGGCUCUUUCCAUUCUUGAAUGGAGAUCGGGAGUUGGUCCUUCACAAGAACUCCGCACUGACGAGUCCACUUGUUCGCAAUGUUCUUAGGCGUGAGGGGUUCGCCGCUAGGUUUGGUGCAUUCGAUGUUGUACUUUACACCUUCCUUCAACUUUCUGCCCGGGCCUCGCUUUGUCCUGCUGUCUGUAGAAGCAGAUUUGCUCGAUCCGGAGGGCUGAAAGAAGAAAGAUCGAUUCGUUAGUAUAUCUUCAAAUAAAAAAACAUGUGAUGAUCACCAUGAUGCCUGCUUAUAUAAAUAUACCUCGCCGGUAGUCUUUGUUAUUUGAAGACCAGCAUUGUCUGUGUCAUCAUAAACAUUGUCUGUGUCAUCAUAAUCAGAAUCAUAGUUCAUGACUUCAUCAGCUCGGUCGUCGAGAUCGAAUAUCUUUUCAUCACCCUCUCCGGUAUUGUUUAGAUAUUGGGAGUCGUCAUCUGCUUCAUUCAGAUCAUCUAGCCUGCCAGGGCCGUGUAUGAUGUCGAACAAUUCCUCUUCUCUCUCUGUGCCGGUAUUGUCCGCCAUAGCUUUUACUUAACUAAUAGAGAAGUAAUAUAAAACAAUUUAGUAUUCAAAUUAUAAUGCAUGGAUGCAAUCAAUAAGGAAAAACAGAAUCAUAUAGUACAUAAUAUAUGCAUCGUCUCGAUUAAUAUAUAUUCUCGAAUACAACAUCGUCUCGAAUAAUAUAUAUAAUCUCGAAUACAUCGUCUCGAAUAUUAUAUAUCGAAUACAUCACUGGCUAGGUACCUAAUAAAGAUCGAGUACUACAGAAGAAUCUAGGGCGCCACUCGCGGUUCCUGGGGCGCGGGAGGUGGACACCCAAAGAGAAGGAACCAUCACAGGAUCAUAUCUCCGGUCAUCUUCCCAGAGAACCCGCCAAGUAGUGGAGAACCUGACGUCGUCCAUAGCAGCCGUGUAGCGAUGGACGUGCUCAUCUUCCUCCCUGACAAGGCGACGCACCACCUCCGGCGGGGCCGGCCGGCUCGUCGUAUGAUCCAUUCGCUUCCUUAUCUUUUCUUUUUCUCGGCCUGGUAGACAUGUCUUUCACAUAAAAACCUGCGCCACAUCAUUGGCUAGGACGAAUGGUUCGUCUGCAUACGCAAGAUUGUUGAGAUCCACUGUUGUCAUUCCGUACUGUGGGUCUUCCAUUACCCCGCCUCGUGUCAUAUUGACCCAUUUGCACCGAAACAAAGGGACCUUCAAACCACCUCCAUAGUUAAGUUCCCAUAUGUCCUCUAUGUAACCAUAAUAUGUUUCCUUUCCCGUGUUGGUUGUUGCACCAAAGCGGACACCACUGUUUUGGUUGGUGCUCUUCUUAUCUUGGGCGAUCGUGUAAAAUGUAUUCCCAUUUAUCUGGUACCCUUUGAAAGUCAUUAUAUUCGAAUAUGGUAACUGGGACAACGAGUACAGGUCAUCUUCAAUAUCGCCAUCAUGCAUGGCAUGUUUCUGCAACCAACCGGCGAAAGUCCUCGUUUGUUCACGUGUAAUCCAGUCGUCAGACUUCUCCGGGUGUUUGGAGUGUAGAAAAUUCUUGUGUUCCUCCAUAUACGGAGCCACCAAGGCGUAAUUCUGUAGAACUGUGUAGUGUGCUUCAGUGAGAGAAUGCCCGUCCAUACAUAUUAUUUGAUCCCCUCCUAACGUGCCUUUUCCAUCCAGUCUGCCCUUAUGCCGCGAUUCAGGAACACCAAUCGGCUUAAGGUCAGGAAUAAAGUCAAUACAAAACUCAAUGACCUCCUCAUUUUCAUGGCCCUUUGCGAUGCUUCCUUCUGGCCUAGCACGGUUAUGAACAUAUUUCUUCAAGACUCCCAUGAACCUCUCAAAGGGGAACAUAUUGUGUAGAAAUACAGGACCCAAAACGUUAAUCUCUUUGCAAAGGUGAACUAGGACGUGCGUCAUGAUGUUGAAGAAGGAUGGUGGGAACACCAACUCGAAACUAACAAGACAUUGCACCAAAUCAUUCUGUAACCUUGGUAUGAUUUCUGGAUCAAUUACCUUCUGAGAGAUUGCAUUGAGGAAUGCACAUAGCUUCACAAUGGCUAAUCGAACAUUUUCCGGUGGAAGCCCCCUCAAUGCAACCGGAAGCAGUUGUGUCAUAAUCACGUGGCAGUCAUGAGACUUUAGGUUCUGGAACUUUUUCUCUGCCGUAUUUAUUAUUCCCUUUAUAUUCGACGAGAAGCCAAAUGGUACCUUCAUGCUGAGCAGGCAUUCAAAGAAGAUUUCCUUCUCUUCUUUGGUAAGAGCGUAGCUGGCCUGACCCUGAUGUAUGCCAUCUUUUCCGUGCAUACGUUGCUGGUCCUCCCGUGCCUCUGGUGUAUCUUUUGUCUUCCCAUACACGCCCAAGAAGCCAAGCAGGGUCAUGCAAAGAUUCUUUGUCACGUGCAUCACAUCGAUUGCGGAGCGGACCUCUAGGUCUUUCCAAUAUGGCAGGUCCCAAAAUAUAGAUUUCUUCUUCCACAUGGGUGCGCGUCCGUCAGCGUCAUUCGGAAUAGGUUGUCCGCCAGGACCCUUUCCAAAGAUUACCUUCAAAUCCUUGACCAUAUUAUGUACAUCAGCACCAGUACGGUGGCGAGGCUUCGUCCGGUGAUCCGCCUCACCUUUGAAAUACUUGCCUUUCUUUCUUACGGGAUGCCUGCUUAGAAGAAAUCGACGAUGUCCCAGGUACACAUUCUUCCUACAACUCUCCAAAUAUAUAUUGUCGGUAUCAUCCAAACAGUGCGUGCAUCCGCGGUAUCCCUUGUUUGUUUGUCCUGAAAGGUUACUGAGAGUAGGCCAAUCAUUGAUGGUCACGAACAGCAACGCCUUUAGGACAAAUUCUUCUUGUCCGUCCUCAUCCCACGCACGUACACCUGUUCCAUUCCACAGCUGUAAUAGUUCUUCAACUAAUGGCCUUAGGUACACAUCAAUGUCGUUGUCGGGUUGUUUAGGGCCUUGGAUGAGCACUGGCAUCAUAAUGAACUUCCGCUUCAUGCACAACCAAGGAGGAAGGUUAUACAAACAUAGAGUCACAGGCCACGUGCUAUGGUUGCUGCUCUACUCCCCAAAAGGAUUAAUGCUAUCUGCGCUUAGACCAAACCAUACGUUCCUUGGGUCACCUGCAAACUCCUCCCUGUACUUUCUCUCGAUUUUUCUCCACUGCGAACCGUCAGCGGGUACUCUCAACUUUCCAUCUUUCUUACGGUCUUCUCCGUGCCAUCGCAUCACCUUCGCAUGCUCUUUGUUUUGGAACAAACGUUUCAACCGUGGUAUUAUAGGAGCAUACCACAUCACCUUGGCAGGAAUCUUCUUCCUGGGGCGCUCGUCCUCGACAUCACCAGGGUCAUCGCGACUGAUCUUAUAACGCAAUGCACCGCAUACCGGGCAAGCGUUCAAAUCCUCGUACUUACCGCGGUAGAGGAUGCAGUCAUUAGGGCAUGCGUGUAUUUUCUGCACCUCUAACCCUAGAGGGCAGACAACCUUCUUUGCUUCAUACAUACUCUCGGGCAAUUCGUUAUCCUUUGGAAGCAUAUUCUUUAUCAUUACCAGCAACUUUCCAAAUCUCUUGUCAGAUACAUCAUUCUCUGCCUUCCAUUGCAGCAAUUCUAGUGUCGUGCCCAACUUUUUUUGUCAGCUUCGCAAUUCGGGUACAACAAUUUCUUGUGAUCCUCUAACAUGCGCUGCAACUUCUUCCUCUGCAAAUCACUUGCGCAGUUUCUCUUUGCAUCGACAAUGGCCCGACCUAGAUCAUCAGCGGGCUCAUCUAAUGCCUCUUCUUCAGCUUCUUCCCACAUUACCGGCUCAGCUUCUUCCCCCAUUGUUGUAUCAUCGUAUUCAGGGGACCCAUGGCCAGGAUAGAUGUCGUCGUCCUCUUCUUCUUCACUGUCUUCCAUCAUAACCCCUCUUUCUCCGUGCUUGGUCCAAACAUUAUAGUGGGGCAUGAAACUGGACUCAAAUAGGUGGACGUGAAUGGUUCUUGACGUAGAGUAAUUGUGACCAUUCUUACAGCUAGCACAUGGACAAGGCAUAAAACCAUCCGCCCGCUUGUUUGCCUCAGCGGCAAGCAGAAAAGUAUGCACGCCAUUAAUGAACUCGGGAGAGGAUCGAUCAUCAUACAUCCAUUGUCGGCUCAUCUUCAUUACACAACACCGAAUGGACCAAAUUAAUACAAGUUCAUACAUAAAGUUCAUACAUAAAGUUCAUAUACAACACUUAAUUCAAUGCAACAUACAAAUAACUCUCUAGCUAAAGAAUUUAAAUGCAACAACAAAUGCGAUCAAGAUCGCAACUAAGGUAACAAUUGAUCCAACAACAUAAUGAUACCAAGCCACACUAUCAAUGGCAUAUUUUCUAAUCUUUCUAAUCUUCAACCUCAUUUUCUCCAUCUUGAUCUUGUGAUCAUCGAUGACAUCGACAACAUGCAACUCCAAUUCCAUCUUCUCCCCCUCAAUUCUUUUCAUUUUUUCUUUCAAAUACUCAUUUUCUCCUUCAACUAAAUUUAACCUCUCGACAAUAGGGUCGGUUGGAAUUUCCGGUUCACAUACCUCCUAGAUAAAAAUAUCUAUGUCAACUUGAUGGGCAUAAUUUGUCAUAAACACGAAAUGUAACAACUAGUUUAAAAAAAGAAUAUACCAUAUCCGAAUCAUAACAAGGACGAGGGCCGACGGGGACGGAUAUCAAAACCAUGGCACUAUGUAUAACAAACAACGUACGGGUAAGAUAAUUAUACGAGUAACUAUAUAUCCAAAUCACACAAACAUCAAUUUGGUAAUGUAAAACAUUCAUGAACAAGAGCCUCACCACAAGGUGGUGCCGACGACGGGACGGUGCGGGCGAUCGACGGUGGUUACGACGGAGAUUUAGAAGGCAGUAAGUAAACCACACCUACAUAUGCAAACUAAGUGUUAUUUUUGACCUCAAACUGCAUAUAAAUCAAAUACUAGCACAUAUAAUUCCUCCCAAAUUACUAAACUCACAAAUUAAUCACUAUACAAAGCAUUGCAAGAGCUAAUCUAGCAAUGAGAGAUGAAAGGACAAAGUUGCUAACCUUUGUGAUCAUUUGAAUGGAUGGGGGCCUUCAAAUCUUGACAAAUUUUGGGCAACAUUUAUGAUGAGCUCGAGGAAGAGAGGGGAAGAACAGAGGAAGUGAGGGGAAAGGGGAAGAACAGAGCGAGCUCGGGUGGACGAAGGGUUUAUGUACGACGAUCUUUAGUACCGGUUCGUGCCACGAAUCGGUACUACAGGUGCUGGAGGGGCCCCAGACUGGCAACAUCCUGCCACCACUCUCUUUAGUACCGGUUUGUGGCACGGAACGGUGCUAAAGGUUCGCCAUGAACCGGUACUAAUGAGAUCGGCCGGCUAGCCGUUGGAACCGGCACUAAUGUGUCUCAGAUUUGACCCUUUUUCUACUAGUGCCUGGAUGCCGUUUCAGUACCGUCGUCGACUGGCCGGGUCACCGACGCGACGGUUUCAUGAUCUAGAACAGGGGUUUGAUCGAGAUUUUGAGACGACGGUUUCGCCGGGUCGUCGUUUUUUUUACGGACGAUCUGUUUCCAUCUCACGAGAUCUGUUUUUCCAUCUUACCCACGAUCAGGAGCCUCGGGUGAUCGAUGCGGCCCCGUGGCAAGCGCGCGCUGUGUUUUUUUAGAUAAUUCACAAAGCUUUAUUAUGUCGUCACCUGUUGAACCGGGAUUAAAGAGAGGUUCCUGGGGUGGCCUAACCACAUACGGCGGCCCACCCCUAGUUUCAAAGCAUGUUUUGCUAAAUUGUGAGCCUCCACAUUGGAGCUCCUAACCUCAUGAACAAAAUUAUAGGAAUUAAAACUACUAGAGUAGUCUAUGAUUUCAUGCACGACCGCUCCAUAUUCUGCUCCGUUCUUCUGUUUUAUACUAUCGAUCACCUCCUUGCAAUCAGAGGCUACAUGGAUAGACUGGAGUUGGAGAUCUUCCGGC
rnacentral:lncRNA from 1 species